AAAUUUAAAUUAUGAGACGAAUGAAUAAAAAAUAAAUUCAUGGUGUAGUAAAAAAUAGUUGAACUAGAUAUAAAUGAUAAUUUUUUAAUUUAAGAUAGAAAUUAUGUAGUGUAUUGAAUUCCAGUAUACUUUUCUGAACUUUGGCUAAAUUGAAUAAAGUACGGAGAAAAUGGUGUAUGAGAUUAUUGGAGAAAGUUUAGAAGCAAAAGUUAUGGGUUGAGUGAAAAUUUUAUUGAAUAAGAGGGGUUAAGUUGUAACUAUGUUGGGGCUUAAGGAUAAGAUCUAGCUCUUCUACUCUCUCUUUUGUCUUCUACCCAUACAAGAGAAAAAAAAAAAACCCGUUCUUUUUAUCUAAACCCUUUUUCCUUACUCUUUAACAGCUCUCUCUCUCUUUCUCUUGUAACCCCUCCAUCAAAAGAGGAAAUAUUGGAGAUUUUGGUAGCUUCAAAUUGGAGAAGUUUGGAAGAACUCUCUAAUGGUGGAUCAAGCUUCUUGACUAUUGUGACUAAGGUGAGAUUUAUGAAUUAGAAUUAGAGUUUUAGUUAAAUCUUUUGUAAAUGAGAUAUUUGAGAUCCCUAGGUGUUUCUAAACUAGUUUAAUCAAAGGGUUCACCAUGAUUUUGGGUGUUCUUGAGGAUUUGGAAACCUAAGGUAUGGAAUUGGGGUUUUUGUCCCUAAGAGUGCUGAAAUCAAAUUGAUCUUGUAAAUCCCUAAUUGUAAGAUAGUUUGACGCAGGAGACAACUCCGAUUUGGAUUACGACAAGAUUACAACGUCCGAUUAGAGGAAUUUGAGAAAUUUCAUUCAUUAGGCUUGAAGCGUGCCGAAUCGACAUCAGAGAGCCAAUUGCUUUAACAUCCUAGCAAUUGGUAAUUAACUAAAGUGGAUGGUGCUCUUUGAAAUGGUUUGAUUUAUCCCUAUGUCUAACUCUAUUCAUUGAACAUAAAUGCAUGAAUAUGUGAUUAUGUAUCAUAGGACUUAAGUUAUCCUUUUCCAUAUGAAUUGUAUGCUUCCCAAGGUAAUGAAUAAACAAUUGCAAUUGAGAACUUUAUACUUAUGAUGCAUGAUUUUUGAACCCUAGAGAUACAAGAACUAGUAGGUUGUCUGGACGUAGAAAACAUAGUGAAAUACUAGGUGUCAUUGUGCUACGUGUCGAUCAUGAACCUAGUGAUAGAACUAUGGUUUGGGUGUAACCUGUUGUACAUGUAGAGAACUAUAACACCGUGUUGAGAUUAUACAUGUAGUAUGUACUAGAUGUUCUGUGAUAGUCACAUAUACUGUGAGCUAUUACAUGCUUAGCCAUUGUUGGAUAAAAUUAAUUAAAUACCCAAAAAUCAAUCGUCGCAAAAAUCACAUAGAUUUUUACAUACCUCUUUAUGGUGCGGAAUUAAUGUUGUAAUUACCAGGAUCUGAUCUCGUCUUGUUUUACGAACUCGUUGAUCCGCCAACGUCCUGUCUCAAUUUGUUGCACGUUGUUCUUACUCGUUGCAAUCCGGCUACUAGAGUCGAUCGCCGCCCACCGCCCAAAUCCCUAGGGUUUAUGAUGGUGCCCUAUAGCGAACCCAAAAGAGAGAAUUUUUGUGGAGAGAUGAUUCUUCUUUUUUUUUUAUUGUCUUUUUUCUGUCGUAUAUGGUCAAUACCUCAUGUAUUUAUAGGCCAUAAGGGAGACGUUAAUCCUAAUCAUAUUCUAACUAAAUCUUACAUAGAUAAAGAUUUAAACAGAUUAGGAUUUAUCUGUUAGAUUUAUUCUUUAUCCCAAGUGGACUAGGAAUAUAACAGAUAAUUAUAAAUAUUUAUUUCUUAUCCCAUAUGGAUUAGAAAUAUUUUAGAUAAGUCCCAAUGUGGACGAAUCCUAACAUCUCCCACUCGUACACACUUGAUACUUCUUCAUACUUUCUCAUACCAAAUAUAUUCUCAUCUCGUUCUGCUCUUCGGAUGGGAAAUGAUUGGUGCGAUCAAUAACGAGAAGAAUCAUAAGUGAGGAGUGUUAUAUUAAGCCACCAUCCGAACUAACAUAACACCACAACUCCAAAUCUCGUCUAUACCCCAAAUCAAUGAACUACACCAGAUCAUAGCAUCUCUAAUCCCAUAGAGCAAGCUAGAUCUCUCUCAUUAAUGUAUUUGUUCUCAUGAUUAUAUUGACAACAAAUAUCAACAUAAUCGCCCGGGCAAUGAGUAACAAAUCAUAGGUGUAUUAUCAAAUAAUUUUUCCUUAGAUGCCUCAUGUCAAUCCAUUUCAACUUGACUGCUUUCCUAGACAUGUUCCGCUGGACCGAAUCAAUCAUGGCCCUUGGAUAUCAUGCUAAAGUAGCAUCAUCAAGUAUCCACUUCAUAACAUGGUUCUAAGUCUCAAAGGGUACGAAAGCUCACACAGUGACGAAACGGGAAUCAAUUUCGUCACUCUCUAAAAUAUAGUGAUCGAUCUUGCACAUACGGUAUGAACGUAUACUAUAGUGGAGCUACCUCUAAGGACAUGUCACGCUCAAAACACCAUACAAAUAUCGAUUUUGUUGUAACUCAAGAGAACAAACCUCAAGACAGUCACCUACAUGGUGUCUUCUUUACAUUCGGCUUCAUACAGGCCGAGUAGAGUCGUGGAUCAUCUCUACUGUCCACUUUGUACAGUCCCAUCUUAACUCAUCUAAGGCGACAUUCAAGAUUUAAAUACUCGCUAGCUCUUAUAGCGCAAAGUGGAUCACCUGCAUUACUAAUUGCAUUUAUGUGAUGUUAUUUGUCUCAUCCUGCUCGCUCUCCUCGCGACAAGGUGAUCACCCGUGUGAGAGGGCUGAUCAAGGGCCUGGUGACAUUCAUUCUCACAAAGAUAUUGUGCACUAAUUUAAAAUUUAAUAAACAUGUAUAUGAUUGAAAAAGAUAUCAAAAACAUUUAUUAGCAAAAUUAUUAAUACAAGAUAUAUAAGAGUCAAGUCCUACACAAACCCAAUCCUUUAACAUGUUUAUGAAAAACAUUUCUAACAAGGGGUUUGGUAAAAGGAUCUACUAUCAUAUCAUCAGUAUAUGCAAAUUUAAUUACAAUCUGUCCCUGUGCAAUUAUAUCUCUAAUGAAGUGAUAUCUAGUCUCAAUGUGUUUAGAUCUUCCAUGAUAUUUUGGAUCCUUGGCAUAAGCUAUUGCUGCUUUAUUGUCACAAUAGAUAAUAACAGCAUCAUCAGCAUGAGCUGUUACACUCAAAUUUAUCAUAAAUCUCCUUAGCCAAACAGCCUCUUGUACUGCUGCUGUACAUGCAAUGUACUCCGAUUCUAUAGUCGAUAAGGAGACAUAUGGUUGCUUCUUGCUACACCAUGAAAUAGCAGCUCCUCCAAAUAUAAACGCAUAUCCCGAGGUAGAUUUGCGUUCAUCUUUAUCUGUGGAUCCAUCAGCGUCUGUGUAUCCCGUCAAUCUAAGCUCUCCUCCAUGAUAGCAUAGAGCAAGGUUCGCAGUACCUCGCAGAUAUCUGAAAAUUCUUUUAACUGCUUGCCAAUGUGCUGCACCAGGAUUACUCUGAUAUCGACUAACCAUGCCAACAGCGAAACAUAUGUCUGGUCGAGUACACAUCAUUGCAUACAUCAAGCUGCCGACUACACUCGUAUAUGGGACUUUUUUCAUUUGCUUUCUCUCUUCUUCUGUUUUAGGGCACUGUUCAAGGCUAAGAUAAUGACCCAUUUCCAUUGGAGUGUCAAUAGGCUUCGAAUUAUGCAUUCGGAAUCGCUCCAAAAUUCUUUUGAUGUAAGUCUCUUGAGACAAACUUAAGAAUUUUCGAGAUCGAUCCCUAUGGAUCUUGACUCCCAAUACAUAAUCCGCUUGUCCCAUGUCCUUCAUCUCAAAAGUAGAGGACAACCACUCCUGUGUGGUGAUUAUUAACUCCAUAUUAUUUCCGGCCAACAAGAUAUCGUCUACAUAUAGUGAAAGGAUAAGAAAACUUUUUUCUUCCCUUUUAACAUACACGCAAUGGUCUUCUUCGAUCAUCACAAAGCCUAUUGAAAUAAUUGCUCUAUGAAAACGUUGAUACCAUUGCCUAGAUGAUUAUUUCAAACCGUAAAUAGAACGUUUUAAGCGGCACACUGUGCGCUCUUGUCCUUCGGCUAUAAAACCAGGAGGUUGAUUCAUAUAAAUCUCCUCGUCUAGUUCUCCAUUGAGAAAUGCAGUCUUCACAUCCAUUUGGAAUAGUUCCAAAUCUAAAUGUGCGACGAUAGCCAGAAUCAGGCGAAUUGAAGCAAACCUCACCACUAGGGAGAAUGUCUCUUCAUAGUCUACUCCCUCCUUUUGGGUGUAUCCUUUCGCCACUAGUCGGGCCUUAUAUUUAUCAAUUGAUCCAUCUGCCUUCCGUUUUAUUUUAAAAAUUCAUUUAUUUCCAAUAGUUUUUCGUCCAAAUGGAAGAUCAACUAACUCCCACACAUUAUUCUUAGUUAUGGAACUCAUCUCAUCCUCCAUAGCAGCUAGCCAUUUAUCACAAACUGGUGAACUCAUAGCUUCAGCAUAAGAAGCCGGCUCAUCAACAUCCGUAGAAGCACACAUGAACGAUUUCCCUUCAAUCUCAAAUCGACGACGAGGAACACCUCCACGUUUACUUCUUCGUAAUGAUGGACUUUGUGAGCCAUGGUCAAUCGGCACACUCCCACUGACCAUAGGAUCACUCCCAUUGUUUUGGGCUAUUUCUUCAUGUGGCCUCAGUGCCUCAUUCUCGUCUAACAAUGGGACAUUUCCAUUAGGUUCUUGCAACUCGUAUAGUGCAAGAUCCUUUUUAAUCUCACCAAUGUCUGGAAAAUCAUUCUCAAGAAAAUCCACAUUGCGCGACUCUAUCUUAGUCAUUCCUCCAUCAGGAUGCUUGCCAUACAUCACAUAGCUUUUCGAGCAAUCAGAAUAUCUAAUAAAUAUUUGUUUAUUUGCUCUAGGGCCUAACUUUCCAUAUUUAUGAAAAGUAUUAUGCACAUAUCCUGCCGAUCUCCAUGGUCGUAAGCCUUCCAAAUUUGGCUUUAUUCCAUGCCAUAACUCAUAGGGAGUUGAAGGAACUGACUUAGAGGGCACUCGGUUAAGUAUAUAGGCAGCAGUCAACAACGCAUCACCCCAAAAAUUAAUUGGGAGGUUGGCUUGCGCCAUCAUUGACCUAACCAUUUCCAAAAGUGUCCUAUUCCUCCUCUCUGCAACACCAUUUUGUUGCGGAGUACCGGGAAUAGUUAACUAUUUGCGUAUUCCCUUUUCCUCACAUAGUUCCCUGAACUGGUCUGAUAAAUACUCUCGUCCUCUAUCAGUACGUAGAACUUUUAGAGUUCUUUCUGUUUGGUUCUCAACCUCCACUAAGAAGCGUUUAAAAUAAUCUAAAGCUUCUGAACGGUGAGACAACAAAUAUACCGAACAAUAACGGGAGUAGUCAUCAAUGAAAGUGAGGAAAUAGUACGCGCCAUGGCGUGCUCUCACAUCAUAGGUCUGCAUAUGUCUGAAGGAACUAGCUCCAAUGGAUGAGUUACGUGCCUUACCAAAAGGCUUUCUGCAGGUUUUUCUUGCUAAACAUGGUUCACAAUGAGGUAGGCUAAGCUUAGCGAGUGACCCCAACAGGCCUUCUCUAGCUAGUCGAGCCAUUCUUUCUUGUCCAAUGUGACCCAAUCUCACAUGCCAUUUGAUAGAAUCAGAUACAAUAUCAGAAGAAACUAAUAAAGCAGAAUUAUUGUUAUGAUUAAUAAAAUCCAAGUCCAAAUCUAAGACAAAGAAAUCAUUCUUUAAACAACCAUUACCAUAAAAGUCCUUGCCCAAAUAAAUAUCUAAUUGAGUAUCCGUAAAUUGAAAAGAAAAACCUAAUCUAAGUAAAGCUGAAACUGACAGUAGAUUACAUCGGAUGUUCGAUGCAUACAGCACAUCAUGUAAUAUCAAAUAAUGACCAUUGCACAAUCUAAGUUGGUAUGCGCCAAUUCCAAAGACUUCUUCCUCAGUGCCGUUUCCCAUCAUGACAUAAUGGCUGCUAGCAGACACCUGACGAUAAUCCACAUAUCCUGCUCGAUCUCUCGUUACAUGCUUUGUUGCUCCUGUGUCUACAAUCCAAUCGAAGAGAGCGUGAGCAACAAAAGCGUGCGAGCAUACAUAAAUAAGAUAGUCAGAAUUGGAAUUUACCUUCUUCGGCUCAGUGCAAUCACAAGCGAAGUGUCCCAUAUUUCUACAGUUAUAGCAUUUCACUUUAUUUAAAUUUUUCUUUCCACGCCUGCCUUUGCGGCGCUUCUCAAUUCCGCCCUCAUUCGGCGCGCGAUUCCCAGUCUUUGCAUAUUUAUUUUCUCCAUUUCGGCACUUGUGCUUAGGCCACUUGCCUCUGCGCUGUCCACCGUGGGCAACGAGUGCAUUGGCACGGUUCGCCUCUCUACGCUCCGCUUUCAACUCAAGAUGUCGAGCUAUAUCGUUGAAGGUCUUGAUACUUUUAUUAUGAGUCAGCACAAUCUUGAUUUGAUCCCAAGAUGAAUCUGGUAAGGACCUUAUAAUUGAUUGAACCUGUUGUCCACCAGUGAGCUCACAAUCGGCUGCUUUAAAUGUCGGAUCGUUGGCGCUAACCAUUAAUCCCAAAAGCUCGAGCUGUUAAAAAUACGCAACCAAUUCAAUUAAAGCGUACAGAAACAGUGCCCACGGGUCUCGAUUGUGACUCGGCCCACCUGGCCUCACACCACUUCGAACAUGACUCGGCCCAACCCAGCCUCACGCCAUUUCGAACAUGACUNNNNNNNNNNNNNNNNNNNNNNNNNNNNNNNNNNNNNNNNNNNNNNNNNNNNNNNNNNNNNNNNNNNNNNNNNNNNNNNNNNNNNNNNNNNNNNNNNNNNNNNNNNNNNNNNNNNNNNNNNNNNNNNNNNNNNNNNNNNNNNNNNNNNNNNNNNNNNNNNNNNNNNNNNNNNNNNNNNNNNNNNNNNNNNNNNNNNNNNNNNNNNNNNNNNNNNNNNNNNNNNNNNNNNNNNNNNNNNNNNNNNNNNNNNNNNNNNNNNNNNNNNNNNNNNNNNNNNNNNNNNNNNNNNNNNNNNNNNNNNNNNNNNNNNNNNNNNNNNNNNNNNNNNNNNNNNNNNNNNNNNNNNNNNNNNNNNNNNNNNNNNNNNNNNNNNNNNNNNNNNNNNNNNNNNNNNNNNNNNNNNNNNNNNNNNNNNNNNNNNNNNNNNNNNNNNNNNNNNNNNNNNNNNNNNNNNNNNNNNNNNNNNNNNNNNNNNNNNNNNNNNNNNNNNNNNNNNNNNNNNNNNNNNNNNNNNNNNNNNNNNNNNNNNNNNNNNNNNNNNNNNNNNNNNNNNNNNNNNNNNNNNNNNNNNNNNNNNNNNNNNNNNNNNNNNNNNNNNNNNNNNNNNNNNNNNNNNNNNNNNNNNNNNNNNNNNNNNNNNNNNNNNNNNNNNNNNNNNNNNNNNNNNNNNNNNNNNNNNNNNNNNNNNNNNNNNNNNNNNNNNNNNNNNNNNNNNNNNNNNNNNNNNNNNNNNNNNNNNNNNNNNNNNNNNNNNNNNNNNNNNNNNNNNNNNNNNNNNNNNNNNNNNNNNNNNNNNNNNNNNNNNNNNNNNNNNNNNNNNNNNNNNNNNNNNNNNNNNNNNNNNNNNNNNNNNNNNNNNNNNNNNNNNNNNNNNNNNNNNNNNNNNNNNNNNNNNNNNNNNNNNNNNNNNNNNNNNNNNNNNNNNNNNNNNNNNNNNNNNNNNNNNNNNNNNNNNNNNNNNNNNNNNNNNNNNNNNNNNNNNNNNNNNNNNNNNNNNNNNNNNNNNNNNNNNNNNNNNNNNNNNNNNNNNNNNNNNNNNNNNNNNNNNNNNNNNNNNNNNNNNNNNNNNNNNNNNNNNNNNNNNNNNNNNNNNNNNNNNNNNNNNNNNNNNNNNNNNNNNNNNNNNNNNNNNNNNNNNNNNNNNNNNNNNNNNNNNNNNNNNNNNNNNNNNNNNNNNNNNNNNNNNNNNNNNNNNNNNNNNNNNNNNNNNNNNNNNNNNNNNNNNNNNNNNNNNNNNNNNNNNNNNNNNNNNNNNNNNNNNNNNNNNNNNNNNNNNNNNNNNNNNNNNNNNNNNNNNNNNNNNNNNNNNNNNNNNNNNNNNNNNNNNNNNNNNNNNNNNNNNNNNNNNNNNNNNNNNNNNNNNNNNNNNNNNNNNNNNNNNNNNNNNNNNNNNNNNNNNNNNNNNNNNNNNNNNNNNNNNNNNNNNNNNNNNNNNNNNNNNNNNNNNNNNNNNNNNNNNNNNNCCUCAGCCCCUGCCAGGGCGUACAAUUUGUGCGUACGUACCUCCACGUCCGAUCUCACGCGAUUCGAUACAUAAAAUGUCGCGCCUUUUGCGAAUUUUCCGAAUUGCCACCUUUGACCUCUUAACGAAAACUUCGCAAUUACCAGAGAUCCGUCAGUCGGAUUUUCGAUCCGACAGCACCAUUGCGUUCAGCACGUCGGGGGCAUCAAAACUACGAUCUUAUUUCGUCAGAUAUGGUCACGGAUUCGCAACGGAACCCAUCCGCUCUCUAAUUAAUCCAUAUAUCGCACAUAUACCAAUGUGUAAACCCAUUAAACCAACUUUCGCAUAAGAAAUUGACUUCCCUACCACUAGUAGGGACUCGAAACAUUCUUCACCCUACUCCAUGUCACAAGCACGGAGUACGAGAAGCUUUAGAAUGCACAGAAAAGCAAAGAGCGGAAACCCUCUUUCGGUAAAAAUCCUUUUUCUCGAAAAUCGUGCAUCAGAUCAGAAAUCCGUCAGUGCCAUUGGUUCCAGAAUAGCUGAACCGAUCGAAACGAGCUAUUGGAUCGCUAUGAACGGAGUCCGAUACGCGCCGAAAGCCAACUCUACUCCGUGGCUUCUCCGAAAAACCGGAGUUACUAUUCAUUUAAGUGGAAACUAAUAAUCGCGUAACUUCUCCAUUCUAGCUCAUAUUCUCCUGAAACUUGACGAGUGCUUAUGUAAUUAAAUUACACACAUAAACAUCAUCAACAGAGAGUUUAGUUGCAUUGUCAAAAUCUCAGUCCCUACACUCCCACUGACCAUAGGAUCACUCCCAUUGUUUUGGGCUAUUUCUUCAUGUGGCCUCAGUGCCUCAUUCUCGCCUAACAAUAGGACAUUUCCAUUAGGUUCUUGCAACUCGUAUAGUGCAAGAUCCUUUUUAAUCUCACUAAUGUCUGGAAAAUCAUUCUGAAGAAAAUCCACAUCGCGCGACUCUAUCUCAGUCAUUCCUCCAUCAGGAUGCUUGCCAUACAUCACAUAGCCUUUCGAGCAAUCAGAAUAUCUAAUAAAAAUUUGUUUAUUUGCUCUAGGGCCUAACUUUCCAUAUUUAUGGAAAGUAUUAUGCACAUACCCUGCCGAUCCCCAUGGUUGUAAGCCUUCCAAAUUUGGCUUUAUUCCAUGCCAUAACUCAUAGGGAGUUGAAGGAACUGACUUAGAGGGAACUCGGUUAAGUAUAUAGGCAGCAGUCAACAACGCAUCACUCCAAAAACUAAUUGGGAGGUUGGCUUGUGCCAUCAUUGACCUAACCAUUUCCAAAAUUGUCCUAUUUCUCUUCUCUGCAACACUAUUUUGUUGCGGAGUACCGGGAAUAGUUAACUAUUUGUGUAUUCCCUUUUCCUCACAUAGUUCCCUGAACUGGUCUGAUAAAUACUCUCGUCCUCUAUCAGUACGUAGAACUUUUAGAGUUCUUUCUGUUUGGUUCUCAACCUCCACUAAGAAGCGUUUAAAAUAAUCUAAAGCUUCUGAACGGUGAGACAACAGAUAUACCGAACUAUAACGGGAGUAGUCAUCAAUGAAAGUGAGGAAAUAGUACGCGCCAUGACGUGCUCUCAAAUUCAUAGGUCCGCAUAUGUCUGAAUGAACUAGCUCCAAUGGAUGAGUUGCUCUACGUGCCUUACCAAAAGGCUUUCUGCAGGCUUUUCCUGCUAAACAUGGUUCACAAGGAGGUAGGCUAAGCUUAGCGAGUGACCCCAAUAGGCCUUCUCUAGCUAGUCGAGCCAUUCUUUCUUGUCCAAUGUGACCCAAUCUCGCAUGCCCUUUGAUAGAAUCAGAUACAAUAUCAGAAGAAACUAAUAAAGCAGAAUUAUUGUUAUGAUUAAUAAAAUCCAAGUCCAAAUCUAAGAGAAAGAAAUCAAUUUUUAAACAACCAUUACCAUAAAAGUUCUUGCCCAAAUAAAUAUCUAACUGAGUAUCCGUAAAUUGGAAAGAAAAACCUAAUCUAAGUAAAGCUAAAACUGUGAGUAGAUUACAUCGGAUGUUCGGUGAAUACAGCACAUCAUGUAAUAUCAAAUAACGACCAUUGCGCAAUCUAUGUUGGUAUGCGCCAAUUCCAAGGACUUCUUCCUCAGUGCCGUUUCCCAUCAUGACAUAAUGGCUGCUAACAAACACCCGACGAUAAUCCACAUAUCCUGCUCGAUCUCUCGUUACAUGCUUUGUUGCUCCUGUGUCUACAAUCCAAUCAGAGAGAGCGUGAGCAACAAAAAUGUGCGAGCAUACAUAAAUAANACCAAUUCACUUAAAGCGUAUAGAAACAGCGUCCACGGGUCUCGAUUGUGACUCGGCCCACCUGGCCUCACGCCACUUCGAACAUGACUCGGCCCAACCCAGCCUCACGCCAUUUUGAACAUGACUCGGCCCACAUGGCCUCCCGCCACAGGGCAGGAUGCUGGCCCAUUUAAGCCAACAUUAAGUUCUCUUAUUAUAGCAGACAUCACCCUUAAGUGCUCUACCAUAGAAUGCUUCGGGUCCAACAAGUAUUGAUUGAAUUUGAGAUUCAAUGCACGAAGUCUUGUGGUCGAUGUGGCCCCAUAUUUCACUUUUAGCUGCUCCCACAUAUUUUUAGCAGUCUCAUAAUUCUGAAAUUCUUUAAUCAAAUCAUCGUGCAUACAGCUCAACAUUGUAUAGCGUGCACUUCGAUCUUUCUCAAGCCACUCGUUGUAGGCUUGCAAAUCGCGACGGUGUUGAGCCGUCGUGUACUGUUGGUUAAAUGACUAAGUAUUCCUUUCUCAUUAAGGAGAUAUUGAAUUUUCCUAUGCCACAUGUCAUAAUUCGUUCCAUCGAGCCGAUUUUGAUUUAACGAAUCCACGAUGGAACAAUUUUUGGAAGCUAUUUAUCACUACAAUAAUGCACAUAAUUUUAAAUUAGGCACAAAUAUCCACAAUAUUAUUCUCAAUCCAAUUUGAUUAUAAAAUUUCUCACUGCAUCUUUAAAUCGAAAAUUUCGCCUUUGAAAAGACUAAUAAUCAUCUCAUCCAAUGCAAAAAAAAUAAUAAAUCAAAUUAAUUAAGAAUAAAUCCACGUCACAAAUUAAAUGAUGAACAUUAUGCAAUCAUUAUGCAAUUUAAUCAAAAUAACACAUUGCAAUUUAUGAAGCAAUCAUAACUUAUAUAAGACAGCAAGAAAUAAUAUAUAAAAGUUAACAUGUAAAUUUUAAAGAAGCAAUAUUGAUCCUAGUGGUUUGAUGAAGUAGGCCUAAAGCUUAGGGUUGAGGUAGGGGUGUAAAACGGGCCGGGCGGCACGUGGCCCGCCCGGCCCGGCACGGCUGCGGGCCGGGCCGGCAGCACUCGGGCGAUGCUUGGCUAUUUUGAAGACGACGGCCGGCACGGGCGGCCGAAAGGGCUUGGGCCGUGCGCUGGGCGUAGGAGAAGGCCGUGGUCAGGCACGGCACGCCGCUUGGGCCGUGCAGCCGGCCCACGGCCCGAGAACCAGGCCAAGGCAAGUUGCUUGGCCUGGGGUUUUGCUCUCCUUGGGUGGAGUGCCUUGACUGUCCAAGGAUGAGCUCCUUCCCAAGGUCUGCCUAGGACCUUGGGGGUGAUUUUGGCAAUGGACAAGCAAUUUUGGUCAUUGGCCAAAACCUUCUCAACUUUUUUUUUUUUUCAAAAAAGAAGUCAAAUAUUUAAUAAAUUUAAAAUUAUUUUUUAUUAUUUUUAUAAUUUUAUUUUUUAAUCAAAAAUCUCGCUUUAUAUAAAUAUAUUUUUGUUUAUUUUUUUUAUAUUUAUGUAUAUUUUAAAAAAUAAAAGGGCGGCCGGAGCACAGGGCCGGCCUCGACGUGCCCUGUGCUUCGGCCAGGUGGCCGUGCUGGCCGGUGUAGGGUUCGGGCUGCCGGCCGCCCGGAUUAGCACGGGCCGGAGCACGGCAUCUAUCCGCCGUCGGCCGUGAAUGUGGGUCGUGACGGCCGGCAGGCACCACAUUACAGCCUAGGUUGAUGAGGUAGUUUCACAGCCUAUAGAACAUGGUUUUACCUGUUUUUAUUUUAGUUUGCGCCAUAAGAUUCCAUCGCGGUUGGACUUGGCCCUGUUGAUGCUAUAGACUAAUAAAACUCAUGGAUUUUAAUUCUUCAUGGGUUUUGUCUAAUAUGAAAUCUGCGAAUCCAGUAAUACAAAAAAAUUCAAGCUUAUUUUAAGCUGUUGGUAAAGAUAGAUUCCACCAGAUUUAUGUAUAAUAAUUAAUGGGGUCUAAGAUUGUUACAAUUUUCAAAUUCAAAGUUCAAAAUGUAAAAUAAAUUUUAAAAAUUUAAAUUAAAAUUCAAAUAUAAGAUUAAAAUUUAAAUUUAAAAUUAAAUAAUCUAAUUUAUUUUAUGUUUUAAAUUUGAAAUUUAAUUUGGAUUGUGAAAUUUAAAAUUUAAAUUUGAACUUUAAUUUUAAUUUAAGUUAUCAUUAACUUUAAAUUAAUUAAUAAUCUUAAUUAAAUUUAAUUUUAAAUUUAAUUUUUAAAUUUCCUAUUUAAAUUUAAAUUUAAUUUAGUUUAAUUUUAAUUUUUGGAAAAUUGAAAUUAACAAUUAAAAUUAAAUUAAUUUGUAACUUUUGAAUUUGAAAUUGAUUGACUUUUUGAAAUCGUUGAAUUUCAGUUCGAAAUUCAACUUUUUGAAUUUGAAAUUUCAGAGUUGAAUUUGAAUUUCAUAAGAUUGAAAUUUGAAAUUUAAUGUUGAACUUUUGAAUUCUGGAAUUUGAAUUUGAAAUUUGAAAUUUGAAAUUUGAGCAUGAAUUUAAAAUUUGAAAUUUGAAUUUGAAUAUUGAAUUUUGAAGGGAAAUUUCAAUUCAUUUAAAUCAAAAUGAAUUGAAUUUUAAUUUUAAUUUGAAUUUAAUUAAUGUUGAAAUUUUAAAUAGAAUUUAUAAUCUUUGGGAGCCCAAAUGUGGAAUUUUUUUUUUUGGUUAAGUGGUUAUAAGUUUACUCUAUUUUUUUGGAGUAUAGUUUAUAAACUAUACUCAAUUAGUUAUUUUUUUUUUUUCGUCCAAACACUUCAUAGGUAUUUUCCUAUCGGGCCGUAGCAUAGAUUAACUUGCUACGUUUUUGAGGGUAUCAAGUGUGUCCUUAAUUUGGUCUCGCGAAGAAAAGGUGUCUUUGCUUGCAUGCACGCCCAUCGCGGACGGGCUCCCGCAUGCCCGUAGGCCCAACUCGAGCGGGUCUUCCGCGAUGGGCUCCCGCAUUCCCGCAGGCCCAACAAGGGUGGGCCACCUAGUAAGCCCAGCGCGGGCGGCCUCGCAAGGCCGCCGGUCUUGCGCAUGCAGGCCGCUGCAGGCCUUGUGCAUGCGGGCUGCCGCAGGCCCUACACGGGCAGGUGCUGGAGGCCCAGCGCAGGUGGCCUCUCAAGCCUACAGGCAGGACGUAGAUCCUGCGCAUGCGACCCUCCGCAAGCCUGGCACGGGUUAGCCUCCAAAACCCAAAGCGGGCAGCAUGUCGGUUAAUUUGCAAAGAUCAAGGAAGCAAUCAUAUGUGAUGUUGACUUGCCAAUUGCGAAUCAAAACUUCACCAACAAUAAUUUUUAUAUUUUUUAACAACAUAAAAAUAUAUUCGAUGUUAAAAAAAACGAAUCAUCGAGUUAAAACAAGAACUACAUGGCUCUGAUACCACUGUUGGAUAAAAUUAAUUAAAUACCCAAAAAUCAAUCGUCGCAAAAAUCACAUAGAUUUUUACAUGCCUCUUUAUGGUGCGGAAUUAAUGUUGUGAUUAUCAGGAUCUGAUCUCGUCUUGUUUUACGAACUCGUUGAUCCGUCAACGUCCUGUCUCAAUUUGUUGCACGUUGUUCUUACUCGUUGCAAUCCGGCUACUAGAGUCGAUCGCCGCCCACCGCCCAAAUCCCUAGGGUUUAUGAUGGUGCCCUAGAGCGAACCCAAGAGAGAGAAUUUUUGUGGAGAGAUGAUUCUUCUUUUUUUUUUUGUUGUCUUUCUUCUGUCGUAUAUGGUCAAUACCUCAUGUAUUUAUAGGCCAUAAGGGAGACGUUAAUCUUAAUCAUAUUCUAACUAAAUCUCACAUAGUUAAAGAUUUAAACAGAUUAGGAUUUAUCUGUUAGAUUUAUUCUUUAUCCCAAAUGGACUAUAAAUAUAACAAAUAAUUAUAAAUAUUUAUUUCUUAUCCCAUAUAGAUUAGAAAUAUUUUAGAUAAGUCCCAAUGUGGACGAAUCCUAACACAAAUAAACAUAUCUAAAGUUGUAGAUCUAUUUUUAAGUUGCAAUAACAAAAAAAAAAAAAAAAUCAUACCUCGUUUGAGUGCGCGCGGGGUGUGGGUAGUUCGGGGCUAUUCGUACAGAGUGAGAAGGGCGGCGCAAGGGAGCGACGGGGGUGUGCGGUGAGGUUCGUGUUGGGGAGUAUAACAAAGAGAGAGAGCUCCGUCUAGACCAAGGUGUAGAGAGAGAGAGAGAGGGAGAGGAAGAAAAAUCUGAGCCUAGCUUGGUCUGGACCAAGGCGUAAAGAGAGAGAGAGAGAGGGAGAGGGAGAAAAAUCUCAGAGAUAGAGNUUCAUAGGAUUAUUUUCCUACCGGCGUAGCAUAGUUUAACUAUGCUACGUUUUUAGAGGUAUCCAAACGGGUCCUUAAUCUUGGUCCAAAAAACGGGUUGCUGGCAUGUGCUUGCAUGCAGGCCCAUCGCGGACGGGCUCCCGCAUGCCCGCAGGCCCAACUCGAGCGGGUCUUCCGCGAUGGGCUCCCGCAUUCCCGCAGGCCCAACAAGGGCGGGCCACCUAGUAAGCCCAGCGCGGGCGGCCUCGCAAGGCCGCUGGUCUUGCGCAUGCAGGCCGCCGCAGGCCUUGUGCAUGCGGGCUGCCGCAGGCCCUACACGGGCAGGUGCUGGAGGCCCAGCUCAGGCGGCCUCUCAAGCCUACAGGCAGGACGUAGAUCGUGUGCAUGCAACCCUCCGCAAGCCUGGCACGGGUUAGCCUCCAAAACCCAAAGCGGGCAGCAUGCGGGUUAAUUUGCAAAGAUGAAGGAAGCAAUCAUAUGUGAUGUUGAUUUGCCAAUUGCGAAUCAAAACUUCACCAACAAUAAUUUUUAUAUUUUUUAACAACAUAAAAAUAUAUUCGAUGUUAAAAAAAUGAAUCAUCGAGCGAAAACAAGAACUACAUGGCUCUGAUACCACUGUUGGAUAAAAUUAAUUAAAUACCCAAAAAUCAAUCGUCGCAAAAAUCACAUAGAUUUUUACAUACCUCUUUAUGAUGCGGAAUUAAUGUUGUAUAUAAUUAUCAGGAUCUAAUCUCGUCUUGUUUUACGAACUCGUUGAUCCACCAACGUCCUGUCUCAAUUUGUUGCACGUUGUUCUUACUCGUUGCAAUCCGGCUACUAGAGUCGAUCGCCGCCUACCGCCCAAAUCCCUAGGGUUUAUGAUGGUGCCCUAAAGCGAACCCAAGAGAGAGAAUUUUUGUGGAGAGAUGAUUCUUCUUUUUUUUUGUUGUCUUUCUUCUGUCGUAUAUGGUCAAUACCUCAUGUAUUUAUAGGCCAUAAGGGAGACGCUAAUCCUAAUCAUAUUCUAACUAAAUCUUACAUAGAUAAAGAUUUAAACAGAUUAUGAUUUAUCUGUUAGAUUUAUUCUUUAUCCCAAGUGGACUAGGAAUAUAACAGAUAAUUAUAAAUAUUUAUUUCUUAUCCCAUAUGGAUUAGAAAUGUUUUAGAUAAGUCCCAAUGUGGACGAAUCCUAACAGCCAUGAUCAUAUAACAUAUAGGGUGCGUUUGGUUCGAGUUAUCCUGGCAGGAUUACAGGCAAUCCUGCCAGGAUAACUGUGUUUGGUUAAUCCGCUAUGUAAUCUAGUCGUUAAUGUAGCAUUACAAAUCGAGCAGGAUUACAUCGAAAAUAUUAACGGGAGUGGGGUCGUGUAUCUUGCAUUACUGAAACCCGUUAAUACUACAUAUUAUAUAAAAUGACAAUUUCACCCUCCAACAACCCCAAAUCUAAUUAACAGCAUUAUUUUCAUCUCUCUCUCGUCUUCCCCCCUCUCUCUCGUAUGCCGCUUUCUCUCGCUCUCUCUCUCUCUCGACGUCUCUCUCUCUCUCUCUCUCUCUUUCUCUCUCUCUCUCUCGCAUGAACACCUAUCAUCUUCUAUUGCGUCGUCCUCCCAGGUAAUCAUCACGAUCUCCUUCCCUCCAUUCGUCAUUUCUGCAAAAAAUAAUAUUCAAAUGACCACAACAAGGGUAAUUUUGAAAAAAACUAUACUUUUAUGUCAGGAUUACUAAAUUUUAUUAACUGAACCAAACGUAUUAAUGCUAUAAGCACUGUAAUCUAGUAUUACAUUACUGCAUUAAACCAAACGCACUAAUACAGCAUCAGUAGUAAUCUGAUGCUAAAAUCUAAGAUACCUGGAUAUGUCGAGAUACUUUGUAAUAUUACAUAACUCGAACCAAACGGGCCCAUAGAGUUAUAUUGCCGUAGUUGUACAUGAUUUGAGAUGAGCAUGUUAGGGAUGGGUAGAUUCUCGGAUAUUGUCAUUCUUUUGUUGUAUAUUAUGAUGCAUGAGAGUUGCAUAAUGUCGGAUUCUAUGUUAUCUUGGGAUGAGUAAAUUGCAUGCUCUUGAAUGUGGAAUAGAACUUAAUAUUGCAAGUCAUAACAUUUCAUGUAUAAAAUUGGAUAUUGGUCGUUAAGAACCCUAGAUAUACAUGUGAACUAGUGGUGAGGCUAGAGUAUGGAUUUAGACAAACCUUGUGUAGCACUAGGUGUAUUGAUAGUUGUAGAACUUGAACCUAGUGACAAGAAUUGAGUGAAAUUUCAAGUGCGAAUGACGGUUUGAGUCAUUUGCAUGUAUAGCAUGACAACUAGCACCUUGUCAUUGGGAUUGAAAUAGAUCCCCAAAGGUUGCUAUUGGGAUUGAAAUAAAUCCCCAAAUAUUGUCACAAGGGUCAGUAGUGAGUUCUUUUGGUUGAGAGAACUAGAUCAUACUCGUAUAGUCUGUUACAGCUUGUGGAGGCCACGACUCCACAAGUAGUGAGUUCUAGAGUGUCACACGAAAAAAGCGGGCGAGGAUCACAGUAGAACCUCCCCAGCAAACAACCAUGGUGGUGGCUCGGGUGUGAAAGAUCUCCUCCCCACAUCGCCAGCCAAGGUGGUGGCUCGGGAGUGAAAGACCUCCCUACUUGGCGGUGUGAGUUGGGUUCGACCUUAGGAUGAGCUGGUAUGAUUGGAUCAUGAGGUAACAGAGGAAGAUAUCUGAGUAUAGUAAGUCUUGUUUUUGGCUACCUUGUGUAGUAUUGUUGUAGUGUCACAUGGUUGGUGACGGGUCGAUUAUGCCUCCUCAACAAACAGGCAAAGGUGGGUGAUUGGGUCGCGUAGCGCCUCCCCACAUGGCUGAGAGGGGUGAGUUGGGCUUGACCUUAUAGCAAGCUUCCUGAUUGGGUCAAGAAUAAGUAAAGGGUCAAGUUGAGCAUAUUGAGCCUUGGAACAUAUCUUUACUCGUAAAGGUAUAGUAGUGUUUAUUCCAAUUUAUGUAUAGUGUAGUUAUUUACUGCUUCUUGAUUUUUGUAUCUACUUAUACUUGAUUAGACAUAGUAGGAAAGUCGGUGAGGUUGGCAGCCGAACACAUUGGAAACUUCUUUUAAUUCUCACCCCUAUUUUGCAGAGCCAACUAUAAGCGAAGUGGCAUCAAACCGAGGCGUGGGUGUUGCGUCUUAGAUUGCAAGGUCACCAAGUGUAGGUUACCCAUGUUCAAGUAAAAGAAAAGAUUGUAAAGGUAUUUGGAACGAAAAUGUAAUUGCAAACAAAUAUUGUAUUUUAAGGAAAUGACAUGUACCAAAUGUUAUAUAUCUAAGUUGGAAAAUAUAUGUAUAAAUGUGAUUGUUCCAAUAUUGUAAUAGUUAGAUUUACAAACUCGCUCUUGUGAUAUGCCCUCAUACAGAACUGUGUUAUGUUGUUUUUUUGUGUGAAAUUCAAUAUAUUUAGUUUUGUUUACGCCUUGGACAGAUAAAAAGAAUUUUGUCUGUUCGGCGAGUUUGUGCACGUGCCUAUGUAGCCUCCACUGUGAAACAGGCAAGGCGUGACAAACUAAAAUAAAACACUGAAAAAUUUACACCCUGUUUGAUUGGGGGUUAAAAGGGGGAAUAAGGGGGUUAUCCUCUCCUUUAACCCCAAACAAAAAAUUUUGGGGGUGGGGUUAGCAACCCAGGAAUAGGGGUGGGAUUAAGUUAAACCCCUAUUCAAUUUUUUAAUAUAAAUAUAAAAUUUAAUUUUAAAAUUUAAAAUUUUAAAAAUUUAUAUAUUUAAAUUUUAGAAUUAAUAUUUUUUUUAAAUUUAAAAUUUAAAAUUAUUAUUUUUAAUUAUUUAAAUUUUAAAAUUGAUAUUUUAUAUUUGUAACUUUAAAUUUUUUAAUUUGAGAUUUAAAAAUAUAGAUAUUAAUUUUGAAUUUUAAAUUUUAAUUUUUAAAUUUUAAAUUAUUAUUUUUAAUUCUUUAAAUUUUAAAUUUGACAUUUUANUUGGAUAAGCAUAAAUUUCUUUUCUAUUUUAGAGAUAAAAAAAUUAAAUAAAUUUUUAAUUAAAAUAUAGAUUCACAGUAGGUAUCUUUCAGUUGGUAAAAAUUUGGAUAAGUAUAUUAUUUUUUCUAUUUUAGAGAUAAAUAGAAAUUAAAAGCUUAUUUCAUUACGUUAUUUAUUUUACGUAAGAAAAGAGAAUCAAUAUUUUUUUCCCGCCAAAAAAUGGGUCUGUCGACAGACCCAAAUUUGUAAUACGUGCUUUUAUAUAUAGUAUAGAUAGUCCGGUUACUAUACUAUCGAUAAUACAAGGCAUUUGGUGGUAUCGAGUUUUCCACCGUUAGAUCUACCCUUUUGACCAUUUUCACCUGUUAGAUCAUACUAUUCAACUAAACACCCACUCAACUCUAGAGGUCCACUAUCAUUCCAACCGGGGAUCAUUAUAAUCCUAACCACAUCACUACAACAGAAUUAGGUUAUAGCGACACAUUUCUGGGACACUUUUUUUGUAAGUGUCUCAUUUAUGCCAAAAUCUUUAAAAAAUUCUACUAAAGCAUAUAUAUAAAGCUCAAUCCAAAAAAAAGUAAAAUAUUACUUUACUCAACCCACCCCACCCAGCCCGUUUGUCCUGAUUACAAACAGAAAAGGAAAAAAAAGAAAAAAAGAAAAAUAGAUCACCAUCUUUCCUUCUCCCCUCACUCAAUCUAUUGAAACCCUAGAUGAUGAGCCCCUCGUUCUCCUCCUCCUCCGUGCCGCAGCCGACGAGGUAGGGUUCCGGCGGUUGCUAAAUUCUUUAAUAAGUGUUGAUAAAUUAGCAGUAUUCUUUUUAAGUUAUACCGUCACUCUUCAAGUGUCACUAUAUACCUAGCGACCCCAGAUAUAACAACACUUUAAAAAAUGUCGGUAAUUUAGCCAGCAACAUUUUUUAUGACUUAUGCUGACUUUUAAAAGUGUCGCUAUAAACCGUUUUUGUUGUAGUGACACUUCCCUUCAUCCAAGGGCCGAAACCUAAUAACACUAAGCGUUUGGUACUAUUAAUAGUAUAGUAGCCUAAUCUAUUUAUAUGUAAAUAAAUAAUAGCACCAAGAAUUUGGAAGUGUUGGUGCUACCAAGUUUUCCACCAUUAGAUGCACUUUGAUCAUUUUCACCUGUUAGAUUAUGCUAUUCCACCAACCACCCACUAAACUAUACUAGGAAACCACUAUCAUCCUAACAACACAAAUCUUAAUCUAAGGGCCGAAAACUUAAUAGCACUAAUGAUGUGGUGCUAUUGGAAACAUUCUAGCCUUAUAUAUAUAUAUAUAUAGCUAGGUUACUAUGUUUUCAAAAGUACAAAUUCUUGCAUACUUAAGUUGUUUUGUAUGAUGGGACAUUCGAUUUGACGAUCAGUUCAUUAGACAUGAUCUAUAGUGUUUGAACUAUCUAUAAACCAAAUUUAUAAUUUUUUUUAUGCUUUGUUUGCCUACAGAACAAGCAGUCUCAAAAUGAACGGUUGAAAAUAAAAAUGUCAUAAAAAACAGCGAUAAAAGAUAAAUUUCAAAUUGAAAGUAUUGAUCUUACUCUUGAUAGUGUGUAAAAUUUUUAAAAAAAGAUUUGGUCUCUAGAUCUUGAAUUUGAUAAUCGUAUGAUCAUUUUUUAAUAGAUUUUUAUUUUCAGACAUUCAUUUUUGGCUAAAUUACAAAAAAUCCCCUGUCAAAACCCGCUUUUUCACUUCCCCCCCCAUCAUUUAAAAACCUACACUUUGCCCCCUUGUAAAAUAAAAAAUGUGCACUUCACCCCCUACCGUUAGGGUUCCGUUAUAAUAUUUUUUUUAUACAAAAAAUAUCCCAUCGCUGUUGCUUCGAUGGCUUCCGGGACGGCGCCCUCGCCGGCCUCGCUCUCCUCCACGAGCUCAACCUCCUCUUUGACCGCCCCCUCGAUGCCAUCUUCCUCAACUCCAACCGCCUCCGCCGCCGCCACCCCAUCCCCGCCAACCUCGGCGACUCCCCGGCCCCAUCGUCGUCCUCGCCCACAACAAACUCGGCGGCUGCAUCCCGCCCUCCAUCGGCCGCAUGGCCUGUUAGUUAUAUGCCCUAUAAGCCAAUCUUGUCAUAACUUAAAGGGUUAAUAUCAGUGUACUUUUCUUUUAUGAUUAAAUCUGGCAUUCUUCAUUUAUAUUACUGCCAAAUGCAUAUUUAUGAAUCGUCCAUAGAAUUAAUAGUAGAAGAAUUAAAUUUCUAAGAAGUUAGAAAUUUGACACNUAAAUUUGAGAUUUAAAAAUAUAGAUUUUAAUUUAAAUUUUAAAUUUUAAAUUAUUAUUUUUAAUUAUUUAAAUUUUAAAUUUAAAUUUAAAUAUAAUAAUUGGGGCAAAAUUAUUAUUUUCUAUUUAUAAUAACCCACUAUUUUUCUUAUAUAUCCCACCUACUCCAACCAAACACUAUUUUAUUUAUAUCUGGACUAAACUCAAUUCUCAAUCAAACACAAAAUUACUCUAACCACACCUUAACCCUGAACUUAACUCUAUUCCCGGAAUAACUAGUUAUUACUUAACCCCGAACCAAACGAAGUCAUAGGGACUUAAAAAAAAUCCUUAUUUAAAGGGAUGGGUCUUGAAUGUUGGAAUCACAAGUUUGAGGACCAAUGAAACUUGACUCAAAAAUGUUCGGAGACUAAUAGGGCAUCUUUCUCGAUGUAUUAAAGUUGAAAUAUAUGAAGACCCCUCAUCUAUAGGACAUUCUGAAAUUGCGCCCUCAACUUUAAUAUUUUUGAUUGGGACCCACUCGACUUCUAUUUUUUUGGAGUUAUUAUCUCAUACACCAGCAAAAGUACAUUUCAUGAAGUUAAUUUAAGAAAAUAGAGUACAGGAGCCUCAUAUAAACCAGUAAGUUCUAAAACCACAUAAUAAAAAAUCAUGUGAUAUAACCAAAUUGGAUGCUAUCCUAAAAUCUAUACAUAGUCUAAUAACUUGUUAAGAUUUUAGAACCAUCUUUUAAGUACACAUUUGGCUGCGCAUUUUGCGCGCAGUUUAGUGUGCAAACCUAUGUGUGGAACUCUUUAAUUAUGAAGAUGCAAACUAAACCCAAUGUUAAGUUCCUGGGAACUAUGUAGAUCUGAGAUGGGCCUGCAUUAAUUGGAUUUUGGACCCAAUAUAUAGAAGCAGUUUCCUCAGUUAGCUAUACAAGGUAGAUGCAUUGUUGCGCGUUAUUAACAAACAGUAUUUUUUCGCUCAUUCAAUUUUUUUGCUCAGUAAUAUCGUGAAUUUGAUUCUCACCUUCAAUUAGUGGGAAAGAGUAAGAUGCCGUCCAAAUAUAGUCCUGAAAUGUCUUUAUUGUUUCAACUUCAAAGAUACAAUGCAUGUGGAAUGAUUAGAGAUUCACGAGCAAUUUUGAUACGAAGAGCCACACCAUAUCCAAUGAUUAGACCUUCGCAAAUGAAGCCAUUAAGUAUUAUUGUGUGUUGCAGAAUUAUUUGGCCUAGCUAGGAUGGUCGGAGCAUUUAAAAAAAAUUGUUUUUUUUUGCAAAACUACUAGUAAAUUUUUAUGAAAUAACAUUUAUAACAGUAAUUGUCUAAUAGUAAUGAAUAUUUUCAGGUUACCUCGUAAAUAAUUAAUUAUUUUUCAGCACGGAGUAGCAGCUCAAAAAACCAAAAGAUAUUUACUAGCUUAGUUUUGCGUGAGAAAUAUUAUACACACUACAUAGUAUCGUCACAAUCAUUUUUCUUCAUUUUUUUUCGGUUUAUUAUUAUGUUUUUUUAUCUUACCCGCAUAUGUAUUAAACCGAAGAUUAAGAAUACAAACCUUAAAUUUAGGCCCAUAUAGUGACUUGAAUCCCUAAAAGUGCUUAAUUUCGUGAAAAAUAUUUUGUUUCGUAAUAAUUAUACAGUAUGAAAUGUACCUUAAACCAAUUAAUUCCAUUCUAUCCCAUGGAUAGCAAGGUAUCUAAUUAAGAACAAUCUAAUUUUUUAUAUUAAAUUAAUGUGUAAAAUUUUUUGCUUUUUUACUUUAAAAUAACUUGAAAAUCUUUGAUUGAUUAUUGUUAUUUCUAUAUAAAAUAAUUGUGUUAGACUGAUCGUUUCUAACACAAGCGGUAAAAGACUUAAUGAUUGGUAUUCGAGAAUCCAGAUUCGAAAAUAUCUCGAUUCGAAACUUAAUUAGCAGCUUUAUAUUUUCAGCUAAGUUUAUUUAUUUUAAAAAAAUUUAAUAGAUAUCCAAAUAGGCUCUUACUAUCGUGCAACUUUAGAUUCUUGGCUCUAGUAUAAAAUUUUCAAUGCAAACGGGGGCUCAAACUUCCGAUCUGAAAGUCGGCACUGAGUUAUGUGAUUACCAAUGGUGUGGUGGGUCCGCUGCAUCUGGGGAAGGAAAUUUGUUUGGACUUGCAGUCGUCAGUCAUCACCCACCCUUUUCUUUUUGGGACGUCGGCAGGUGUGUCCUUAUCCAAGAACAGGCAGAGAGGACAGACAUAGAUCAGAGCCAGAAGACCCAACACAUACAUGCUAGCUACCCUGGGCCCCAUUUAGGCCCGAUUACCCAAUUAAAUCAAUCUAUCUACAGUUUAGGGGCCCACAUCAUGCCUGACCCAUGCAUUUGGUGGGCCAGGUAUUUUCACUUGCACGGUCAACGCCAACUUCUGCGCACCUUACACAUUCUGCGGCCUAAUUCGCAAUGCUGUAGAGUACAGUAUUGUUUAAUUUUUUAUAAAAGUGCAAGUAUACUUUGACCUUAUUGUCAUUUUUUUAAAAUUUUUUAAAGUAAUUUUUCUUUUAUUUAUUGAAAUAUUAUGGAAGUGGAUGGGAGAUUGAUCGCAAUACUUGCAUUUAAGGUGUUGUUUUACUUUUAUUAUUUUGUUUUCUUAAAAGAAGUUGCCAACAAACCAUGACAAAAUGUAGGUGGAGAAAUCACAGAUUGACGCGUGAUGUAGUUCGAUGUCCCGCGAUGUGCCGACGGAAUCUGACUUUGUCUAAAGUGCGGACCGGAGAGGGAACGACUCGGACGGGUUUAAUUCCCGAGAGAUGGUCUCGAGAUCUUCACAUACGAGUCAAAGGCCUAAUGAGGUUUCGGUUUUCAAGCUUCGGUUGCUGCUAGUCCGGGCCGAAAUUUGAUGGAAGAGGACUAUCGUACAAUGGCGAUCCUCAAAAAGAAGAAAACCACACGGUUGGAGAUAUGCGCGUGAAAAUGGGUUCAUCGGUGAGGAUGAUGUGGUCCGGCAAGGUACAAGAUGGUUGUCGUAGGUGGUCACCGUCGAGCGAGAUGGUGGACAAAAGUGGUGGCGGCACAGUUAAUGGUACUUCUAUAUUUAGAUUACAACUACUUCUAGUGUGAAGAAGUAAAAUUUAAUUAGGGUUUCUUGUAAUGAGUUUUGGAUCUUUUCCUUGUAAAUGUCCUUUUUCUUUUUAUUGGAGUACAUCAUCACAAUUACUGGAGUGGUUCCCACAAUUUGUUUUCAAUGAUGCGGCUUCCAAAUCGACAAUCGACUUUGUUAGACUUGAUCUACACUAUUGCAAAUAUUUGGAAACUAAAUUUCAGAAUUUUUCGACAUCAUUUGGCUAGUGAUCAAAAGGUCUCAAAAUUGACAAUUUUAAUGAUAGAUGUGAUGUAUUUGUAAAUUUAACGAUGUAAAACAAUCCAAAUCAGAUAAAAUUUUUAUAGAAAAUUCUUUUUACUAUUUAGAGUAAGAUCAAUACCUCUGANAUAAAAAAAAAAAAAAUUUCGCUGCAUUAAAUGCACAUGUAGAUGCAUACAUUUCCUUAUAUGGCCGACACCCUCAACGAGAUCGUCAUCCUCGACGACGGCCUCGCCGCUUGCGUCCCGCCCGAGGUCGGCCUCCUCUGCCGCGGAUGAGGAGGAUGAAGGAGAAGACAAAAAUGGCGAAGGGCAAAAUGGUCAUUUUGUUAUACCGUUACCCCCUGUGAACAGUUUUAUUUUACAUGGGGGCAAAGUGUAGGUUUUUAAAUGACAGGGGGGAAAGUGAAAAAGCGGGUUUUGACAGGGAGGUUUUCCGUAAUUUAGCCUUCAUUUUUAUAUCCAUUUAAUGCAUAAGAGAAAAAUAUUAAAAAUAUAUGAAAUUUGAUUUCUAGAUAAUAUAAAUAGCCUAAAUUAUGUUCAACAAUAUAAUCAUUUAUUUGCAAACUUUAUAAUUAAAAAUAAAUUAGUAAUAAAUUGAACUGUUUGCUACGAAUAGUAGCCCUGCAAAGCUCUUGAUAUAUGGACAUUUUCUUAUGUUUGUUUCACAUGAUCACGUUGCUUUUGAAUGGAGACUCAGACGUGGCAAUAGCUAAAUUAGGGAUGCAAACGGGGCGGAUCCGGGGGCGGGAGAGUUCCCCCACCUCCCGCUCCAUUUCUUAUCGGGGCGGGGCGGAUUCGGGGUGGGUUACUUNUUUUCGAUGUUGCUACUUUCGAAUCGUCGAUCGGCUCCGUUAAAUUUGAUCUAGAGUAUUUGAAGUACCUAGAAAAUAAAUUUUAUGAUUUUACGAUAUCAUUUGCCUAGUGAACGAAGGGGCUCAAAAUCAACGGCUGAAAAUAAAAAUCUUACAAAUUGUAAUAAUAUGACAUUAAAAUUUUAAAUCUAAGAUAUUGAUCUUGUUUUAUAUAGUAUAAAGAAUUUUCUAUCAAAAUUUCAUAUGAUUUGGAUAUUUCUACACUGUUAAACUUGUAAACGACUCACUACGGCCAUUGAAAUUUGUUGAUUUUGAGCCCAUUCGAUUACUAGGCAAAUAAUAUCGAAAAAUAAUAAAAUUUAUUUUCUAGAUACUCCAAAUACUCUAGAUCAAGUUUAAUAGAGCCGAUCGACGAUUCGAAAGUCGCAACAUCGAAAACGAGCUGGAAACACGGAAGGCUCCGUGCUUCCAAUAGCAUAGUAGCCUCACUCAUAUAUAUAUAUAGGGUCCGGCUACUAUACUAUUAUGAGUACGAUCGCUCUCGUACUCAUAAGUUGUUUUCGAUGAUAGAGUUUCUGAAUCGACGAUCCACACCGUUAAACAUUAUUUACAGCAUUUAAAACUUCUAGAAAUCAAAUUUUAUAAUUUUUCGACAUCAUUUACCUUACGAUCAAGAGGUCACAAAUUUGACAAAUUUUAACGGCCGGUAUGGGAUACUUGCUAGUUUAACGGUGUAAAAGAAUCGGAAUUUGUUGAAUUUUUGAUAGAAAAUUCUAUUCACUACAUAUAUAAAGAUCAAUAACUCCGAUCUUGAAUUGAAGGAUCCGAUCAUCCUUUUUUAGGAUGUCGUUCGAUUUUGACCGGUCAUUUUAUGCCGACUUGAUGAACUUUAUUAUGAUUUCGAAAAUUUACAAAAUAUAUUUUCUAGAAGUUUCAAAUACUCUAUAUCAUAUUUAACGAAGUGGAUCGUCAAUUUGGAAGCUCCAUCAUUGAAAACAACUUAUGAGUACGAGGGCUUCAAUACUCAUAAUAGUAUAGUAGCCACGGCCUAUAUAUAUAUAUAUAUAUAUAUAUAUAUAUAUAAGAGAUAGCUAGGCUGGAAUACUAUUUAUAGCAAAAGAUUCUUUUUGCUACCAAGUUUUUAACUCUUACAUGAGAAAUUGUAGGUUUAAGAUGAUAUUAGUCCCUUAGGGUUGAGUGGUCCUUACUGAGUUAUAAUAUUUAAUCCAAUGGUUAGAAAUGAUGAAAAUAAUUAAUCCNCUAUACUCUCUUAAGUAUAGAGUCCUUCGUACUUAUAAAUUCUUUUUUGACGAUAAAUUUUCUGAAUCAACGAUCAUAUCGUUAAAAAUGAUCUAAAAUAUUUGAAACUUUUAGAAACCAAAUUUCACAAUUUUUUAAAAGGCUAAACUACAUAAAACUCUCCUGUCAAUACCCACUUUUUCACUUUUCCUUUCUGUCAUUUAAAAACCUACAUUUUGCCUCCUUGUAAAAUAAAAAAUGUUCACAGGAGGGUAUGGUGUGAACUGUGAUGACAAAAUAACCAAUUUGUCCCUCAUCAUUUUUAUCUCCUCCCUCUUUUUACUGAUCCGCGGCCUCUUCUCUUCCAUUUUUUGCUCAUCGAUUGGCCGUAGUUCGUCUUCAUUUUCUUCUCCACCUGCUCCCCUUCUUUCCUUCUGCACCCUCGUCCCCCAUCCAUUUCAGCGACAGUGGAGAGGAAAUCGAGGUGGGCGUAGAUGGAGAGGUGGGUAGGGCAAAGGCAAGGGUGAGGGCAAAGGUGAGGUGGCGGAGGAGGGCAAGGGGGUAUUUAUGGGCGCGGACGGAGAUGUGGGCGAGGAGGAGGCAACGGAGGAGGGCGAGGUGGCGGAAGAGAAGGGUGAGGGUAUUUUUGGUAUAAAAAAUAUAUAAUAAUAUUUUAUAAACGAAACCCUAGCGGAGCACAAACGACAGAGGGUGAAGUGAACAUUUUUUAUUUUAUAAGGGGGCAAAGUGCAUGUUUUUAAAUGACAGGGGGGAAGUAAAAAAGUGGAUAUUGACAGAGGGGUUUUCUGUAAUUUGGUCUUUUUAAAAUUAUAAAAAAGUCCAUCAAGCGGGCAUAUAAUGAACGGUCAAACUUGAACAAUCUCCUAAAAUAGAGAAUCAAAUUCUUCAAUAUAAGAUCGAAAUUAUUGAUCAUUAUCUAGAUAGUGAGUAGAAUAUUUUAUCAAAAAUUCAACCGAUUUCGUUACACCGUUAAACCAGCUACUAUUUCAUACCAACCGUUAAAAAUUGUCAACUUUGAGAUCUUUUGAUCAUAAAGUAAAAUGAUGUUGAAAAGUUAUAAAAUUUGAUUUUUAAAAUUUUUAAACGCUCUAAAUAAUGUUUAACGGUAUGAAUCAUUGAUUUGGAAGCUUAUCAUCGAAAACAACUUAUAAGUACGAAAACGAUCAUCCUCAUAAGAAUAUAGUAGUCGGACUCCCUUUCUCUCUCUCUCUCUUUCUCUCUCUCUGUAUAAAUAUAUAUAGAGCUAGGCUGGUAUACUAUCGGUAGCACGGAGGCCUCCGUGCUACCAAGUUGUUUUCGAUGAUGCGGCUUCCAAAUCNAAGAUGGGUUAACUUUUAAAAUGACUUAUUUACCCUCAAGUUAAGUUUCUCUUAAGUAAAAAUGUAUGGAGACCCCCUCAACUGUAUGCCAUUUUGAAACACUUUCAUUUUUUUCGUUGAUAUCCCAUUAACUUCUAGUUUUUUAAAAAAUUAAAAAAUUUCAGUGUAUAAAAAAAUGAAAAAUUUUUAGUUUUUUUUUAUUUUAUAUAAUAAAUAAUUAUAUAUAAAAAUUUAAAUGAAAAUAAUGUUAAGGAAUUAUCCGAUCUUUAUCUUUAAUCAUGAAAGCUUAAAAUUUUUUUAAUCAAAAUUAUUCUCAAUAAUUUUAUCUAAAAAAAACUAAAAUAUAAUAUAUUUUAGCUUUCGAACAAAACUCAUCAAUUGCAUGCAUAUAGUUAUGUGAUUUACUUUUGCUUAAAUAGGAAAAAAAAUAAAAUCUAUAAUUUAUUUAUGUUACUAAAUAGGAAUAUAAAUUGAUAAUGAUACGCAAUUUUUUCUGAACUCGAUUUAAAAUGGGAUAAGCUUAAUCAAUGCUGAAUAGGAAUAGUUUCAGUUAUAGGUAUCAAAAAAUAAAAUUCCAUCGUAUGUAAAUUCAGUUAUGGGUUUGGUCUAUAUUUAAACUGAACCGAAAUCCAAAACCAAAAACAAAACCAGAAUCAGAUAAAAACAUACUAUAUAUAAAAUAUAAUUUUUAUAUAUUUUUAAUAAUUAAUAUAUAUUAAUGAUUUAAUUUAAUAUGUAUAUAUUAAAUACUCAAAUUUAGAUUUACAAAAAUUGUCUUGAAAUACCUAUUAGUAUUUNNNNNNNNNNNNNNNNNNNNNNNNNNNNNNNNNNNNNNNNNNNNNNNNNNNNNNNNNNNNNNNNNNNNNNNNNNNNNNNNNNNNNNNNNNNNNNNNNNNNNNNNNNNNNNNNNNNNNNNNNNNNNNNNNNNNNNNNNNNNNNNNNNNNNNNNNNNNNNNNNNNNNNNNNNNNNNNNNNNNNNNNNNNNNNNNNNNNNNNNNNNNNNNNNNNNNNNNNNNNNNNNNNNNNNNNNNNNNNNNNNNNNNNNNNNNNNNNNNNNNNNNNNNNNNNNNNNNNNNNNNNNNNNNNNNNNNNNNNNNNNNNNNNNNNNNNNNNNNNNNNNNNNNNNNNNNNNNNNNNNNNNNNNNNNNNNNNNNNNNNNNNNNNNNNNNNNNNNNNNNNNNNNNNNNNNNNNNNNNNNNNNNNNNNNNNNNNNNNNNNNNNNNNNNNNNNNNNNNNNNNNNNNNNNNNNNNNNNNNNNNNNNNNNNNNNNNNNNNNNNNNNNNNNNNNNNNNNNNNNNNNNNNNNNNNNNNNNNNNNNNNNNNNNNNNNNNNNNNNNNNNNNNNNNNNNNNNNNNNNNNNNNNNNNNNNNNNNNNNNNNNNNNNNNNNNNNNNNNNNNNNNNNNNNNNNNNNNNNNNNNNNNNNNNNNNNNNNNNNNNNNNNNNNNNNNNNNNNNNNNNNNNNNNNNNNNNNNNNNNNNNNNNNNNNUAUAUACAUAUAUAUAUAUAGAUAUAUAUAUAUAUAUAUAUCUAUAGAUAUAUAUAUAUAUAUAUAUCUAUAUAUAUAUAUAUAUAUAUAUAUAUAUCUAUAUAUAUAUAUAUAUAUAUAUAUAUAUAUAUAUAUAUAUAUAUAUAUAUAUAUAUAUAUAUAUAUAGUGUAGAGCUACUAUACUAUCGUAAGCAUAAAAUAUUUGGUGUUUUCGAUUUUUAACCCUUGGAUCAAAAAUUCUACGGUUGGGAUGAUAGCGGUCCCCUUAGGGUUCAGUGGUCCCCCUAGAAAUAUCAACUACUUUAUGCUUCCGAUAGUAUAGUAGCUCUACUCUAUAUAUAUAUAUAGUAGAGCUGGAAUGCUAUCGGUAUGUAACAAACGGGUUCCGUUGCCACCUAUUUGUUUUCGAUAAUGGAGCCUCCAAAUCGACCAUCGGCACUGUUGAAUAUAAUCUAAACUACUUGAACUAUCUAGAAACUAAAUUUUAAAUCGUUUUGACAGCAUUAACCUAAUGAUCAAAGGGUUUCAAAAUUUAUAAUUUUAAUGGUCGAUAUGAAGCGUUUUCUCGUUUAACGAUGUAAAGAUAUCCAAAUUAAUUGAAUUUUGGUUAGAAAAUUCUUUAAACUAUUUAGAACAAGAUCUAUACUCUCGAUCUUGAGUUUAAGAUUCCUAUCAUUACUUUUUAAAGAAUAUUCAUUUUCAACCGUUCAUUUUGUGUCCAUUUGAUGGACAAGAGAACAAUAUCGGAAAAAUAUGAAAUUUGGUUUCUAGAUACUUCAAGUGGUAUAGAUUAUGUUUAAGGAUGCCGAUCAUCGAUUUGGAGGCUCGAUCAUCAAAAAUAAAUGGGUGGCAAUGAAGCCCGUUUGCUAUUGAUAUAUAUAGUCGAGCUAUUAUGUUAUCAAUAGCACAAAACGUUUUGUGCUAUCAAAUUUUCCACCAUUAGAUCUAUCAUUUGACCAUUUCGACCCAUUUAAUCAUACGAUUCAACCAACUACCACUUAACCCUAAGAGACCACUAUCAUUCUAACCGUAUAUCCCUUCAUCCAAGGGCCGAAAACCUAAUAGUACUAAUGAUUUUGUGCUAUUAAUAGAAUAUAUAUAUAUACAUAUAUAUAUAUAUAUAUAUAUAUNNNNNNNNNNNNNNNNNNNNNNNNNCCAAAUUUUAUAAUUUUGUUGUGUUGACAUCAUUUACUAUUAGCGAUCAAAGGUCCCAAAAAUGACUAUUUAACGGCCAAUGCAACAUGUUUUUAAGUUCAACUGUGUAGAAGUAUCCAAAUUCAUUGAAAAUUUAAUAGAAAAUUCUUACUGUAACGGUCAUAUAGUAAGAUCAAUAUUUCGAUUUGAAAUUUGAGUCCUUUAUUAUUCAUUUUUGUAUGGAGAUUUGUAUUUUCAGCGUUCAUUUUGAGGAUACUCGUUCACUAGGCGAAACAAAGGUCAAACAAUAUUGAAAUUUGGUUUCCUGGGAUAUUUCCCACAAAGCGGUAGAUCAUCGUCCUAACAAAACGAUCGUCCGAACGGGGGCGUCCAUUCAUGAAAACAACUUAUAGAUUACGUGGCAGCGCUCCGUGUACUUUGGGGCGAAAGCCAGUAGGAGCACUAGCUCGUCUUCUCUCUCUCUCUCUCUCGGUCUCUCUCUCUCUCUCUCUCUCUCUCUCUGUUUCUCUUGUCUCAUCGUAUAUAUAUAUUUAUAUAUAUAAUAUAUAUAUAUAUAUAUAUAGUCCGGCUAUGGUGCGCUUUACAACACACAAGUACUGGUACUGUGCUUGUAAAUUUUUUACCGUAAAUCUAUAUCUCUUUGGAUUAUUUUUUACUGUGUUAGAUUUACGUAUUCAACCAACCUAUCACUCCACUCAACCAUCAGGGUCGACAUCAUGCCUAACUACACAUUCCUUAAUAUCCUAUGAGCCGAAAUACUUAAGAGCACUCUAAUACCUUGUAACUUCUAAAAGCAAGUGCAGCUCAUAUUAUGAUAUAUUAUAUAUAUUAUAUAUAUAUAUUAUAUUAUAUAAUAUAUAUAUAUAUAUAUAUAUAUAUAUAUAUAUAUAUAUAUAUAAUAUUAAUGAUAUAUGAGUUGAGCCUAUUGAUACUUGGUACAAGUAUCACCAUCAUAUGCCCGAUUAGGUUUUAAGCCAUUGGAUCUACUUUUUGAUAUUAAUAGCCCUUUGGAUUAAACACUAUUCCACUAUCACCACCUACCACCAUCAUCUCAAAACCUGCAAUUUCUCCAUCAAGCGCUAAAACAACACAAGUAUCACAUCCCAUGAAUCUUUAUACAAGUUCUGUUCAUUUUUUUUUCUUAGCGUACUAUAUAGUAUACUAUAUAUUAUUAUAUAUAUAUAGUUAGAAGGAGCGGAGAGGAGAGGAGAGGAGGAGGAGGAGAGGAGAGACGAAGAGAAAGGAACGAGGCUUCGAGGAGAGAGCACGGUGAGCUGAGGCUACCUAUUGCUAUUGGAAGUACGAGCUUCCGUGCUUCCAGCUUCCGUUGUUCGAUGUUUGCGCCUUUCGACAUCGUUCGAUUAGGCUCCGUUAAACUGAUCGGAGAGUAUUUGGAUCCAGUACCUAGAAAAUUAAAUUUUAUUAUUUUUUGAAUCAUUUGGCUCUAGUGAUCGACAUGGAUGCUCAAAAAUCAACAAUUUUCAAUGCCGUAGUGAGCGUUUGCAAGUUUAACGGGUGUUAGAAAUAUUCCAAAUCACGUGGAAAUUAUUGAUAGCAAAUUCUUAUAUAACUAUAUUAAAACAAGAUCCCAAAUAUUUUUGAUUUAAAAUUUUUAAUGUCAUAUUAUUACAGUUUUGUAAGAUUUUUAUUUUAGCCGGUUGAUGUUUGCAGCCACCCUUCGUAUCACUAGGCAUGAUAUUUCGUAAAAUCAUAAAUUUAUUUUCUAGGUACUUCAAAUACGUCUAUAUCAAGUUUUAUGGAGAGCGCAUCGACGAUUCCGAAAGUCGCGCAACAUCGAAAGACAGACGCCGUCGGCCAAGACGGAAGGCUCCGCUACUUCGGAUAGCAUAGUAGCUUCUCCUCGCUCUUGUGCUUCUCUCUCUCCUCUCUCUCCUUAUAAUAUAUACUAUAUAUAUAUAUAUAUAUAUACUAUAUAUAUAUAUAUAUAUGUAUUAGUAGAGUAGGCUAUUAUGCUUUUGGAAGCCACGGCGCAGCCCUUCGAUGCGUUCCUAGGUUUGAUUUUCGAUGUUGCGACUUUCGAAUCGUCGAUCGACUCCGUUAAACUUGAUCUAGAGUAUUUGAAAUACGUAGAAAAUAAAUUAUGCGAUUUUUCGAUAUUAUUUGUCUAGUGAACGAAGCGGCUCAAAAUCAACGGCUGAAAAUAAAAAUCUUACAAAACGUGAUAAUAUGACAUUAAAAUUUUAGAUCAAAGAUAUUGAUCUUAUUUUAUAUAGUAUAAAGAAUUUUCUAUCAAAAUUUCACAUGAUUUGAAUAUUUCUAUACCAUUAAACUUCCAAACGGCUCACUACGGUCAUUAAAAUUAUUGAUUUUGAGCCCCUUUGAUCACUAGGCAAAUGAUAUCGAAAAAUCAUAAAAUUUAUUUUCUAGAUACUUCAAGUACUCUAGAUCAAGUUUAACGGAGCUGAUCGAUGAUUGAAAACUCGCAACAUCGAAAAUGAUCUGGAAGCACGGAAGCAUAGUAGCCUCACACUAUAUAUAUAUAUAUAUAUAAUGAAAAGGAAUUUUCUCUUUCUUUUAAAUUUUUGACUUUUUAUCUAUUUUUAUAUGAUAUAAUAUAAUUUAAUAAUAUGCAUCAAUAUUUAUAAAUAUAGGUAAAAAUUUAUGCAAACCCCUUAAAUAAAUUCCAUUUGUAACUAAGUCCUCUAAAUUUUAAAUUUCUUUUAUUGACAUAAAUUAUACUAUAUAUAAAAGAAAAAAAUGAUACAAAAAUUUGUGAUUUAUUUCUUACAUAGAAUAAUAACUAAAGGAGCAAAAAGUUGACGUAUCUAUUAGGUCCAAACCUACAAGAUCAAAAUCAUGGGCUACUUAAUUUUGUAAGUGUUAGUUGCCGAAAAUCCCGACCCUCGACUGUGGUCAAAGAUCCUCCUCGAGAAGCGCGUCGGGGUUGAAAUAGUUCCGAAAAAUGACCCUCGAAGUGUGCGCCUUUUGACUGAACAAGCGAUUCGGUUGAUGAGGGAUCCAAUCAGCCGAGUCCGAAAGCUCUAAUCUCACUUCGGUUCAACCGGAUGAGCCGAAUGUACGGAGGAGACCGAAAGCUCGACUAGGAAAUAAGCCGAACGGCUAACACAACACACGAUCUGGUCGGCCUGAAGAGCCGAAAAUGACUUUCUAUUGACUGAACCAGCAAAAAGUACAGGAAGAGGGAUUUUAGUCUACAAAAUGCCCAAAGGGCAGACAGACUCCAAGAUUCUACGUUACUAAGACUACUCCUAGAAAAAACAGUAAAUGCAGGAAAGAAAAAUACAGUAAAAUAACGGUGGUCUUUUGUUCAAAGGGGCAAAGACCCUUUUUUAUUAAGGUAUCACAAGCCUAUUUAUAGAAUCGCCCCUGGGUCGGUUAUAGCCCCUUGCAUGAUCGGCCACUAUCUCCUGAGAUUUCGGACCACCUCUAACCGAUCGAAACCGCUUGCAACUGCAUGCGGUUGCUAUAACUUCUCUAGUUCAUGUUUCUCCUGGUGCUUCUGAUGUACUCCUGGUGCAUUACUGAAACAACUGCCCUAUGGUUGCUUUUGAUGAUAAGGGGGAGAUUGUUGGCCCAGUGGCCCUAAUCGUCUAUUAGAUUUUGAUGAUAACAAAUAAUCACGAUUAUUGGACUAAUCUUUUAUGUUGAGUCUUAUGUUUUAGAUCUCUCUAUCUUCAAAAAGGAUUCAAGAUGGGCAAUAUUCUAGCACCAAGCUUCACCACUUGAAGCCGUGUUUGCUUCUUUUGUCAAAUAGACAAACUCACUCUCUCUAUUCUUAAUUUGAUUAAUAUUAUGCUUUAUGAUUAGAGUGAGAAACUUUGAGCUAAGUUUUAUCACCUUAUAGAUCACUUAAACAAAAUUCUAAAUUUAUGAUUAGGUGAAAAGGACUUUUAAAUAUUCNUGACUCCUUUGUACUCAUAAGUUUUCAACCUUUAGAUUUAUUCCAUUGAUCAUUUCCACCCGUUAGAUUAUACUAUUCAACCAACUACCCACUCAAUCCUAGGGGACCACUAUCAUUCUAAGUGGGGACCACCAUCAUCCUAACCACACGUCCCAUCAAUCAACGGUUAAAAAUUUAUGAGUAUAAAGGGGUCUAUAAUCAUAAGGGUGCGUUUGGUUCGAGUUAUCCUGGCAGGAUUAUAAGCAAUCCUUCCAGAAUUACUGUGUUUGGUUCACCCGCUAUGCAAUCUAGUCGUUAAUGUAGCAUUAUAAAUCGAGCAGGAUUACACCGAAAAUAUUAACGGGAUGGGGUCGUCUAUCUUGCAUUACUGAAAACCAGUAAAACUAUAUAUUAUGUAAAAUUACAAUUUUACUCUUCUAACUCUCGAAACCCUUUCAAUAUAUCAUUUAAAAAAAUUUAAUUUUAAAUUUUAAAUUUUAAAUUUCAAAUUCUAAAUUUAAAAUUUAAAAUUUAAAAUUUAAAAUUUUUUAAAUUUUAAAAUAUAAAUUUAAAAUUUAAAAUUGAAAUAUAAUAACAUAAGUAAUAUUAUUAUUUUUUAUUUAUAACUACCUACAAUCCUUCUUAUUCCAUCUUAUCUAUACAAACACUAUUUUUCUUAUUCUCCAAAAACAACACAAUUUUCAUCUAAAUAUAAAAUUGGUCUAAUUUUUUACUUAUAUCUAAUCUUAUAACUAUCCCUAAAACAGUCCGUUCUUAUUUAUAUCCGAACCAAAUGAUACCCUAAUGUUUUUAUUAUUUUAAUUUUUAAAACUUUUUUUUAGUAUCCUAGUGGUUUUGAAACUGACACAUCAUAACGCAACCAAUUGCAGUUUCUGUUCAAAAUUUGCAGAUAAAUAACAUUUCAGAGCAGUCUGUCCAGAUAAACGCCCCCCUCAAUCUUGUUAAUAAAAAGCAUAUUACAUAAUUAAGCAAUUCAGCAUUUCUAUUACCNUUAAAAUAAAAUUUAGUAAAAAAAUAUUAUUUGUAAACAGUAAAAAAUAAAGUUUACAAAAUAUGUUUAAGGGCAAUUUUGGAAUAGAUUAUAUUUUAUUGUCUAGGUUACUGAAUUUUAUAUAUAGAACCAAACAUAUUAAUGGUAUAACCACUGCAAUCCAGCAUUAAAUUACUGUAUUAAACCAAACGCGCUAAUGCAGCAUAAGUACUAAUCUCUUUUAGAAAUUCAAGAUAUUUGGAUAUAUCGAAAUACUCUGUAAUAUUAUAUAACUUGAACCAAAUGCGCCGUAAGAGUAUAGUAGCCCUACUCGCAAUUAGAGUGCAAUAGUGCAACAUAUUGUUUUUCCUUCUUUUUCUUAAAUUAUGAACACCGAAACAGUCUCAGGUGAGCGCACGGGUUGGCAACCGUGGUUGGUAGCGAGGGAUAGAAGAAGUAUGAAGAAACAUAAGGAAAAAAAAAGUAGAAGAUAAAGAAGAGGAAAGAAAGAAAAAGAUAAAAAAUAUUGCACAAAUUAAAACUAUUUAUAUAAAUAUCGUACUAUUUGCGUCACAAUAUUUUUAUAAAAUUGCAUGUAUGUUGAAUAAUUAAUAUUUUUAUUAUACAGGAUACAUCUUUUAGAAUAUAACUUUACAAAAUAUUGUGCUACAAAGAAUCAAGUUUGUGAUCUUUGACGCUGGGUAGAUGCUACUUGGGAUGCACGUAAAUAUGGCAUUAGCAUUGCCUUUGAAAGAAAGGUACAGUUUUUUCUCGGUGAUGUUGUAAAGGUUAUUUGGAUAAGUUUUAUUGCUAAGAGAAAGACAUGCGCAAUUUUACCUGCAACAAAUAUUGUCAAUUCUCUUCCUUAUUCUCAAACCAUCAUUCACAGUGAUACUAAAGAAGUUAUUAAUGCAUUAGUGUGAUUACCUCUAAUGACAGUGCGACGAGUUGAACUAUCGCUGUGCUAGUGGUAGCUGGUUGCAAGGUCCUUCUGCCAUUCUACAUCAGUAUAAUAACAUUUAUCUUUAUUAGAUUACCAAUUGAAUCUCAUUUCGUAGGCUUAUUUUAGAUGGUUUUAUUUCUUUAUUUCAUUUUUUCAAUUGUAUUCUGAUUCAAGAAGAGGAGGGAAAGGAAGAGAGUGAUGACGGUGUCCGUAACUACGGCUCCAUAAUGAAGAAUAUGAUAGGGAUGAGAGAGAGAGGAAGGAAAGAGAGAGAAAUAUGAGCAUUUUANGGUUUAAAACAAGCUCCUAGAGCCUGGUAUGAAAGACUUAGCACUUUUCUUACUUCAAAUAAUUUUUCAAGAGGAAAAGUUGACACCACAUUAUUUAUCAAAAUUAAGGGUAAAGAUUUUCUCAUUAUACAAAUUUAUGUGGAUGAUAUUAUAUUUGGUGCUACUAAUGAAUCUCUCUGUAAAGAAUUCUCUAAGCUAAUGCAAAAUGAGUUUGAAAUGAGCAUGAUGGGCGAGCUCUCAUUCUUCCUUGGACUCCAAGUUAAACAAAUGAAAGAUGGAAUAUUCAUCAAUCAAGCCAAGUAUGCAAAAGACCUAAUCAAAAGAUUUGGCUUGAAAAGCUCAAAAGAGACGAACACUCCAAUGAGUGUCUCAACUAAACUUGACAAGGAUGAAAAAGGCAAGGAUGUUGAUAUCAAACUCUACCGAGGUAUGAUUGGCAGUUUACUUUAUCUUACCGCGAGUCGGCCGGACAUUAUGUUUAGUGUUUGCUUGUGUGCUCAGUUUCAAGCUCAACCUAAGGAGUCACACUUAGUGGCUGUAAAGAGAAUUCUUAGAUAUGUUAAAGGGACUCUCAACUUAGGAUUAUGGUAUCCCGAGGGCACUAAUUUUAAUCUCAUUGGCUUUUCAGAUGCCGACUUUGCCGGAUGCAAAGUUGAUCGGAAAAGUACGAGUGGGACUUGUCAAUUUCUUGGUCACUCCUUAGUCUCAUGGUCUUCGAAAAAGCAAAAUUCGGUUGCUCUUUCAACCGCCGAAGCCGAGUACAUCGCGGCAGGUUGUUGUUGUGCACAAGUUUUAUGGAUGAAACAAACCCUUGAGGACUUUGGAGUACAUCAAAAACAAGUUCCAAUCAAAUGUGAUAAUACUAGUGCCAUCAACAUAUCUAAAAAUCCUAUUCAACAUUCUAGAACUAAACACAUUGAAAUUAGACAUCAUUUUAUUAGAGAUCAUAUUCAAAAAGAAGAUGUCACUAUAGAAUUCGUGGACACUUGUAAUCAAUUAGCGGACAUUUUUACUAAACCUCUUAGUGAGGAUAGGUUCACUCAACUUAGAAGAGAAUUAGGAAUGAUUGAUUUAUCUGCUUGAUUUUCUCCUUUUUCACUGUUAUAUUUGCCUUGCAAUUUUAUUAUUUUUUUUUACACCUUUUUGUUUUGCACAUUUUACGGACGAAAAUUUCCGGUCGCCCGAAAAUUUUCGGGCGCCCGAAACAUGUGUUGACCACACAGUGCACCGUCUGACCGACCUAACGGGUUAACGGGCUUCGGAUCCGGGCGACCACUCGGUUCGCACCCGCACCCGAAAACCCGCUUUGACCGCCUCGCCGGUUUGACCGUGCUGGCGGGUUACCGGGUUCCGGAUCCGGGCGACCGAUCCGACCCGCACUCGCGCCCGCUUUGACCGUCGCGCCGUUUUGACCGCCGUGGCGGGUUCCGGGUUGCGGAUCCGGGCGACCUCGCCGACCCGCAUGAGCGCCCGAAACCCGCUAGCGGGCCCCCUUGUCGUCCCCAGCAGCCCGACAAGCCCUAUCUUCCAUUUUUUUUUCCUUCUUCUUCCUCCUCUCCGUCCGGUCGCCCAGAUCUUGCGCCCAGCCCUCAUCAGAACCGCCCAAAUCUUCUCCAGCACUCAGAUCUCCUCUCUCCUUCUCCUCAAUCAGUGGUAUUUCCUCUCCAUUUUUUUUCUUUUCCUUUUUUUUUUUCUUCCAACUGUUAACCCUAAGCUUGCAAUUUUUUAUUUUAUUUUUUUUUUGCAGAUCUCUUGUACUUUUUGCACCAUAAUCUUUACCAUUGCAUCCUAGAUCUUCCUUUUUGAUUUUUUUUUAAAUCCUAGCUCUCAGUUUAAUUAACACAAAAAAAAAAUGCCUAGAACUAAAAAUGCAUCUAGAAGAGGAUCUCCCUCACAUAGAUAUGAUCAAAAUGAAGAUUUUGAUGCAUUUAACUUUGUAUCUAGAGAGGCUCAAGAUAAAUAUCUUUUAGGUCGUCCCGUUCAACCUUGCCGUAAUAUUCAUCAUCUCAAUUUUGAUUGCUAUGAACUUUUGGAUAAACUCACACAAGUUGGAUGGGAUUUCUUUGUUCAAAAUUCGCGACCAUUUUAUCCGGAUCUAAUUAGGACUUUUUAUGCCAAUGCCACUUUUAAUUCCGAAUAUACUACUAUUACUUUCCACUUCCGGGGACGUGUUUUUGCCAUCACUCCUAUCCUUCUUCACACGGUUUUGAACAUUCCUAAUGACGGGGUUUGCUAUUAUCAAACCAACACUUGAAACUUUCCUGCAUUUUCUGAGGCGCAACUCCGCAAUCAUUUUCUUUGUGAAGAAUCUACUUCACGAGAAGAUUGCUCUCAUCUUUUCUUUCCUCACCGCCUCGCCCACUUUUUACUAACUAAAGUAGUUCUUCCUCGCGACGGUCACCACACCGCUGUUCAAAAAAUGGAUCUUUUUCUUCUUCAUCAUCUAUUUGCGGGGAUCCGGGUAAAUUUGGGGUAUAUCAUCAUUCGCCACAUGGCCGUCGCCAUUUCUCAUCCCUCGCGCUCAUUUCCAUAUGGCUCUUUGCUCACCGCUGUUCUCGAGUUUAUGUCAUUUGAUCUUUCUGACGUAAGGCCGAUGAAGUACCCCACUGUCAUUUCUACUGCCACUUUCUCCACUCUCGGCUUCAAGAAAAAUCGUCAUGGCAUUUGGGUAAGGAAACAUGUGAUUGAUUCGCCUAGCGAGCAUGGUGAUGACAUUGACGACGCCGAGGAUGAUCCUAUGCCUUAUGAGCCACCCCCUCGAGCACCUUCUCCACCGGUUGAGCCGCCGCCACGAGCAUCUCCUCCACCAUUUGAGCCAACCCCUGCUGUGCCUCCGCCCUAUGUUCCUCCACCUAUGGAUUUUCAAACCCAAGUUUUUGAUCGACUUGAUAGGAUGGAAGGCCAUAUGCAUGCCCUCCAGACGGAUGUUUCCAGCAUCAAGGCAUACAUGGACUCUAUCUUUGGACCUUCUAGUGCCUUCUAUGCGGCGUAUGGACCCCACGUUGAUCGACCAUCAUCCUCCUCUAUGCCUCCACCAGUUUCGCCUACGGAUAAUGAGGACGAUGAAGAGGAUGACGAUGAUGAUGAUUAGCUUAUGUUUCUACCACUUUUUGCUAGUCUCCUUUUAUGCUUUUUUUUGUAAUGACAAAGAGGGAGAAACUUGCUAUGUGAUAUACUAUGCUUGUGGUUUAUUAUGUUAUGAUGCUCCUUUUAUGCUUGUGGUUUAUUAUGUUGCUGCUUAUGUUUUAUUAUGUUAGGCCAUGUGAAUCUCGCUUAUAUUUUGACAUUUGCUUACAUGAUUGCUUACUUCUUUUAUUGUGAUAUAUGCUAUGCCUAUGAUUGUGUUUUAUACUUGUUAAAUAUAUGCAUAUAUUUAGGGGGAGUAUUCUACUCUUUUGCUCUCUACUCAUUUGAAUAUUAUAUCACAUUAUUUGUCAUCAUCAAAAAGGGGGAGAUUGUUGGCCCAGUGGCCCUAAUCGUCUAUUAGAUUUUGAUGAUAACAAAUAAUCACGAUUAUUGGACUAAUCUUUUAUCUUGAGUCUUGUGUUUUAGAUCUCUCUAUCUUCAAAAAGGAUUCAAGAUGGGCAAUAUUCUAGCACCAAGCUUCACCACUUGAAGCUGUGUUUGCUUCUUUUGUCAAAUAGACAAACUCACUCUCUCUAUUCUUAAUUUGAUUAAUAUUAUGCUUUAUGAUUAGAGUGAGAAACUUUGAGCUAAGUUUUAUCACUUUAUAGAUCACUUAAACAAAUUUCUAAAUUUAUGAUUAAGUGAAAAGGACUUUUAAAUAUUCAAAAAUUGCUCAAAUUCUGUGUUCUGUAAAGUUGCAAUUUCUGGACCCUGUUCUGGGCGCCCUAAAGUGGAUCCGAAUCUUUUGAGACCUUUUGGAUCCUGCCUGUUUGCUGUUCGGGUGAUCCAGAAACACCAAGACUAUUUGACUUGACAGGUUGCGACAACAGGCGGCGCAAAAUCUGGGCGCCCAGAUUUUAUGGAAGCAGCGGCGCACGCAAUCUGGGCUGUCUGGCAAGAAAGUCAGCACGACUUUCUGGGCGCCCACAACUUUUGACGACUCGAAUCCAGAAAAACGGCGCAUGUCAGAAAAGUUGUCCCUCGAGAUCUGGGCGCCCACAACUUUCUGACGGCCCAAAUCCAGAGGAAGCGGCGCCUGUCAGAAAAGCUGUUCCUCGUGUUCUGUGCGCCCACAACUUUUGACGGCCCAGAACUUACGAAGUCAAGAAAAGCUGCGCGUGUCAGAAAAGCUGUUCCUCGAGAUCUGGGCGCCCACAAAUUUUUGACGGCCCAAACAUACAAAGUCAAGAAAAGCGGCGCACGUGGUCCGACAGGCAGCUGGCGUGCACAAACUUCUGGGCGCCCGGAAACAGUUUUAGGGCGCCCGAAAGUACAACUGACAGAUCUGUCCGAGGCUAUAAAUAGAUGGUAUUGAGGCCUCACUUUGCAACAACUUGAUAGUUCAUUUGAGCUUAAAAACUUCAGUGAUCUUAAUACUCUUAGCUCUCAAUUCUCUCUCUAAACUUGAGUGAAACUUGUAGUGAGAUUUAAUCUUGUAAAAAGAGAGAGAAGCAAAUUCUUGAAGCUUGAAAGAAGAAGGAGUUGAUGUGAAGGCUUGGUGCUUGCCCGCAAAAGCAUCAUCUAGUGGAGAUCCAACAUUCUCGAGUGUUGAGAAGUUGGCGGGGACGUAGGCAAAGUGCCGAACCUCGAAACAAAUUGAUCGUGUACUUUUCGAGUUUGCAUUUCUUUUAUUUGCAUCGGUUUUUUAAUUUGCUUGAUUAUUUGGAUUUUUAUUUUAGAAACCUAAUUCACCCCCCCUCUUAGGUUGCCAUUUUGAUCCUCAAUCCACUGUCUGUCAUUCUUCACUCUCUCUUAGUUUCGAGUCCAAAUUCUAAUGAGGGAGAUGAUUCAACUAUCAUUGUGAUGUCAUCAUGCACUCGACAGCAAUUUGAUGAGUGUCUGAGAUUAUAUAAUCAAGGUCUCCUAUAUUUGGCUCAAAAUCGAGAGCAAUUUGAUCGGCUAUGCGCUCUUUCACUUGAUCUAGCCAAUCGGUCAGACAUCUCUUCUUCCUGUAAAUGUUUUGUGGAACUUCUGUCAUCUCAACUUUCUUCUUUUUUAUCUCGGCAACAAUCUUUGGGUGCCAAGUUUUUAUCUUUGGAUCAAUAUUUUCAUCGUGUUGAUCAUUUUAAGAGAAACAUUCCCAAGGUAGCAGCUCCCAUUACAAAAGUGAGCCCAGAGUUUCGUGUCCUCUCAGAUCAAGAAUCGGCUCUACAUCAACGUAUUUCAACUCUUGAAGAAGAAUUGGCAGCAGCUAAAUCAACUGUAGCUCACAUUUUCGAGCGUCGGCUUCAAUUACAACAACAAUUAGAGUCCAAGAAAGAAAAGGGAAUAAAACUGCAAGAAGAACUAUCUCAACUUUACAAGGUUCAUCUCAUAAUGAAACGCCGAAGAAAAGUUGCUGAAAUUGCCCAAGCUAAUCUGACAGCCGAAUGGAAUCAACUCAAAAAUUUACUAUCUUGAUUCGGCUUGUAAUACUCUAACUCUGAUUUUGGUUAUCUUCCCACAUGGAUGGGUAAUAUUUUUUCAAGUAUUUCUCAUUGAUUGGUUUUUCAUUUUCUGCUCCAUUUACAUUCUUGAUGUAGUAUGCAUUCCCUUUUGCAAUUCGAUUGACUUGAAAUGGUCCUUCCCAAUUUGGAGACCACUUUCCAUAUGCUCGGUCUGUUUGACCGAUUGGAAAAACCAGUCUAAGGACUAGGUCACCGACUGCAAAUGACUUGUGCCUAACUUUUUUAUUAUAUGCACCACACACUCGGCUCUGAUAUGUUUGUAAAUUAUUCAAAGCCAUUAAUCGAGUUUCAUGUAUUUCUUCCAUCUCUUCUUUCAUUAAAUUACUAUGUUCAUCAGCCGACAGUUCUCUCUGUUUUAUUAUCCUCAAAGAAGGAACUGUUAUUUCGGCUGGGAUCACGGCCUCAUGGCCGUAUACUAAUUAGAAUGGCAUCAUCCCCGUUGCCGUUUUUACUGAAGUUUGGCAUGCCCACAAUACUUCAGAAAGCUUUUCAUUCUACUUCCUUGAAUGUUUUCCGAUAUGCCGUUUCAUGAGAUUAAUAAUUACUUUAUUUGCUGCCUCUACUUGUCGAUUCGCUUGAGCAUAAUAAGGAGACGAAUGAAGUAACCUUAUUUUCCGUGACUCGAUGAACCGAAUGAACUGUCCUCCUGUGAACAUCGUUCCUUGAUCGAUUGUAAUCGUCUCGGGAAUCCCAAAGCGAUGAAUUAUAUAAUCUUCAAUAGGGAUGCAAAUGGAUCCGGGUUGGUGGAGCUCCGCCCCGAUCCGCCCCGAAUAGGGUGGUAAGUAGGAACAAAAAAUAUAAAAAAAUAUAACCCGCCCCGAAUCCGCCCCGAUCCGCCAAGUAAAUGGAGCGGGAGGUGGGAGACUCUUUUCUUCCUUCAAUCCGCCCCGAUCCGUCAAAAAUCCGGCUCCCGCCCCGAUCCGCCCCGAAUGGAGCGGUAAGUGGGAGCCAAAAAUAAAAUGAAAAGUAACCAGCCCCGAAUCCGCCCCGCCCCGAUAAGAAAUGGAGCGGGAGGUGGGGGAACUCUCCCGCCCCCGGAUCCGCCCCGUUUGCAUCCCUAAUCUUCAACAAAAUCAAUAAUCUCCUUUUGAGUGACUAAUCGAGUAGGUUUCACUUCUACCCACUUAGUGAAGUAAUCGACAGCUACUAUUAAAAACUUAUGUCCAGCCGAGGAGUUCGAUUGGAUUUCUUCAAUUAAAUCCAUGGUCCAACCUCGAAAAGGCCAUGGUUUAAUUAUGGCAUACAUUUCAGAGGCAGAAACUCUCUGUAUUGAGCCAUGAAAUUGACAAUCCUGACAACCCUUGGCAUAUUUUAUGCAAUCUUGAUGCAUAGUCAGCCAAUAAUAUCCUAAAUGUCGAAUUGUCCAUCUUAACGUUUUUCCUGCCAAAUGCGCUCCACACAAACCCUCAUGUGUUUCUCCCAUCACUAAUAGGGCUUCUUCAGGUCCCAAGCACUUUAAUAACACUUCUUCGGCUAUUCUUUUGUAGAGCUGUCCAUCUAACAGACAGUAGCCGAGUGUUCUUCUUCGAAUGUUAUAGUCGACCCUUUUGUUGGGGUCUUCUAAUUAUUCGAUUAAAGGCUUUCUCCAAUCUUCUUCUACCUCUAUGGGGGCAACCAUUGAUUUUCUAAUAUGAACUGAAGGUAAUAAUCUCUUCUCUAUCAUUAUUAAAUCAUGCUUUGUCUCUCUAUAUCCUGAAGCUGAUUGAGCUAACUUGUUCGCUUGUUCAUUUUUCUCUCUUGUCAAAUGCUCAAAUUCAACCUCUCCAAAGCUACACAGUAAUUCUACUAUUUUUCUCAAAUAUUUUUGUAAAUGCUGACUCUCACAUCGAUAUUCUCCACUAACUUGUUUGAUCACUAACUGUGAAUCACCGAUAACUUUGAGCGAUUUAACUUUCAAUUCUCGUAAAAUUUCAAGGCCUAUUAUUAAGGCCUCAUAUUCGGCUUGAUUAUUAGAGCAGCCGAAAUCUAACUCAAAAGCAAAUUGACACGAAUAUCCCUCCGGAGAUUGAAUAACUAUUCCAGCUCCUGCAGACUCGGCCGUUCUCGAGCCGUCAAAAUAAAGUGUCCAGUGUUGACAGCCAACCAAAUUUUGUUUCAGCUCUUCAAUUUCAACACACGGGUGAUCAGCCAAAAAAUCGGCUAUUGCUUGUCCUUUAACAGCUUUCGCUAGGAUAUAAUUAAGAGAAAAUUCGGAUAAAACCAAUAUCUGCUUUCCAAGUCGACCCCUUAAAAUGGGUCUAGUUAACAUAUAUUUCACCAAGUCAGUUUUGCAUAUUACUGACACCUCGGUUGACAAAAUAUAGUAUCUUAGCUUCGUACAAGCAUAAUACAACGCUAGGCACAAUUUCUCAACAGCCGAAUAUUGCUUCUCAGUAUCUAAUAACCGUCGGCUUAAGUAAUAAAUGGCCUGCUCUUCUUUUUCUUCAUUUUUUUGGGCUAAUAAACACCCAAAAUUUUCUUCUGCAACCGAAAUGUAUAAUUUCAUCGGCUGCCCUUGCUUAGGAGGCAUAAGAAUCGGAGGAUUUGAUAAGUAUUUCUUUAUGCUCUCAAAUACUCUUUGUUGUUCUUCUGUCCAAACAAAUUCUUCCUUACCCUUAAGUCGAAAUAAUGGAGUAAAAACUCAUAUUCUACCGGCUAAAUUAGAUAUGAAUCGUCGUAGAUAAUUUAUUUUCCCCAGUAAACUUUGCAACUCUUUUUUGUUCUUCGGAGGCGGCAAUUCCGAUAUAGCUUUUACCUUAUUCUUAUCAAUUUCUAUUCCCUUCUUAUGUACCAAAAAUACUAAAAAAUUUUUCGCUGAAACUCCAAAAGCACAUUUCAAGGGAUUCAUUUUUAACUUGUAUUUUCUCAUUCUCUCAAAAGCAAGCUUUAAAUCAACCCAAUGUUCGGCUUGUGAUUUGGAUUUUAAACUAUAUCAUUGAUGUAAACUUCCAACAUUUUGCCGAUUAAAUCAUGGAAUAUAAAAUUCAUUGCCCUUUGAUAAGUAGCUCCGGCAUUUUUCAAACCGAACGGUAUAACCACCCAUUCAAAGGUUCCAAUAGAACCCGGGCAUCUAAAAGCCAUUUUAGCUACAUCAUCCUUGGCAAUAUAAAUUUGAUUUUAGCCAGCAUGUCCGUCCAUAAAGGAUAAAAUUUUAUUACCGGCAGCCGAAUCUACUAACAUAUCGGCUAUGGGCAUUGGAUAUUCAUCUUUUGGUGUAGCUAUGUUCAAGUUCCUAAAAUCGAUACAAACUCUAAGUUUGCCAUUCUUUUUACGCACUGGAACUAUAUUAGACACCCAAUCGACAAAACGGGCCGCUCUAAUAAAUCCGGCCUUCAAAAGAUUUUCUAUGUCACUUUUAAUUUGGAGUACAAUACUCAGCUCAAACCUACGAGCCGGUUGUUUAAAAGACUUAAACCCUUUUUUAAUGGGUAGCCUAUGCUCUACAAUUUCUCGACUUAAACCUGGCAUUUCUUCAUAACUCCAGGCGAAACAGUCCUUGUACUCCUUCAAUAGUUCUUUCAACUCCUGCUGUCGUGCCGAAAGCUUUGCACUUAUAUACGUCGGUCUCUUAUCUUUGUCGGAUCCCAAAUUUACUUCGAUCAGCGGGUCUUGGAUCUCCAACUUUUUCUCACCGAUUUUAAUAGGCGACUCCUCUAGAUUUAAUUCACUUGUUUGCCUAUUCCAUUCAUGUGGUUUAUCGGUCUCAAUGACCGAUUUCAUUUGAUUUUCUUCUUCAGCUUUGGGAGCCGAAUCUAUUAUAACUUAUUCAGCUUUAUUAGCUGGAUUGUCAAGCAUUAACACAUCGGCUAAGGCAGCCGAAUCAUCCUCAUAGCUGAUCUUGUUGAUCGACUUAUUUUGUUGAGGCUCUUGACAAGCCCCUAUUCUCAAUCUUUGUAUUCCAUUUUAACCACUUCAGUGGCUCUUCUUCUGCCACCAUGCCACCUACAUCUUUGGAGAAGAUUAACUGAACCCCCUCCUCCGUAACUCUGACAAAAGCAAUCUGAUCUGGAUCUGCGUCGGCCCAAUCGGUGUGGCCGAUUUUCUUCCAAUUGACAUCUAUCAUUUGGGGCCGUUCUUCGGCCCGGAUUUCUUCUGCUUUGUCCCCAACCCACUGGAAUAGCUUUCCGUGGAGCGUACUGGGUACGCACUCAUUCGCGUGUAUCCAAUCGCGUCCAAUUAGUAGGUUGUAAUGGCUAUCUACAUCCACCACAAAACACGCAGUUUUUAAAGUUUUGGAGCCUACCGUGACCUCGGUGGUGAGCACUCCUCGGGCUUGCUAACCGCUACCAGUGAAGUCGGUCAUGAUUGAAUCGGUGGGCUUCAACUCGUCUUGAUCUUUGCCCAACUUUUUGAAGAAAGAAGUGGGUAUUGAUCAUGGCUCCACCAUCUACCAUAAUUCGGCCUACUGGCUGACCUUCGAUUAAGGCCCUAAUGAACAAAGGCCUUAUGAAUCUUGUCUGUAUGGCCGAUGGUUUCUCAAAAAUCACUGCAUUGGCCGGUUGAAAAUCUUCCAAUUGUAACUGGGCCACUUUAAGCCGAACUUCUUCCUCCUCUCUGAAUUCUUCAUAUUCGACAAGCUCCGCCCUGAAGGAUUGAAGCAGGGCAUAUACCAUAUUCACCUCGGCCUGUGACUCAUCAGCCGAUUUACCUUUAAUUUUUUUAUAUUUUCUCCUCUGACUCUUUGGUCGUUCCGGCUGAAGAGUCGCUUUCCAUGCAGACCUCCCUUUCCUUGGAGGGCCAUCUUUCUCUCUUGAUAAUCGUCUCGAGGGAGGCUAUUUUAUCUUCUAACUCCCUCCUGGUCAUUUUUUCUUCCGACUCGACCUCGGUUGGCCGUUCUAACUUUGACUUCAUCCAAGGGACAGGCGAUGAGCCGCCUGUCUCGUGAUCGUUUCGCAUUGGGCGAAAGGGGUGUGACUGCUCAUUAGGACGUCUCCAUACGUUGAGCCUUAUCCCUUUUGCUUCUUCGUAGUGUUGCCUUGCCUCAACUUGCAUCCUCUGCUGCCGACGCUUUUGGAUUUUUGUUAACAUCGGCCCCUACCACUUGGCCGAUGGUUUGACUUCAACUUCGUGCCAUUCAUCCACUGGCACGUUUGCCGGUACCUUUACCAUUCUCAAAUAAUUUUUUAAAAUUUCUCUUCUCUCCCAAGGCCUCGGCCAAGGCUGAAUGCCGAGCUCAUUCACUAGUCUUCGACCCAAGAACUCAAUGUCUCCUUCGGUUAUUCCAUCAAAUUCGGGUUCUCGUCUCGGCCUGGCUUGAUGUUGCCAGUGCGGCCAAUAUCCAGGGAACCUUUGCUUGGAGCCGAAUGGUCUAUCCUGAUAGCCCUAUCGACCUUGACGUUCACCACGCCUAUUGUUGUAAUAAUCAUGCAGAAUUUUCUACAUCAACAAAUCCUUCUUGUGUUGAACCGAAUCGACUUCCGGUUCCGUUUCAUUGGAGGCUCCAUCUAAGCCCUCCUCUUCUUGAUCCUCACCAUCAGGAAUGUCAUCCCACUCCUCGGGGAAUGCCAUCAACUUAUUCCACUCAUUGUCUUUUUUCUUGGCAUUGAUGAUAGCUUUCCAAUCCUUCUUCGUCAUUUCGGCCUUACAUCUUAUGCACAGCCAAAGAUUUCUCUUGGCGUGAGCCACUUUCUAUGUGGUCGCCGGGUCCGCUAUCUCUUUCCCUUUAAUAUUCACCAUAUUGACCUGAAAAGGAAAUGAACUUUUGUCAAUUACAUUAUUUUUAUUUUCUUGGUCGGCUAAAAUGAGCCGACCCUCGUCUAUUUCUUCUUGGAUCUGCCUUUUUGCAGUCGCUUUUCCUUCUCCUUUCAUGUUCACCACGUUGACCUGUGAUGGAAAAGGGUUCUUAUCAAUUUCCAUAUCUUUAUUUUCUUGAUCGGCAAAGAUGAGCCGACCAUCGUUUAUUUCUUUUUGUAUCUGCCUCUUAAAGGCAGUACAUUCAUUUGUUUUAUGGCUCAAUGAAUGGUGCCAUUUACAAUAUCUUCUGCGUUUCAAUUCCUCUACAGGGGGUAUUACUUGACCCUCCUGCAAUUUGAUUCGACCAUCCUUUAGCAGCUGAUCGAAAAUCAGAUCGGUUUUCGUCACAUCAAACGAGUAAGUAUAUGCCGAAACCUGCGCUUUUUUUCACACGAUUUGGCAGGUUUUAACAGAGCACACUUAUAUGGUUGGCGAUUUUUUACCAACUCUGCUGCACAUAUUUCGGCUUCAUCAGCCGAAUCUUCAUUCUCUUCAGACGAAUUCGGCUCCUCAUGAGCCGAAGACUCCUUAAGAAAGGAAAUAUUUCUCUCCUUCCCUUUAUUCCAUUCUUUGUUUCGGCUCCAUCUGGGCCGAUCUUUAUUAUUACCCUUUCAAAAUUGCUCAUAUUGAGCAACUCGAACUUCCAAAUCGAAAAGAUUUGAAAAAAAUUUAUUCUCAAAAUGAUCUUUAAUUUUAAAAUGCAUGCCGUUGAAUGCCAUUUUGGCAAAUUCCGAUUUCGACAUUCUUACGAAACAACGGCUUCGAGAUGUUUUGAAUCGGUUCAAAUAUUCAUCAAUCGAUUCUCCUGUUUUUUGUCUGAAUUGAGCCAAAUCCGCAACUGAUAAUUCUGGCUCUAUUCUAUAAAUUGUUCAUGGAAUUUAUCCUCUAAUUCGUCCCAGUCUCGAACGGAAUUAGCAGGUAAACUCGUGUACCAAGUGAAAGCCGUCUUGGUUAAUGAGGUAUUAAAUAACCUCAACUUUAAAAAUGGAUCUACUGCGGCCUCACGGCACUGAGCUGUAAACCGCGCGACGUGUUUGACCGUAUUUUCGGUCUCGUCGCCGAAAAACUCGUCAAUCUUCGGCAUCUUCCAAUUUGCCGGAUAUGAGUGUUCUGCGUCUAUAUUUGCAAGAUAAGGUGAUCUGAAUACAGGCCGCAUUGCUGGCCUUGCGCCAACUCCGAAGGUAUUCCGGAUGGCUUCCUCUAUUUGCGCAUAAAUCUCAUUAUUAAUUCCCUGUAAAGGAAUUUGCGCCGGUGCUGGGUUCGGUGGUUGUGGCACACCAAGAUUUUGUACCAAGGGAUUAACCCCUUGUAUAUUUGGAGCUUGCCCCCUAGUCCCUACAUUUUGAGGCUGGUAUGCUACUGGUGGGGGUGGAGGUAACCCCCACGCUAUCUCCGGUUGUUGACCGGUAUUAACGAUAGCCAGUCUAUAAGCCGCUUGAUAUGGUGCCCCCUGGUAUUGGGGUUGGCUAUUUACCUGGGUUACGGGAUUUUGUAACACCGGAGCCAUCAUGGGCGUUUGUAAGCCCACUGCUGGCUGUUCAUUCCGAGUCAACAAUUGUCCUAUUCGGGUUAUGUUCUCGUUAGAGGCUGUAACUGCAGCCAAUACGGCAUCCAGCCGUGCAGUACUCGCAUGACUAUUUUGGUCCAAAACUUGCAGGACCCGAGUCAUUUGUCCAAGCGCCUGAGCUAAACUAGGCUCCUGUUGGCCAGGAUGACCACUGGUCUCACCCUCGGCAAGUAAGACUGCUUGGCGCUUUAAGGCAUUCUCCAAAUUACUAGGCUAUUCGCUCCCAGAAUUUUUAGGAACGACCCUAUUACGGAGAUUCAUGGCGUUAUCAUCAGCCAUAAUUUACAAAAAAUAUAAAUUUACCUUAAAAACGGGUCCCACCAGGAGUGCCAAAAUUGUUAGUUGCCGAAAAUUCCGACCCUCGACUCUGGUCAAAGAUCCUCUUCGGGAAGCGCGUCAGGGCUGAAAUGGUUCUGAAAAAUAACCCUCGAAGUGUGCGCCCUUUGACUAAACAAGUAAUUCGGCUGAUGAGGGAUCCAAUCAACCGAGUCCGAAAGCUCUAAUCUCACUUCGGUUCAAUCGGAUGAGCCGAAUGUACGGGGGAGACCGAAAGCUCGACCAGGAAAUGAGCCAAACGAUUAACACAACACAAGAUCUAGUCGGCCUGAAGAGCCGAAAAUGACUUUCUAUUGACUGAACCAGCAAAAAGUACAGGAAGAGGGGUUUUAGUCUACAACAGAGCGAUGCCCAAAGGGCAGACAGACUCCAAGAUUCUACGUUACUAAGACUACUCCUAGAAAAAGCGGUAAAUGCAGGAAAGAAAAAUACAGUAAAAUAAGAGUGGUCUUUUGUUCACAGGGGUAAAAACCCUUUUUUUUUAAGGUAUCACAAGCCUAUUUAUAGAAUCGCCCCUAGGUCGGUUAUAGCCCCUUGCAUGAUCGGCCACUAUCUUCUGAGAUUUCGGACCACCUCUAGCCGAUCGGAACUGCUUGCAACUGCAUGCGGUUGCUAUAACUUCUCUGGUUCAUGUUUCUCCUGGUGCUCCCGAUGUACUCCUGGUGCAUUACUGAAACAGCUGCCCUAUGAAUCCGGCGUGUGAAACCCGGCGUACCAGUUUUACGCCUAAUUGGCUCAACAAUAAGCAAUAAGGUAUAACUCAUUUUGUGACAUUUACGAAUGUGGGAUAUAUACAAGAGAUCAUGAAAAUGCAAUAUGACGAUUUGUUAUAUUCAAAAUAGUGAAGUUUCAAGAGUAUAUGCUGGAUGGAGAAGAGUUUCAAAAUUAUACUUUAGAAUUUAGAUAAGAGGAGAAACUCCCUAGUAUUCAUUACAUAUUAUUUUUAUAUAUAAAUUCGUUUAAAAUUAGUUAUUGAAAAUCGAUUCGAAGUAACAAUAAUUAUUUAAUCAAUCAACUCCGUUCUCUCAUAUUCAUCUUGCACGUGAAAUAUAUUUCAUAAAAUACAUAUAUUUAAUUUCAAAUUUUUCCAUGGGGAUGGUCUUUAACAUAUAUAAAUGUAUAUAUAGCAUCAUGACCACAAAAUUUGUCGAAAAGGAUUAUACAUGGGAACAAAAUUAAUGCCCAACAACUUAAUUAAUUGGCCCCCAAAUAAUUCUUGCAUAUCUUAUUUGUCUAAAUAAAAUAUAUAUAUAUAAUGUGUUUGAGAGCCAACUCUCAUUGACUAAAUUGCUCAUUCUCUCACAUGCAUUGCUGAUGCAUGUGAUCCUUUUAAUUCUAUAUAUACUCAAAAUUUUUUUCCAGUAUAUAAGAAGUACAUGUCAGAAGAGCCUAGCCAGUUAAUUUUUAUCUUAUUUUUUAGGCUAGAAAACUUUUUCGUCAAAAUCCAUUUUUUCAUUUUUCUCCUUUAUUAUUUAAAAACCUACACUUUACCGCUUUGUAAAAUAAAAAAUAUGCACUCACCUCCUACCGUUAGUAAUCUGUUAGAGUUCCGUUAUAAAAUAUUUUUUUAUGCCAAAAAUACCCCUCCACCCUUUUCCCUGUUGCUUCGCCUUCCUCCGCCUCGCCGCCGCCUCGCCCACAUCUCCGUCCACGCCCAGAAACACUCCUUUGCCCUCCUCUGCCGACUCGCCUUCUCCCUCGUUGCCCUUACCUACCUCUCCAUCCACGCCCACCUCUAUUUCCUCCAUACUGUCGCCGAAAUCGAGGGGCGGCGAGGGCGCAGGAGGAGAAGGGCAGCAGGUGGAGAAGAAAAUUGAGAGAAACUGUGGCCGAUCGAGGCGUGAAUCGCGGCCGAUCGAGGCGGCGGUUCAGGGAGAUGAAGGAGGAGAUGAAAAUGGUGAGAGGCAAAAUGGUCAUUUUAUCAUCACAGUACACGCCGUACCCUCCUUGUGAAUAUUUUUUAUUUUAUAAGGGAGCAAAGUGUAAGUUUUUAAAUGAUAGGGGGUAAAAUAAAAAAUCGGGUUUUAAUAGGAGGGUUUUAUAUAAUUUAACCAUAGUUUUUAUGAAAUGCGGCGUAAUUGAGAACCUAAUUCAUGCAAUAAACAUUUGUGGAUUAAUUUGUGAUUAAGCAACUUCUCAUUGUUGGCUUUUUCAGUGGCAUUGUUGUCCUUAUAUUAGAGAUUAAAGUAAAUGUUUCUCCCUACACUAACUUUAACUGGAGCAUAUAGGCUCCAGAGAUUAGGAGACAUGUUUUUAUCUUCAUAGAGAGAGAGAGAGAGAGAGAGAGAGAGAGAUAAGAAAAUUACAUGUUAAGAAGAAUCUUUGCAUGUCUAAUGGUUUGUAGAACAAUUGAUAGUGUAACUGUUCCCCAUACAUGAUCAAGUCACAAUGCAAAUAAUAGACUGUUCCUAGCGCAAGUGGCAAAAAAUUUUGUGGUUGAUAUCCGAGGUCCCAAGUUCGAAUCUUAGUUGAUUUACAGUUCUAGCUAAGUUUAUUUCUAAAUGAAAUAAACGAAGCGGGUAGCAUGCUAUCCAUCUCUCAAAAAAAAAAAAAAAUCACAAUGCAAAUAUAUAAGAGUAAAAUGCAUGGCUAGUCCCUCUAUUAUCCCACUAUUGGAACAUAUUUUAAGUUGGUUUUAAUACUUUUUGUUGGCUUAAAGGCCAGCAUUCUACUUUAUGAGGGGAGGUCAGGUUGGACCGAAUCACGUUCAAAAUGAUAGAAGAUCAGAUUGGGCUGAGUCAUAUUCAAAGUAGCGUCAGACUAGUUGGACUGAUCAAGUCACAAUCGAGACUUGUGAUGUUGUGUCUGUACGCUGUAAGCUAGAAAAUUGAUUGUAUAUUUCUAACAAUUUGAGUUUUUAGAUUCGAUACUUUUCAGUUAAAUAUCUCGCACUAUCUAAACUUUCACAUUAUUACACUUUGAGCUCUAAUCGUCAAAAAUGUUUACUUUUUUCAAUAUAUUUUAUCCGGUACUUUACAUUGUAUGAACUACUCUAGUUUAAUCCGAACAUGAUAUGGUAAGGCUGUUUUAUAGUAAAAUAAAAAAAACUCGAGGACUAAAAGUGUACGCAAUGAAAAGUAAUGGGACCACUUUGUAAUACUGGAAUAGUUCAUUAUUUACUCAUACUUGUUGUUGUGGGAAACAGCUAAAAUUCCUUUUGAGUUGAUUGAGAGACAAAUUAUGACUAGUCAUUAUCCUAACAAUUACUAUUAAACUCAUUUCUAAUUUUAUAUAUAUAUAUAUAUAUAUAUAUAUAUAUAUAUCUUAAAAUAGAGUAUAAACUUUCAAUAUCAUUUAUGCGGUUUCGUAUUUUCUCACUUUAGUGUCUUAUGAUUUAAACGUGUAUCAAUUUAGUACCUUAUGAUUUUAUUUUUUUCUUUUCAUCAGCUUCUGCGUUAACAUUUUGUUAAAUUAUGCACAAAAAAUUUCAAAUACUCCACUUAAAUUUAUUAGGUAUUCACUUUAGUACCUUUUAGUUUUAAUUUUGUCACUCAUUAAAUGAAAAAAAUUAAUGAAGGGUAUAAUAAAAAGAGAAAAAUAAAAUCAUGGGAUACUAAAUUAAUACGCUUUAAAUCACAAGAUACUAAAAUAAAAAAAAAAGUAUAAAACCAUAUUGAUGGUAUUUGAAAUUUUUCCUAAAUAAAGUUAUAGUAAAGAGUAACUGCAGUAUAAAUAAACAAAUAAUAAUUGUAUAAAUAUUUAAGUCUAAGAUAUAUAGCUACAACCUUAGUUAGUUAAUUCGCGUUUAAUUCGCGAAUUAUUCGCGACUUUUUCGAAACCCGAAUUAAACGCCGGCAUCCGAAUUUUUCCAAAACAUGCGUAAACAAACGCAUUUUUUUCAGCAAAAAUAAUCAUCCGCGAAUCAUUCGCGAUUCGCGAAUGAUUCGCCCAAAGAAACGGCGGUCGCGGACUCGCUGCCGCGUCGUCGCCGCCAUCGUCGGCGUCCUCCUCCUCCAUCGCUUUCGUCGCGGAACUUUGGAUCACUGUAAAAUUUCUCGAAAAAAAAAAUUUCCGCUAAAAUUUUUUUUUCCAAACAAUAGUUGUCCCUCAAAUUUUUUUUGAAAAAAUUAUUUUAUAAAUUUUGGAAAAAAAAUCGAAUUUGUGACUUGAGAGUUGAGACUUGAGAGCAAGAGGUAGAAAUGGCGCUGGGUUUGGGAAGAAGAAGNUAAUUAUUAAUUAAUUAUUAAUAAAUAAUAAUAUUAAUUAUUAAUUAUUAAUUAUAAAUAAUAUAUUAAUAAUAAUAUCGAUUAUCAUUAAGAAUAAUAAUUAUUAAUAAUUAUUAAUAAAAAAUUAAUAAAUAUUAUUAAUUAUUAAUAAUUAAUUAUAAAUAAUAAAUUAAUAAUAAUUAUUAUCUAAUUAUUAAUAAGUAAUUAUAAAUAAUAAAUUAUUUAAUUAUUUAAUUAUUAAACCAAUAAAUAAUAAUGUAAAUAUAUUAAUUAGAUUAAUUAAUAAUUUACUGCUAUUAAAAUUAAAUUUAGAUUUUAAUUAAUCUUGUUCUCAUCAAGGAACAAGCUUGUUCCAGGAAACGGGUGGAACAGCAGUUCCAGCCUUAUUCCAGCUAGUUCCAGAUUUCCGGAAACUACUGUUCCCGGGAGCCAAACAUAGCGUUUGGGAACAAAGGGGGGAACAAGGGCUUAUUCCCCCCCUUGUUCCCCAACCAAACGCUACCUCAAAGUUUUUUUUCUGGUAUAUAAGAAGUACAUGUCAGAAGAGCCUAGCCAGUUAAUUUUUAUCUUAUUUUUUAGGCUAAAUUACAGAAAACUUUUCCGUCAAAAUCCGAUUUUUUCAUUUUUCUCCCCUGUCAUUUAAAAACCUACACUUUACCGCUUUGUAAAAUAAAAAAUGUGCACUCACCUCCAACCGUUAGUAAUCUAUUAGGGUUCCGUUAUAAAAUAUUUUUUUAUGCCAAAAAUACCCCUCCACCCUCUUCCCUGUUCCUUCGCCUUCCUCCGCCUCGCCGCCACCUCGCCCACAUCUCCGUCCACGCCCAGAAACACUCCUUCGCCCUCCUCCGCCGACUCGCCUUCUCCCUCGUUGCCCUUACCUACCUCUCCAUCCACGCCCACCUCUAUUUCCUCCAUACUGUCACCGAAAUCGAGGGGCGGCGAGGGUGCAGGAGAAGAAGGGGAGCAAGUGGAGAAGAAAAUUGAAAGAAACCGUGGCCGAUCGAGGCUUGAACCGCGGCCGAUCGAGGCGGCGGUUCAGAAAGAUGAAGAAGGAGACGAAAAUGGUGAGAGGCAAAAUGGUCAUUUUAUCAUCACAGUACACGUCGUACCCUCCUUGUGAGUAUUUUUUAUUUUAUAGGGGAGCAAAGUGUAAGUUUUUAAAUGAUAGGGGGGUAAAAUAAAAAAUCGGGUUUUGAUAGGAGUGUUUUAUAUAAUUUAACCAUAGUUUUUAUGAAAUGCAGCGUAAUUGAGAACCUAAUUCAUGCAAUAAACAUUUGUGGAUUAAUUUGUGAUUAAGCAACUUCUCAUUGUUGGCUUUUUGAGUGGCAUUGUUGUCCUCAUAUUAGAGAUUAAAGUAAAUGUUUCUCCCUACACUAACUUUAACUGGAGCAUAUAGGCUCCAGAGAUUAGGAGACAUGUUUUUAUCUUCAUAGAGAGAGAGAGAGAGAGAAGAAAAUUACAUGUUAAGAAGAAUCUUUGCAUGUGUAAUGGUUUGUAGAACAAUUGAUAGUGUAACCGUUCCCCAUACACGAUCAAAGUCACAAUGCAAAUAACCGACUAUCCCUAGCGCAAGUGGCAAAGAAUUUUAUGGUUGAUAUCCGAGAUUCCAAGUUCGAAUCUUAGUUGAUUUACAUUUCUAGCUAAUUUUAUUUCUAAAUGAAAUAAACGAAACGAGUAGCAUGCUAUCCAUCUCUCAAAAAAAAAAAAAAAUUCACAAUGCAAAUAUAUAAGAGUAAAAUGCAUGGCUAGUCCCUCUAUUAUCCCACUAUUGGAACAUAUUUUAAGUUGGUUUUAAUACUUUUUGUUGGCUUAAAGGCCAGCAUUCUACUUUAUGGCGGGAGGUCAGGUUGGAUCGAAUCACGUUCAAAAUGAUAGAAGAUCAGGUUGGGCUGAGUCGUAUUCAAAGUAGCGUCAGACUAGUUGGACUGAUCAAGUCACAAUCGAGACUUGUGAUGUUGUGUCUGCACGCUGUAAGCUAGGAAAUUGAUUGUAUAUUUCUAACAAUUUGAGUUUUUAGAUUCGAUACUUUUUAGUUAAAUAUCUCGCACUAUCUAAACUUUCACAUUAUUACACUUUGAGCUCUAAUCGUCAAAAAUGUUUACUUUUUUCAAUAUAUUUUAUCCGGUACUUUACAAUGUAUGAACUACUCUAGUUUAAUCCGAACAUGAUAUGGUAAGGCUGUUUUAUAGUAAAAUAAAAAAAACUCAAGGACUAGAAGUGUACGCAUUGAAAAGUAAUGGGACCACUUUGUAAUACUGGAAUAGUUCAUUAUUUACUCAUACUUGUUGUUGUGGGAAACAGCUAAAAUUCCUUUUGAGUUGAUUGAGAGACAAAUUAUGACNUUAUAUUCUUAAGAAAUAUGAGUAUUUAUACUAAUAGAAUAAAUCUUGAGAAAAAAUAAUUUUAAUUUAAUAGCCGAAUUUUUUAUCCCGAAUUUUUAAUUGAAGAACGUAUAAUAUCCGUAUAAAUCAUGUAUCCGAAUAAUUACUGAAUCCGUUUUUUAGCCGUAUUUUUUAACGAAUUUAAAAAUUAGAAAACGAAUUUUAUCCGAAUUAUAUCCGUACCGAAUUUUUGCCGAAUCCGAAUUAACUAACUAUGGCUACAACCGCUCCUCUCUCAAUACCUAGGUCCAAUAAACAAAUUUGUCCAGGUUGUAGCCCACCGACCACCAUGCCACAGUUGAUUUAUUAUUAAUCCCACCAUUGAUAGAAUUAUUUUUUUUUGUCUAAAUUAUAUAUAUAUAUAUAUAUAUAUAUAUAUAUAUAGAUAUAUAUAUAUAUAUAUAUAUAUAUAUAUAAGACUUAAAUAUUAGACGUGCCUCAAAAUUUGGUAAUCAAGUUUGAUUUUGUGCACCUGAUUGAUUCACCAACAGUUUUGCAGUGCGACAAGUUUUAAAAAAAUGAUUUGUAAUGAAAAAAAAAUAUAUCUGUAGUGGAAGCGGAAAGCUUGGGCCGUUGCCUUAGAGGCGAUAAAGCGGAUUGUACUUCCACAAUAUUAUACUUUUUUUUUCGUAUAAUAAAAUUCUCUCUUCCUUCACCUUUACUUAUUUUUUUAUUGCAAAACAAAUUCUACGUAAAUUCUAAUGUUCUAUAUAUAUAUUUUUUUUUACUGUUUUAUGAUUUAUUUCCAUUGCGAUCGUCAUUUUUGUUUCUGUUUAUGCGCUCGUUGUUACAAUAAAUAAAUUAUAAAGCAACGAAAUCGAAAUAUCAUGACUUUGUUUCUUACCAAACAUUAAAAAACAGAAACAACAAAAACAAAAAAGGAAAAGAGCCAUCUCUGUGCCCAUCAUUUCCGGGGUUACGAUCUUUUUCUUUCUCUGAGAUAAAGCAGGUAGAAGCUUGAUGCUUUCUUAAUUAUUCAUUAAGAUCAAUUAUGAAAGGUUCUUAAUUAUUCAUUAAGAUCAAUUAUGAAAGGUGGAUAUAAUUAAUACUACUUCUAUUAAUAAAAAAAAAUUAUAUAUAAGUGUAUACUAAAGAAAAGGGGAGUAUAAUUUCUACAACCCAUGUGCAAGAAUUUUUUUUUUUUUUUAUUUGUUAAUGGACAACUUGAAUUAUUGAUUCCACUCUGAAUGGGCGACAUAACCAAUGUACAAAACUAUCGAGAAUUCAAACCUUGAAAAGAGAGGAUGAUGAAUGUAAACAACGAAAAGAUUUGUAAUGUGAUAAUUAAUAACCCAAUUAAAAUUAAAAUUAAAAUUCAGAGAAAUUAAAAAGUCUAUAAUGAAAGUUUUAAAAGGCAUAUGUAGUAUACUAGUAUGCGAUUGCAUAUGUAGAUGUACAUCUGAUUUAGCUAUUAAAAUAAUAAAAAAUAUAUAUAUUUUAGCUAAAACGAAUAUUUAGCAAUACAUUUUUACAGUUAAGUAUAUAUAAAUGUAUUAUAAUUUAGUUAACAUAUAAUGCACAACUAGUGAAGUUAUCCGUGCAUUCCGACGAGCUAAUGUUAUAGAAGAUAAAAGAUUAACAAAAUUAAAAUUUUAAAAUUUUUUAAGUUGUAAUGAAACAUCAAUAAAUACAAAUAAAAAAUAUAAAACAAAUAUAUACAAAUGUGGCAAAAGUUACAACAGCAAAUAAAUUAUACAUAAUAAUAAUAAAAUUUACAACAGCAAAUAGAUAUUCUUUUUUUUAAAACGAUUUGUUUAGAUAAAAAUAAAUCAUAUGAAUACAUUAAUUAGAAAGUGGGCGGGUAGGAAAACGAAGCAUUGAGUAGAGAUGAGGUGGGAAGGCGAAGCAUCAAAGAGUGUGGAGAGGGGGUGAAGGAGGAAUUACCACGUGACAAAUUCUAUGAGAAAUAAUGUAUAGGAAUAGAAUAGAUGCUACAAAGUAUAUAUAAACCAGAGAAUAGAAUCACAAAAUAGUCGAAGAGAAGCAAAGAAGGUGAUAGUUAACAUUAUUAUACUAGUUACAUUGUGUUAAAAAAAAAAAAAGUGUAUAUAAUAAAUAAUAGCCAAAUAUGCGGCCGUAUAGAUCAUUGUUUAAAACUAUGCUAUUAAUACGUUACAAAUUUUAAAUUUUAAAUUUGUAUAUGCCCUUGAAGUGAUCUUUUAAAACAUCUAUGGCAAUAAGUGACAGAUCAGUUGCCAACUACACAAAAAAUUUUAUAUCUCAUAAGAAAGAUUCAUCUCACCUUCCCCUUUGUGAUUGCUUGAUUACUUAGCAUUGAUAGGAUUAUUUUAGUCCUAUUUGAUCUUUGAAAAGGCACUUCCCCUUGUGGUUGCUUGAUUACUUAUACUUUUGAUUGAAUUAUUUUAGGCCCCUUUUCUCGGAUCAUUGGUACUAUCUAACCAUUAAUAUCAAAAUUCAAACUGUUAGAAAUAUACAAUCAAUUUACUUAAAGCAUACAGACACAAUCCUCACGAGUGUCGAUUGUGACCCGGCUCAACCAGCCUCACGCCACUUCGAAUACGACCUCCCGCUAUUUCGAACGUGACCCAUCCUUACCUCCCUCUACAAAGUAGGAUGCUGGUCCCUUUAAGUCAACACUUUUGAUCUAACUGAAAUUUUCUCAUAAGUAUAAUUAGUACUGAUUGAAGAAGCACGACCAGUUUUUUAAUUAAUUUUUUUUUAACAAUAGUUUGCUGCAACAAAACCGGAAAUUUAACACUAAAAAUAUAACUUUAAUUUAUGAAAUAACUUUAAAGCUUACUUUUGGGACUUAGAACCAAAGUUUAUUUUAUGAAAUAUAAAAAGUAACUUUAAAAUAUAUAUAUAUAGCCAGUAUUUUUAUUAUUAGAUAUAGUUUGGAGGAUUUGGUUGCCUAAAUUAAACAUUUGGACAUCGUUUGUUCCUGUUGCCCUUUUUAUUUCUUUGAAUAAUAAUUUUAUAUAUUAAACUUUCUUUUUAUUGUCAUUAUUACUUAGUUUGAUAUUUCGACCAUUAAAAGAGUUUAAAAAUAAAAAAGGCUUCUUCUAAGUUUUUUUUAAAUUUUUUGUUAACAGAUAAAUAUCUAAUAUCUAAGAAUUAUAAACAAUCCCUUAUCCUAAUCUACACUAUUUUUUCGGUGCACUUUUAUUUUAAAAAGUAAAAACACUUUUAUUUUAAUAAGUUAAAAAAUGGUAAUUAAUGAUGCCAAAAAAGACUUUUGAGAAAUCUGUUUAUUAAAGCAGUGCUAAAGUUCAAAAAUUUCUAUAUAUUUUUUCCUAUUUAGGGAAUAUUUGGUUUCACUUAAAACUGUGAGCAAUAAGUUUUCGAGGAAAAAAAGGUUUUCUGAGAAAAAAGUUGUUCUACGGCCUUUCAUGUUUGGUUCAGUACUGUAGAAUGGAAUUACUUUUGGAUAAAAGAAAAAAAAAAAAGGAAAAACCGUUUACUAUUUUCUUUAAAAUAGCACCAUUUAUAAUUAAAUUUGAUAGUGCAAUUCUCAAAUUAAAAGGUGACAACAUAUAAACAGGCUAAUAUAUAUAGCAAUGGGAUUAAAAGAUGUGCGGUUAGAAUGAUGUAGACUCUUUAGGGUUGAGUGGGUGGUUGGUUGAAUAGUAUGAUCUACCGGAUGUAAAUGAUCAAAAGGGUAGAUCUAACGGUGGAAAACUUGGUAGUACCAAGUGCUUCGUACUAUUAAUAGCAUAGUAGCCGGACACUCUCUCUCUCUCUAUAUAUAUAUAUAUAAAUUAUUUUUUAUUAAUAAGUAAUAUGUUAUGUUGCAUGGUUGUCAUUUAACAAAAUGUUGACACCAAAAUUGAGCACUGAAAGACGACGAAUCGGAGGAACAUACGUACGUGGUGGCUACUUAAUUCGGUCAGGAGUCCAAGCUUCAAUGGCUGAUUACACUGAAGAAAUACAGCAAAUUUGGCCUCGGUACCACUAGAAAGAAAGGGGGUUUGGCAUCUCCACCUUGGCUAGGAGAAGGUAGGAUCAGGUCUUAAUUCGAAUUGAAAAUUUCAAAUUCAUACGAGACGAAGGCGGGAAGUGACGAAACGAUAAAUUAAGGAAAGUGCGGUAGCUGGUCACUCUGUAGUUACUCCGACAAUUGCGACAGCGCUACUAUAAAAAGAAGAGAAUGACUGUAGAAAAAGGAAUCUGAACUUUAGCACCAGAAAACUACAUCUUUUAUUCUUGGAGUAGACAUAGCGUAAGCGCGUGUAAGAGUUGGUAUAACGUUACUUAAGAAAAGCUUAGUACUACUCGCCGCCCUACAACUACCAUUUAGCUCGUUGACGGUUUCGCCCACAACAACCACUCUGACCGUUGCCGGACCACCUUAUCCUUACCGGAGAGCGCAUUUCCGCUCCUCGUGCCAGUUUAACCCAUUGAGGAUCGUGUUGCACGUACGGCGGUUCCGUCCUAUUCACUCCGGUCAGAUUAGCAGCCAAACCUCAAAGCGAAGUCUCGGGCCUUUGCCUCAUGCGAAGGCCUCAAGACCUUCCCUCGAGAUUGAACCUGACCGGAUCGUUCUCCCUCUGCUCCACACUUGAGACCACAUCAGAUCCCGCCUACACACUGAGGGACGCCGUGUUUGUGGACGAGCCAGAUCGCACCACAUGUUGCGUUGCAAUCUCUCCGCCAACAUAUUUUAAAUAAUAAAGAAGAUACGGAGCAAACUCAAAUGCGGUCCACAAAUUGUUGUGGAAUCUCAAGGACCGUAUCCAUUAGGACUCUCGUCUACGUGUAUUGAUGACUGCGCGCGUUAGGUGUAUUCUGAGUUUUUUUUUUUUGCUCUUUUCGAGUGAAAAACGAAAAUACUGAUUUACUUUACAAAUUUGCUUAAAUUUUUCACGCAAAUAUUUUUAUUUUAACCCAGAUGAGUCAAAAUUUUAUUUUUAACCCGGAAAAAAAAAAUUGGAGUCCACCUUUACAAAAGUGCCCCUUAGUUGAACAAAUAUGUUGCAUCGUACGCAUUGAACUUUUGAAGGCAAUUAUUACUGCUCAAGCAUGCAACCAAUUUGGUCGGAACAUGCACACCAAAAAUGUUUUUUAGGGUGCAGGUCCGUUUAGCUCAUGGUCAUAUGUUUACCCUAAAAAGCGCGUACUAUGCUAGGGCUAUAAAAACCUACGACGAGUACGUACGUAGAGCAACCUCAGAAUCUUGCACUCGACAAAAGUGCUUUUUUUGCCCACAGGUGUAGGCGCUUUUAACGACAGUUCUUUUUUUAUUUAUUUAUUUAUUUUUAUAUAACUAGAAUACUAGUCAUACACUUAAUAUAUAUAUAUAUAUAUAUAUAUAUAUAUAUAUAGAGAGAGAGAGAGAGAGAGAGAGAGAGAGAGAGAGAGAGAGAGAGAGAGAGUGAGGCUACNNNNNNNNNNNNNNNNNNNNNNNNNNNNNNNNNNNNNNNNNNNNNNNNNNNNNNNNNNNNNNNNNNNNNNNNNNNNNNNNNNNNNNNNNNNNNNNNNNNNNNNNNNNNNNNNNNNNNNNNNNNNNNNNNNNNNNNNNNNNNNNNNNNNNNNNNNNNNNNNNNNNNNNNNNNNNNNNNNNNNNNNNNNNNNNNNNNNNNNNNNNNNNNNNNNNNNNNNNNNNNNNNNNNNNNNNNNNNNNNNNNNNNNNNNNNNNNNNNNNNNNNNNNNNNNNNNNNNNNNNNNNNNNNNNNNNNNNNNNNNNNNNNNNNNNNNNNNNNNNNNNNNNNNNNNNNNNNNNNNNNNNNNNNNNNNNNNNNNNNNNNNNNNNNNNNNNNNNNNNNNNNNNNNNNNNNNNNNNNNNNNNNNNNNNNNNNNNNNNNNNNNNNNNNNNNNNNNNNNNNNNNNNNNNNNNNNNNNNNNNNNNNNNNNNNNNNNNNNNNNNNNNNNNNNNNNNNNNNNNNNNNNNNNNNNNNNNNNNNNNNNNNNNNNNNNNNNNNNNNNNNNNNNNNNNNNNNNNNNNNNNNNNNNNNNNNNNNNNNNNNNNNNNNNNNNNNNNNNNNNNNNNNNNNNNNNNNNNNNNNNNNNNNNNNNNNNNNNNNNNNNNNNNNNNNNNNNNNNNNNNNNNNNNNNNNNNNNNNNNNNNNNNNNNNNNNNNNNNNNNNNNNNNNNNNNNNNNNNNNNNNNNNNNNNNNNNNNNNNNNNNNNNNNNNNNNNNNNNNNNNNNNNNNNNNNNNNNNNNNNNNNNNNNNNNNNNNNNNNNNNNNNNNNNNNNNNNNNNNNNNNNNNNNNNNNNNNNNNNNNNNNNNNNNNNNNNNNNNNNNNNNNNNNNNNNNNNNNNNNNNNNNNNNNNNNNNNNNNNNNNNNNNNNNNNNNNNNNNNNNNNNNNNNNNNNNNNNNNNNNNNNNNNNNNNNNNNNNNNNNNNNNNNNNNNNNNNNNNNNNNNNNNNNNNNNNNNNNNNNNNNNNNNNNNNNNNNNNNNNNNNNNNNNNNNNNNNNNNNNNNNNNNNNNNNNNNNNNNNNNNNNNNNNNNNNNNNNNNNNNNNNNNNNNNNNNNNNNNNNNNNNNNNNNNNNNNNNNNNNNNNNNNNNNNNNNNNNNNNNNNNNNNNNNNNNNNNNNNNNNNNNNNNNNNNNNNNNNNNNNNNNNNNNNNNNNNNNNNNNNNNNNNNNNNNNNNNNNNNNNNNNNNNNNNNNNNNNNNNNNNNNNNNNNNNNNNNNNNNNNNNNNNNNNNNNNNNNNNNNNNNNNNNNNNNNNNNNNNNNNNNNNNNNNNNNNNNNNNNNNNNNNNNNNNNNNNNNNNNNNNNNNNNNNNNNNNNNNNNNNNNNNNNNNNNNNNNNNNNNNNNNNNNNNNNNNNNNNNNNNNNNNNNNNNNNNNNNNNNNNNNNNNNNNNNNNNNNNNNNNNNNNNNNNNNNNNNNNNNNNNNNNNNNNNNNNNNNNNNNNNNNNNNNNNNNNNNNNNNNNNNNNNNNNNNNNNNNNNNNNNNNNNNNNNNNNNNNNNNNNAUCAUCGAAAACGGCUUAGGAGCACGGAGGCCUCCGUGCUCCUAAUAGCACACAAGACUUAAUAUAUAUAUAUAGAGUUGGAUUGGGCUACUAUUAGUAGUAAAAUUCCAUUGUUGCUACUAGUUUUUUAGCCUUUGGAUCAACUCUUUUCAUUAUUUCUAACCAUUGGAUUAAAUACUAUAACCCAGUGGGGACCACUCAACUCUAACCGACUAAUAUCAUCCUGACCCUACAAUUUUUCAUCCAAGGGUUAAAAACUUGAUAGCAAAAAAGAGUGUUUUACUAUUAAUAGUAUUUUAGCCUAAUUCUAUAUAUAUAUAUAUAGUAAGUCUUGUGUGUUAUUAGGAGCACGGAGACCUCCGUGCUCCUAAGCUGUUUUCGAAGAUGGAGUUUUUGAAUCGACGAUCGGUUCCAUUAGACUUGAUCUAGCAUAUUUGAAGUAUCUAGAAAAUAAAUUUUUCGAUUUUUCGAUAUCAUUUACCUAGAGAUUGAAAGGGUUUAAAAUCAACAGUUUUUAAUGGUUGAUAUAUACCGUUUGCAAGUUUAACGGUGUAGAAGUAUUCAAAUUAGAUGAAAUUUCGCUAGAAAAUUCUUUAUACUAUUUACAGUGAGAUUAAUAUCUCUGAUCGAAAAUUUUAGUGUUAUAUCAUCACUUUUUGUGAGAUUUUUAUAUUCAGCCGUUGAUUUUGAAACAUUUCGAUCGCUAGGCAAAUAAUAUCGAAAAAUUGCAAAAUUUAUUUUCUAGAUACUUCAAACACACUAGAUCAAGUUUAACGGAACCGAUCGUCGAUUCGGAAGCUCCAUCAUCGAAAACGGCUUAGGAGCACAGAGGCCUCAGUGCUCCUAAUAGCACACAAGGCCUACUAUAUAUAUAUAUAUAUAUAUAUAUANGCUCAAAAUCAACAAAUUUCAAUGGCCGUAGUGAGCCGUUUGCAAGUUUAACGGUGUAGAAAUAUCCAAAUCACGUGAAAUUUUGAUAGAAAAUUCUUUAUACUAUAUAAAACAAGAUCAAUAUUUUUGAUUUAAAAUUUUAAUGUCAUAUUAUUAUAUUUUUUAAGAUUUUUACUUUCAGCCGUUGAUUUUGAGCCCCUUCGUUCAUUAGGCAAAUGAUAUCGUAAAAUCAUAAAAUUUAUUUUCUAUAUACUUCAAAUACUCUAGAUCAUGUUUAACGGAGCCGAUCGACGAUUCGAAAGUCGCAACAUCGAAAACUAGCUGGAAGCACGGAAGGCUCCGUGCUUCCGAUAGUAUAGUAGCCUCACUCUAUAUAUAUAUAUAUAUAUGAGCCCGGCUACUAUACUAUCGGUAGCACGGAGGGCUCCGUGCUAUCAAGUUAUUUUCGAUGAUGCGGCUUCCAAAUCGGCGAUCGGCUCAGUUAAACUUGAUCUACACUAUUGAAAGUAUUUGAAAAUUAAAUUUCAGAUUUUUUCGACAUCAUUUGACUAGUGAUCAAAAGAUUUCAAAAUUGACAAUUUUAAUGGCCGAUGUGGUAUGUUUGUAAGUUUAAUGGUAUAAAACAAUCCAUAUCCGAUGAAAAUUUUAUAGAAAAUUCUUUUCACUAUUUAGAGUAAGAUCAGUAUAUAUGAUCUUGAAUUUAAAUCUUUUAUCAUCAUUUUUUAUAAGAUUUUUAUUUUCAGCCGUUCAAUUUUAGACUAUUUGUUUGAUAGGUAAAUGAUAUCGAAAAAUUAUGAAAUUUAGUUUCUACAUACUUUUAAUAGUAUAGAUCAAGUCUAAUGGAGCCAAUCGUCGAUUCAGAAGCCGCAUCAUCGAAAACAACUUGGUAGCACGGAGCCCUCCGUGCUACCGAUAGUAUAGUAGCCUAGUUAUAUAUAUAUAUAUAUAUAGUCCGGCUACUAUACUCUUAUAAGUACGAUCGCCUUCGUACUCAUUAGUUGUUUUCAAUGAUAGAGCUUCUGAAUCGACGAUCCACACCGUUAAACGUUAUCUAGAGCAUUUAAAACGUUUAGAAAUCAAAUUUUAUAAUUUUUCAACAUCAUUUACCUUACGAUCAAAAGGUCACAAAAUUGACAAUUUUUAACGGCUGGUAUGAAAUAUUUGCUAGUUUAACGGUAUAAAAAAAUCAAAUCAGUUAAAGUUUUGAUAGAAAAUUCUAUUCAGUACAUAGAUAAAGAUCAAUAACUCUGAUCUUAAAUUGAAGGAUCCGAUCAUCCAUUUUUAAGAUGUCGUUCGAUUUUGACCGUUCAUUUUAUACCUGCUUGAUAAAUUUUUUUAUGAUUUCGAAAAAUUACGAAAUUUAUUUUCUAGAAGUUUUAGAUACUAUAGAUCAUAUUUAAUGGAGUGGAUCGUCGAUUCGGAAGCUCUGUCAUUGAAAACAACUUAUGAGUACGAAGUGCUCUAUACUCAUAAGGGUAUAAUAGUCCUAGCUUAUAUAUAUAUAUAUAUAGAGAGAGAGAGAGAGAGAGAGCUAGGCUUGUAUACUAUCGUUAGCAUGAAAGUCUCCAUGCUACCAAGUUAUUUUCAAUGAUGCAGCUUCCAAAUCGACGAUUGGCUUCGAUUGAAAGUAUUUGGAAACUAAAUUUCAUAAUUUUUCGGCAUCAUUUACCUAUCAAACGAGUAGUCUAAAAAUGAACAGCUGAAAAUAAAAAUUUCAUAAAAAAUAAUGAUAAAAUACUUGAAUUUAAGAUUAGAGAUACUGAUCUUACUCUAAAUAGUGAAAAAAAAAUUUAUAAAAAGAUGUGUUUUCGACAUGAUCUUACUCUAUAUAUUUGGAUUAUUUUACACCGUUAAAUUCACAAACGCAUCACAUCUACUAUUAAAAUUGUCAAUUUUGAGACCUUUUGAUCACUAGUCAAAUGAUGCUGAAAAAUACUUAACUCUAGUUAAGUAUAUCUCUGUCUUCAAAUAUAUCUCUGUCUUUAGGAUCGGUUAGAAAAAAUUAGUUAACCAUAGAUAAAAUACUUAACUCUAGUUAGUUAAUGAGAUGAAUUGACCAAUUUAUCCCUCUUUAAUUAAUAGUUGGAGUUUUUGAAGAGACAUAUUUGUGAUGGCAAAAAGAUUAUUUCACUUAUAAAACAAACAGAGGGAUAUAUUUGAAAACAUUAAGACUUUUACGGAAACAACAUAUGAAAGUUGAAUUUUGUAGAAAUAUAUAUGUAAUUCACUAUGUUUGCAGGAAUCAAUAUGAAAUUAAUUUUUUUUAGAGAAAAAUAACAUGCUAUCCGUGUCGUUUAUUUUUUUAAAAAAAAAUAAAAUAUCAACUAUUAAAUUUUUUGUCAUUUGUGCCGAUCGUUUCCUAGAUAUUUUUAUUAAGCUUUAAUAAAGACUUUUCCACAUGUUCGUACCGCCUCUUGGUGAGGAAAAAUUCUAGAAUGCAACGGGUAUAUUAGUGACGUGGCGUAACAAACCAAUCAAAUUAAUCCUUUUAAGAAUAUAUGUCCCAUCAUGAUUGUAAAAAAGUAUUUUUAUUGUACUUUUGUUUAAAAAGAAGGAAUGUAAUUGACUUGUUAUUGAUGACGUGGUGCAAGUGUGACAGUGUAGAAUUCCUCCUUGGUGAGCAGCGUGGGAAAAAAAAAAAAAAAAAUAAGGCCACAAAAAGAGCAACACGUGGACACAGGAAGCGCGCUCGUGCGGCGAUGUGCACACGUGUGCGAUCCUUUUGCUUCCAUCGGACUCCAACAUUGCUUCUCCAAGUUGGAUAAACGAAGGGAAUAAUUAAUGCCACCAUUGGUCCUCAUCUAUUGCGUACUUUUUCCACUUUGCUUCGAAAUUAUUUUCUUUUUCGCCGUUCGGUCCAUAUUGCCAUCCAAUAUUUUUAUGUAGUGUCUAAAUUUUUAUUAAUUUUGACGGAAUAAAUUAUUUUGAAUAAAACAAAUUUCUAUCAAUUUCGGCAAUAUUUUUUUAAGAUUUGGAAAGAAAAAACUUGUUGUGCGUAAGGUUGAGACGGUGAAAUUGGAUUUGCCGUAAUAAAAAUAACGAUCCAAUCGGAUAAAAAAAUAAAUAAUUAAGGACCAAAGUUAAAAAUAGGGUAAAAGGUGUGGGACCAGCGGUGCAAUUAACUCAUAAAUAAGAGAAGCCUAGUUCGUCGUUUCCCGAGGUGGCGCUACUCACGGUAAUGUUAUUACUUAUCUUAUAAACGAUCAGAUCAUCAUUUUUCAAAAAGAAGAAGUCUCAAAUGAACGAACUGUACAAUGUCGCACUUAUACCAUAUCGUGGUAUGUAAUAAGCCAAUCAUAUCUCUUUUUUUGAGACAAAAGUAUAAUAAGAAUAGAUGAAUUCGAGAAGAAUAAUUCUAUUGAUUCGGAAUGCUACGUCAGCAAUAUCACCUGUGAAAAUAAAAAGUUGGGGACCAAAAUUGAAAAUGGGGUAAAGGGUGGGGGGACCAGCGGUGCAGUUAAUACAGAAAUAAAGCUUAGAUCGUCGUUUUCCGAGGUGGCGCAACUCGCGGUGACGGUACCGCUUGUGUUACAACGUCCACGUCAUCAUUCCCGAGAAAGUAGCAGCCAGAAGCGCGCGAGUUACGAGGUGCGGAGGAGAACUGCCGCGCGCCGCAACGACCCCCUGCCCGACAAGUACGGUGAAAGUUUGCCCUCGUGGUUGCAUUGAUAUUACGAGUUUGCCACUCCCCCCCUCCACUCCGCUACGGAGACAAGGUGUACGGACUCCGAUAAAGCUGGGUUGAGUCGGGGGGCGUGCGGAGUCGGGUUUCUCCUCCUCCGACAAAAGCUGCUGCUCUACAGAUGCAAAUGGAUCCGGGUGGGUGGAGCUUUCGCUCUAAUUAGUUAUAAAUAGAAAGAUAAGUAAAAAAAAUAUAUAUAUAGUAAAAAUAUAAUCAAUUCCAAUCCGCCGAGUUAAUAGAACGGGAGGCGCGAAACUUUUUUUUUUCUUUUUUCGAUCCGUCUCGAUCUGUUAAAAAUUGAUUCUCGUCUCGAUUUGAAUCUAAUGGAGUGGUAAAUGGAGGCUAAAAAUAGAAUUAAAAUUAACCACGCUCGAAUCCGUCCCGAUCCGAGAAUAAAUGGAGCGGGAUAUGGGGGACCUCUCCCACCUCCCGAUCCGCUCCGUUUGCAUCCCUAAGCAUGUAUUGACUAUUUACUAUCAGCUAAAAAAGGUUUAACUUUCUAUUUUGUUAUAAUAGGUCCAAAAGUUUAAUAAGUUGAGUGAAACUGUGAUACACAAUAAAUCUAAUGUAAGAGACUCAAUAAUAGACCUAGAUGGAUUAAAUCAGGUCGAAAUCUGUGAAACAUUGUAGUUGAGCAGUAAGUGCUUUUGGGAUAAUUGGUUGGCGGUUACCGUCCACACUGUGGAUCAUUUUGAAUCGGCUACUCAAUCUUUUAAAUUUUAUUUAAUUUGAGUUAAUCAACAGUUUUUGACUUCAAAAUUUAAACUAAUUAUUUACUUACAUGAGUUAUACUUGCAGAAAUUAAAUAAAAUAUAUUAAAUAAAUAUGUAAAGUUAAACGACUUAUUUAAAUUUUGAAGUCAAAAUGUGAUUGACUAACUCAAAUCAAACAAGAUGAAAGACUAGAUAGUAAAACCAAAUCUUUAAAAAGUUGGGUAGCUAACUUAAAAUAGUUUAUAGUUCACGUAACUCCUAUAUGUUUUUGCCUUCUUUUUUUUUUUAAUCUAAAGACACCACUCAACAAUAAACUUAUAAUUUUAUAUGAAAGAAGUUAAAAAAUAGCAAUUAAAAAUGGCAAAUCAUAUAGUUACUUAACUCAUUUUAGUAUGGAAAAUAACAAAGAUAUAUAAAAACAAUAAGAAAAUUAUAUUAAAAAUAAUUUGAUUGAACCAUUUAAUGAGUAUAUCAUGAAGAUUUAUUUUAUAUUUUGUCUGCUAUUUAACUAGUAUUUCUUAAUAAAAUUUAAUAAUUUUAUCUAAAUUAAUAAUAGAUUUGUUAAUAGUAAUAUAGAAUUUGAUAAGAAAAAAAAUAGUUUAGCGAUAUGUAUAACAAAAGAAAAUAGUAUAAGAUAGAAAGAUAAAAAUAAAUGCAAAAUACAGCAUAUCAAUUGAAAAAAAUAUAAUAACACAGUGGUGUCUUUGAAAAAAAAAUUAGUACAGUACAUCAAAUACAAAUAACACUAAAGUAUAGUACAGUACAGUAUAAUUAAGCCUAAAAUUUAUAAAAAUCAUUUACAUAUUUCUACAUUAUAAUUUUUUAAAACUAUGUUUCUUUAUUCAUUUAGCAUAAUAUAGCUGAUUUAGGAAGCAUCCUAUAUGCUGUAACUAUUAGAAAGACCACUUUUUCUACUUGAUUGAGGUUUCGUAUAUGUUUAGCUACAUUUUCCUUUUCUUUUAUAAGUGUAGUUAUUUCAUUUAUAUAAGAUAAUCUCUAAUUAAAAAUUCUCAAUAUGAUGAUAAAUGUAUACAUCAUUAAUUUUUUGACACUCUAAGAAAAGUGUUUAGCUUAAAAUGGGAAUGGGAAUCAAUGAAAUAGGAGUGAAAAUGGAUUGAAAUCUAAAGCGAAAUAAUAAAAAUUAUAAUUUGCUUGGUUCAGAAAAAAUGUAUCAAAUUUGUAUUUAGGAUUUAAACUUGAACUUAAAAAGUUAAAAAUUAUAUUUUGAAUUCAUAAUUCAAAUAUAAAAUUAUAAUUUAAAAUUACAUAUAAAUUAGUAUUUAAAUUUAACUAAUUAUUAGUUAAAAAAAGUAUAUUUUUUCAAUUCAUUUUGGAAUCAAAGUUGAUCCCCACGUCCAUGGGGGGCCAUCAUUUUAAGCAGAUUCGAUUUCUCCCCAAAUUAGAAUCGAAAUGUCAAUCGUUGAAAUCAAACACCAAUAGUAGAAAGGAUUAAUAGUCUCAUAUUUUAUUAUUCUUUAUAUAGUGAUCGAAAAGGCUUAAAAUCAACAGCUGAAAAUAAAAUUUUCACAAAAAGUGAUGAUAUGAUAUUUAAAUUUUAGAUCAAAAGUAGUGAUCUUUGUUUUAUAGUAUAAAAAUUUUUCUAUCAAAAUUUUACAUAAUUUGGAUGUUUCCAUAUUAUUUAAUUUGCAGACGGCUCACCAUAAUCAUUAAAAUUAUUGACUUUGGGCUUCAUCAAUCACUAGGUAAAUAAUAUCGAAAAAACAUGAAAUUUUUUUUCUAUAUACUUCCAAUAAUCUAAAUCAAGUUUAACAGAAACUAUCAUCGAUUCAGAAGUCCUAGUAUUAAAAAUAACUUGAUAGUACGGAAGCCACAUGCUUCUCAAAGUAUAUAAGUCUAGCUCUAAUUAACAAGCUGUGUUAAUUGUUAGACUUUUAAUUUUGUAUACAUGAAUUAAUAAGUGAUGUGUUUAUAUUAUUACAUAAGAACAUUGAGGAACCUAAACUUAUAGAAUUGCUAUUCCUUCACCUUCAACAACUAAAAAAAUAUAAAAAAGGAGCUUACAAAUUCAGCGACGAAUCAGAAAUUUUUCUAGAGANGUUUUUAUUUUGGUAUCUCAUGAUUGAACUACGUGAAAUUUGGUGUCCCAUGACUUCACUCUUUCACACUUUGGUGUCCUAUGAUUGAACUAUGUGAAAUUUGGUGUUCUGUAAUUUUACUUUUUCACGCUUUGGUGUUCCCCCCAAAAACUUCGAAAGGUAAAAAAAAUAAAUAAGAAUUCAAUCCUCAUUUUUUACAUUUACUUUUUUACAUUUACUUUAUAUAUAUAUAUAUAUAUAUAUAAAUACAUACCAUAUGAUAGCCAUCGUGCCUCCAGAAGCACGAUGGUUCAACAAAAGUCACUACGCCGAAAGUUUAGCUACUAGCCAAGGCAAUCUGAACUAAAUAUAAUAACUUUUAUAUACCUUUGAUUUAAAGUAUUAAAAAGCUAUAGUAAACCGAACACUAGUUUUCCAGAAUUUUAAUUAUUAAAAUUACCAUCUACAGUACGCAAACACUUAAAUUGUCAUAUUUUGUUAAGUUUAGACUACUUUAAAAAUAUUUUUUAAGCAAAGUGAUAAAUCUCAUUCUAGUCAUGGAGACUAGAAUUUAAGUUCAUAAAAUAGUAGUAAAAAAUAUUUAAAAAAUAAACGUCGGCAAGUAAAAAUUUGAUGAGCAAACUAUCUAUUUACUACGGUUUUUUAAUACUUUAAAUCAAAGGUUGAUGAAAGUUAUGACAUCUAGUUCAGAUUGCCUCAGCUAUCAGAGAAAUUUUUCGGCGUAGUAACUUUUGUUGAAUCAUCGUGCUUCCGGAGGCACGAUAGCUAUCGUAUGGUCGGAUCGAGAGAGAGAGAGAGAGAGAACGAGAUAUAUAUAUAUAUAUAUAUAUAUAUAUAUAUCUCGUUCUCUCUCAAUAUAUAUAUAUAUAUCUCUCGUUCUCUCUCUCUCUCUCUUAACUCGAUCUUAUGAAAAUCUUCGUGAUUAGAGAACCACGAAGAUUCAAAGAUAGGAACCUAUAUGAGGAACUAAUGAUUAUUGAGAAUAUAGUUUGUGAUAAGGUGGACGGUGGUAAAUGGUGGUAGUAGGGUUGAGAUGUAAAAAGGUAGGUUUCCGAUUUUUGAGUUUUUGUGGUGAGGAACCACGAAAACUCUCAUAAGAUCGAGUUAAUAUAUAUAUAUAUAUAUAUAUCAAGCCGAUCCUAUGAUAGUUAUCGUGGUACGUAAACCACGAUAGUUCAAAAGGCGGUAAUCUAAAUUGGGAAACUGAUUAAAGUGGAUAAUCUAAUAUGAUAAUUUGGUUGUUGAGUGAGUUGGGAUCGCCCGGGUGUAAUAGGAUUGGCAUGUAAAAAAUUAGGUUCUCGGCUUUUGGAUUAUCGUAUUUUACGAACCACGAUAACUAUCAUCAGGUCAAAUUCAGAUAUAUAUAUAUCUAUAUAUAUAUAUAUAUAUCUCUCUCUCUCUCUCUCUCCGACCAUAUGAUAGCCAUCGUGCCUCCGGAGGCACGAUGGUUCAACAAAAGUUACUACGCCGAAGGUUUAGCUGCUAAUCAAGGCAAUCUGAACUAGAUAUGAUAAUUCUUAUAAACCUUUGAUUUCAAGUCUUAAAAAGCUGUAAUAAACCGAUCACUAGUUUUCCAGAGUUUUAACUGUUAAAAUUACCAUCUACAUUUCGGAAACAUUGAAAUUGCCACAUUUUGUUAAGUUUAAACUACUUUAAAAAUAAUUUUAAAAAAAAAGUGAUAAAUCUCAUUCUGGUCAUUAAGACUAGAAUUUAAGUUCAGAAAAAAGUAGUAAAAUACUCUAAAAUUAAAAGUUGACAAAUAAAAAUCUAAUGAACAAACUAUCCAUUUAUUAUGGCUUUUUAAUAACUUAAAUCAAAAGUUUAUAAAAAUUAUCACAUCUAGUUCAGAAUGCCUUGACUAGCAGCUAAACCUUUGGCGUAAUAACUUUUAUUGAAUCAUCAUGCCUCUGGAGACACAAUGGCUAUUAUAUGAUUGGAUCGAUAUAUAUAUAUAUAUAUAUAUAUAUAUAUACAAGACCCAUUGAAGACUCAACCGAAUAACUUUGUUGCAUGGUCAAAAAUCGAGUUGUAAAGAUUGAGACUCAACAGUAUAGAAGUUCUCUGGCACCACGUCAAUGUCCAGUAAGUAAUCUAUGCUUUUUUAGUAUUAUAAGCUUACCACAUGUAUACAUCUAUAACCACAGGUUUUAUAGAUAUUAAUUAUACCCAUAUUUAAAAAGAAAUUACGCUAAAAAAAAUUUUCUUUUAUAGGAUCCUAAUAAGCCACGUUCUACAUUUGUAGUAUUAUGUCAUUUCAAAGGUUCGUCAUAGCAUUAGGAAACCUAAUAUACGUCUAAGGAUGUUUAUAUUAUUUAAUAUUUAUAUAAAUAAUUUUCAAAUUAAAAAUAUAUAAUAAAAAUAUUUUUUAAAUUAUAAAAAUUUAUAUAAAGAUGUUAAUCUUAAGCAAUCUUUUAAAAAUCAAUUAGUAUAUAAUUUAUGAAUUGAGACCAAUUAAAUAUUCUAUUGAAAUAUAAAAAUAGAAAAAAUAUAAUAUAAUAACGCUGUAAAUCUCUCUGCAUAAACACUACUGUUUUAACUUUUGUAUUUGUCAGCAAUUGACAAGAGACUGUCAUUAUUUAGUCUUACUGUUUAAAUUUUUAUCAUCUUAAAACCUUUUUGAAGUUUUGGGGAGGGCACCAAAGUGUGAAAAAAUAAAAUCAUGGGACACCAAAUUUCACAUAGUUCAAUCAUGGUACACCAAAGAGUGAAAUAUUGAAAUCAUGGGAUACCAAAACGUGAAAUAGUGAAAUCAUGGAACACCAAAGUGUGAAAUAGUGAAAUCAUGGGACACUAAAUUUUUUGGUGUCCCAUAAUUGAACUAUGUUUUAAUUUUGGCGUCCUAUGAUUUCACUAUUUCACGUUUUGGUGUCUCAUGAUUGAACUAUGUGAAAUUUGGUGUCCCGUGAUUUCACUAUUUCACUCUUUGGUGUACCAUGAUUGAACUAUGUAAAUUUGGUGUCCCAUGCUUUCACAUUUUUUAACUUUGGUGUUCCUCCCAAAAACUUCAAAAAAGAUUUUAAAAACAUCUUUAUUAUAUAUUUUCAACUUGAAAUAUAUCUUUAUAUAAACAUUAAAUGAAAUAAACAUUCUUAGAUAUACGUAUAUUGGAAAAAAUAUCUCGAUCUGACCUAACUAAAGUCUUCUUACUUUUGGAAGUAAGAUUUCCACAUGUUACUAGUUGAUGAAACGCUUCCCUGGGUUCAAGCUUAGGAUCAACUAAGUGUAGAAGUCGAUUCAAAUAAAGAUUUACUUUAUUUGCUUCGUCGAUCGCACGAUAGAUAGAGAGAGAGAGAGAGAGAGUUUUUUUUUUUUUUUUUUUUGAUGAAACGCUUGGUUGGUUGAUUUCGACGUUAGAAAAAGCUAUAAAGAUAAAAUGGCUCGAUGUACAAGAACCUACAGCGGUUAAAUACAUCCUAGCUACUAGGCAUCUAUUUAAAAAGUAGUAGGUUUAACACAUAAACGUGAUGCGAAUGUUUAUUUAAAUUUUUAUCAAAUGGUGGUAUGUUAAUACAUACAGAUACAGAAGUACUCAAUGUAAAAGACUGUUUAAUUUAUUUUCAUGUGUUGAUACAAUCAUCUUAUGGUGAAAAAAAAAAAAAGAAACGCCCCUCUGCAUUUAGUGCUUCUCUAUUUAUAAGUAACGAAUACUCGAAUACUAAACGCUUAAUAAUAUGAUAAAAAAAACCAAUCGUAUCUCGUAAUAAACGCAUGAAAUAAUAUACUUUAAAGGUACUCCCUCUUUCGAUCUCUCCAAAUACCCGCCUUGUUUAUAAUUAAGAGACAACUAUUUGACGAAUCAAAGCAGUAUAAUUAAUCGUUUAAUUCUUCACUAGGUGGUGAAUUCUUACAUGGGGGAAAAGGAUAUUGUAUUCGGUUGUAACACAGGGUGGAAAAGAUUUGGUGUAAUUCCUGAAACAAAUCCUGAUAUUUAUUAAUUAGAUCCGGGGUAUUACGGAGGUACACUAGUGUAUGAAACAAUUAAUAAGAUAUUUUCUAUUAUACUUAACAUAUGUAAAAUCUAAUGUACUCUGGUAUACUCGAGUACUAUUCAAACACAGAACCUAGAUUGUGUCGUGAUGUCGUCAACUUGAUUGGUUUAAAGCUCUUCUUAUGCUUACCUGAUCCUAUUUUGAAUUUAUUCAUGAAGUUUUCCUUUUCUUGUGCUUACGCAUAACACUUACUUACGGUUCAAUUCAUAAUAGGUAAUAAUCCACGAAUCCAAACACCCGGUUACGUAUACAGAAUCCGCUUCUACAUACCUCCUAAAAUUAACCUACUGUUCAUGUUAAGUGCUCUUCUCAUAAUAUUAAGUUAAGCACGUAUCUAUUUCUAUUUCUAUUGAUUAUCUUUUGAUAGUGCAUUUGCAUUAAUUUUUCAACAUUUUGAUCAUUCACCUGUUUCGUAUAAGGUAACGUAAAAUCGACUAACCUAAACUUCUUAAUUGUGAAACCAGUUAACCUUUCAACAAUCACGACACUUCAAAUUGUUUUAAUCAUUAAUUAAGUUAAUUUGUCUACGAAACUUAUUUUUUUAUAAUUGUUAAAUUAAAUAGUAAAAUCAAGUCAAGCUUAUUCGAACUUUACAGUUAAAAGUUUUAUUUACGUCAAAAAAAAACAACAAGUUUCUAGUUCUUAUGUCCCUGGAUGAACGUUAUACCCCUAUCAUGAUCUUGAUGGGGAUGUAAAAUGGGUUCUUUGACAAUUCCGUUUUCUCAAAUACUUGACAAUAGAAUUUUUACAGUGUGCGGUUCACUCUUUAAUGUACAAAAUUCACAAGUAUACACCUGUUUAAUAUAAUUCUUUAAGGUAUCCAUAACGAUGUUAAAAUGAAACUUAUCUCAAAUAGAUAUGUGUGAGUGGUAAUGAUCUAUCUCAAGGACUGUAAGUCCUUUCAUAUGUAUUAAUGAUCUAAAACGGCCGUAGUCUCCAAAAGACCUUUAUUUCACGUUUCUUCGAGGACUUUUGCCUAGCUUAUUCGGAACCCUAAACUAGGACUCUAGCUACCACAUAGUAUGACGUCUCUAAACUUAUGUACGAGGUGUGCGAACUCGUGCGGCAUAGGAACUUCCUAUAGCCGUUAGGGGUAUUUCUCCUAUUGUAACAAGAAAAGAAGGAAUACACUAGAAGCCAUGUUAGGAGGCGGCGGCAGGUUAGAGGCUUACAGGUGACGUGCUCGGCCGUAGGAAUUUGGCUCAAAUGGUUCAAAUAGUAGUCCGGACGUUGUUUAGUCUUACUUGUUAUUACCUCGCUACUAAUCCGUAACAAAUACAAAAAGUAAGAACAAAACGAAGAUCAGGACACCCUAAUCCCCCGUCAGAAGACAUUAUAAAACGAUAACGCUCUAAAUAAAGACUUUAAUUACACAAACAAGCUGUUUUUUUUCUUUUUUGACUUAAAAAUGUCAUGUAACUAUUUAAAAAAACAAAAUUAAUUCUGACUACUUAAGUGUCGUUUUGUUACUGUCUUUUUCAUUUCUUCAAGUUACGACUUCCGUAUGAGAUAGACUCUCCUACCGACGCUUAGUGGUAGUGUGCAAUUUAGAACUAGACUUAAUGAAAGCAACCUUGAGAGUGGUAGACUCCCGAAGAAGAACUGUAGUAAACUAGGACGUUGUACUUAAACCACUAGCCGAAUGUCUAUUAAUCCACUUUUUUUUCUAGAUUUUGUAAUAGAAGGAUAAGUUUCAAGAAGUUGUUUCUUUAGGUCGGACUAGUUAGUUUAUUACAAGAUGAAACAGCUAAGUAGAAAAGUGUUGGGAUUAAGUUACAAGAUUCGAUUUAAGUUAGACCUUUAGUGUGAAAAGUGUAUUUUGAAUUAUAUAACACAUAUCGGAUUCGUUUUAGUAGCUCAUGUAGAGAAAACCGAGUGGUGUAUAUUAGUAAUCUAGAGAGGAUAUGUUAAUUAUUAUUAUAAAGACUUGUAUGUAUAAGUGAAAUUUGAUACACGUUUACCUACAAGUUUUUUACAGAGCUCCUGUGAGUUAGUCGUCUGCCAAUUAGGGUCAGUACUGAUAAAUUGAUAGUCGUACUCUGACUCCUUCGAACAAAUUGUUGUGUUUACGUCCAUACUAUACACGAAAUCAGUAAAAUAAGUGAUAAGUCUUUUAAAAACUAGGUUUAUACCGUUAAGUCCACAAGAAAAUGAACGUGGUUUGUCUGGAAACUGUUGUCGUAGCUUCCCACACCCCGUGUGUACGUAAGGCUAAUUCUCUGGUAUUAGAUAUUAUGGAAGGAGAAGGUCUUUGAGUGUCAGUCGGAACUAAACGGACACCGUUCUUUUUAAGGACUAGUUAGUAUGAAUUAAGCUAAUUAGUGCUUCGUAUAAAUAAUUAUUCUUAACCACGUCUCAGGAAUUUACCAAUCCAACGUUUUUUUGGGAAAACUCAUUAGAAGGAUUCCAUACGACUUUUAAACUCAUGUGUGAUGAACUUUAUUCGUGAAUUUUAACCUAACACUCAUAAAUUCCUUUUUUUAUGGAUGUCAAUCAGUCUUUAUAUGAGUAUUUUAGGUGGUUAAUCCUAAACCUAUUACAGAUCGGUUCGAAAAAUCCUUCAGUACCGUAUGCUAGUCCAUAGAGUACUACUUGGUCAAAAUUGACCGAUUUGUCACCAAUUUCCCCCAAGAGUUUAUAAACAGGCAUCUUGUCUUCAUCUACAACCUUAUGUUAUUUAAUGAGUCUUAUACUUUGAAGUAUCAAUAUGAAAAAAUUUCAAGACUAAUUUCUAAGGGACGCGUAAUGCAUAAGAAUUAAAGAAUAUGGAUCUCUGGGUCACUAUUUAUAGUCUGCUCUAGUAUUCCUCAUACAUGUAAAACAUUUUGAAUAAUAUGUACUACUUCUUUGACUCAAUUGGUUUCGUUGUUGUUGACUGUUCUUGAUAUCAACUCAUAUUACAACUCCAGGAGAAAGUAAUCGAUUUAUUUAUUAGUGUGAAGGGAGCAACGAAGGAAUAGUAAUCGUAAAUUGUUAAUGGACUUUUCUGAUUUGAGUUUAUCACUUCUAUCUCUAAAGAUUUUUGUCUUCUAGAGUUUAUUGAAGGUAGAAUAUACAAAAGGAUUUUCUCAUUGUUAGUUGGUCGUCUGCUUCUUCUUUUAAUUUCUUGAAAUAUUGAGUUCGUCAGUCUAUCGAUGGGAUCUUCGACUGAGGAACGAUUACACACGUCUACUUUCGGAUACGAGUCUAGAAGGAGGGUGGGUCGAGACCUAUAUACCGCUGGCACUACGUUGCAAAACGUUAACUUAACGAAUACUUACGGAUCUAGACUAACUUCAAACACAAGGUACUAUUGUUUAGCUUAGACGUCUCACAUUUUUUUUGGGUGGCUCUUAAUAACUACUUUUCCAUGUUUUGGAAACACAACAUGUAGUAUUUCAUGUAGAUUUUUUGGAUAAUUAGUACUUAAAUUAAUAAAAGAUAAUGACUUAAUGAUUUCAAUCGGAGAGGUUAUAUCGGGUACGUAAUUUUUAUAUAAAGAUCUUCGUUAAGUAUACGCAUUCAUAUUUUUAAUAGUUUGUCUAAUAGAAAACUUACUAAAAGAUGAACCUUUUUUAAUCUAUAAAUUUCUUCUAAUUCCUUGUCCGUUCAUUAAAUGUCUUGGUAAUUUGAAGGCGACUUUAACACUUUGAGUCUUAACUGAAAAUAGUUUACGUAUCUAGAUUGUUUAUACUUUUUCAAGUAUAAACAAUUUUACCUCAAGUAUGCUUUCCCCAAAUAUAAUUUAAAUUCCCCUUUGAAGUUUAUGGGGGGGCACCAAAGCGUGAAAGAGUGAAAUCAUGGGACACCAAAUUUCACAUAGUUCAAUCAUGGGACACCAAAGCGUUAAAGAGUGAAAUCAUGGUACACCAAAGUUCACAUAGUUCAAUCAUGGGACACCAAAAUAAAAACAUAGUUCAAUCAUGGGACACCAAAGUUAAAAGAGAAAAAUAAUAGGUAAAGCCUCAUAUAUUAAAUUGCUUUAUAAUUUAAUGUCCCAUGAUUUCACUCUUUCACGCUUUUGGUGUCCCAUGAUUGAACUAUGUGAACUUUGGUGUCCCAUGAUUUCACUCUUUCACGCUUUGGUGUCCCAUGAUUGAACUAUGUGAAAUUUGGUGUCCCAUGAUUUCACUCUUUCACGCUUUGGUGUCCCAUGAUUGAACUAUGUGAAAUUUGGUGUCCCAUGAUUUCACUCUUUCAUGCUUUGGUGCCCCCCGAUAAAUUUCAAAGGGGAUUUAAAUUUAUUCAAAGACAACAUUAAACAAGAUAUAAAAUUUUGACAAAAAGAUUCUUUUUUGUAGUUUUUCACUGAUGUUCUACUGUGUCUUAUGAUUUUUCCCGUAGAUUUUUAGUCCUAUGUAGUUCUUCUAUUACUAUUUGACGAUUUGAAAACUCCUUUUUAUUGACCUAUUGAGUAGUGUUUCACAAAAUUUAUUUUCUACCGUUGUCAUAAUACGUAACAUAUCUCUGGUUGGAAAACCGGUGGAUCACCGAAGUGGUAUACUUCAGGGUUUUUCAAUCCUUCAUUUCAUAAGGACAUACAGACGUUUACUGCUAUCAUGAAGCCAUCUUAUACGUUAUCAUGGAUGUAUUCGUCCUUAUCAUUUGAGUCACUAACACGAUUUACAAGACAGAUUUAAGAAAUAAUUAUCAUAGAUCUCUCGUGAAUCAUCGGUAGACCCAAACUGUUGGUACUAUCGGAUUACUAUCUCUCAGUUUCUUGACGUUAUUUUGCUUUAGAACUUACUUUUACACUGUUCAGAACUUCGUGGAAGUAUAGUAAGAACCGUUACUAGAAAUGCUGCUUGAAGAAUAGUACCCUGUUGACUUCUACUCACGGCAAGAAAAAUCUACGUUAUUCAACAGAAUUCCAAAGUACUGAUGCUUAACUUUGGUGCAUUAGUAGAAGUAAAUAGAGAACUUCAAGGGCUUCCAGGGAUGUUUAAGUUCAUCCUUUUAUUUUCAAUUAAAAGUUGGUUUCGUUAUCUAAAGUAGUUCAAUCGUUGUUCGGAAUUUAUUGUUUCUUCGAAGAUUUACCUUUAUCUAAUCAUUUCGGUUGUACUAUCUACGCCUGAAGAGUCUCAUUUUAAAUACAUCUUCAAGGGGUUUGGAACCCACUUGUGUUUUAAACCAGACAUUUCAAGUUUCAAGGCAGUUGAGAGUAUCUGAUUUGAAACUUCUGCUCGGAACUUAUUUUAACUAAAUCAAAUCGGUAACUGGUUCUCUUUAACUUCAAAUCCCCGGUUUUAAUCAAAUCGUCGGUUUGACUUCAAACUAGGUGGUAUCCUUGAAGGAUAAACUAAGUGGGUUUGAAGAAUGUCAGUGUUGUUUCGGUUUCCUUUUCGUUUUGAUUAGUAUAAGGAACGAAUCAUGUCAUUCUUGGCCUUUAUUGUCUAUUGCAAGGAACUGGUGGAGAGAAAUUUAUCUUUCCCUUAUUUACUCUAAAAUUUCUUUGGACUUUUGAAGUCCCGUUAUUAGUGAGGUGAGUUGUAGUCAUUUACACUGAGCUCUUAGACACCUUUAUACACGUCCCUUAACAUACGUCAUUGAGCUUCACCUUGGUUUUAGAUCUUCCCUGUUUAGGAAGAGACUUUGCCGGUACACAGAGAGGUUUAUUUGGACGUAUAUAUGUGUCUUAGUCUUGUAUUACGUGAUUGGUUCUUUCCGUCUGCUCGAAUUAAUUUUAUAAUUUUAGUUUACCUGGUUGCUAUAGUAUCGUUAUCGUAAUUGCAAACCUAAUGAAAUACUACACUAUUAACAAGUGUUGUACCUGUUUACUCCAUAUUGGAAGUUCUUGUGAAAAAACAUCUAUAAGAUUUGUCAUGAACUUUUGUCAACCGGUAGGUUUAAUAAAAUGCUAAGUGAAAGUUGAGAACCGCAAGUCCCUUAGCGGGUAAGUGACUUGUGGACUUGUGUACUGACAAGAAUGUAUAUACUCUUAUGAAUGAUUGGUAAAAAAAAAAUUUUUUUUAUCGAGGAUGCUUUUAGACUUAAGGAGCUCGGAAUUUUAGCAGGAAUCUUACUAUUUAGAGAAUUGUCUAGAAGCGUCUUUCCUGGAUUUUAAUAAUCCGGUUUUCGUUUAUUCCGGUUUAGAUAAGGAUCCUAAAUUUAUGUUAAGUACACUUCUUAUUAUAUAAAGUUCGGCUUGGUAUUCUAUUACGUAUCUCUAAAUAAUCCCGAUAUAUUAAAGUAAAGAGAAUGUAUACCUAUAGUCAGGUUAUUUGAUCUAGGUCGUACUCUAGAGAUAUGAGGUAAGUUAAUCUAGUUUAGUCAAUAAAAUAUUUAGGGUCUUAUGUGUAGAUGUUAUUCUAGUUAGAGAUAGGGGUUUUAACCUUUUUCUUUUGUGAAUUACGUAUUGUUAUUUACAUUCUUCCUUCGUUGACCGUUAUGUCGUAUGAAACCGUUUUAGUAUGAUUUUAACCAUCAUCCGGGAUGGUAGUGAGAGUCUCGUAUGGAAAGUUGAUGGAUUUUGGUAGUGGUAUCACGUUAAUCAAGAUAUUGUUAUACGUAUCGACAAUGGAAUUUUCACAUGGUCCCUGUAAAUAAUACAGUGUUGUUUAUAAAAAAGGGGGUCUCUUAAAUUUAUUAUAGGAUGUCUAAAACUGAGCUCUCUUACGUAAAUACUGAGCUGUUCGUUAUUGACCUUUGGAGAACGUCUUUUCACAUUUAAAUCCAGGUCAUCGGGAUUUUUUUCCCUUCCUUCCCUCUUCGGUUGUCCAUGACUCUUCCCGGUAUUUAUUGAUGGUCUUUGUCUUUCUUAUUUACUAUGUUAGGUCGUGGUUCUGUCAUUGAUAUUUUGUGGGUUGACUAGAAAUGAAAAUUUGAAACCCAUUUUACAUAUCCGUGAAAAAAUCGGGAUUUUGUUGGGAUUAUAACGUUAUACCAGGGGCAUGAAAAUUAAAUAUGAAAUAACAUUAGAUCAAGGACUAGUACUUUUUUUUAUGUUUGAAAGUUGGACCAAAUUAUGUCCUUCUUUCAAUAAAAUGUCCACUUCCUCAUUUUAACGGUAAGACGUUCUUUUUAAUCUAAAAACUACUACCAGUUUCUGAUUUCCUGCUUUAGAUUUCACAAACCAAUUUUCAAGCCCCUGGUUUAACGUAAUAAUCCUAUUAUGUCCCUGAUAGGUACAUAAACUGGGAUUUGUAAAAGGAAGAAACAAAAGUGGAUGAUCCCAAAACCUCCUAGGGAGUAGGGAUGGUUCAAGAGGAGGUCGUCGACGCUUGUCGAUGUCGACAUUGGGAAGUUAGGUAGUGUAGAAAGGGUAGUUUUUUGCUGUCUUAGAUGCCGAUGUAGUCUGGUUCCGUCUAGAAAUAGCCUGAUCCCAAAGCGGGUUCUAGAUUCGCUUUUCGCUUUAGAGGUGGUUAUCCUCAUCUCCUGGUGUGCGGGAUUAUCCAUUAGCUAAGUUAAGCUUACGCUUGUCCCAUUUUUCCUAGUUUAGCUCCCGAAACUUUCCCCCUCGCAUGGAAAGCUCCUGCAGCGAAGGCCCUCGCCGCUCUCGGUGGUGGAGGUAGCGUCCCCCUCCCGGUAAAUUCCGUGGAGCCUAGCUCCUCGCUCACUCUCUCUCUACCACUUUCCCGCCUCUGUCCCACCUUUGUGACGCCUUUUAAUCCCAAAGCCCCACGGUUUUUAUCGGCAACCUCGAGAGCAAAACGCUACCACUAACCCCCUUUCUCAAUAAUACUCUUUGAUUUGCGCAAAAUAUUGUUUUGCGGAGAUCUUAUAAUGUUAAAAUCUAUUCUUCACCUAUUACUCCAUUAAAACGGGCCAAUUUUAACGCCUCCCUAGGGAAAUGAUAAUGAAUAAAACUCUAUCUUUUGAAUUAAUUAAAAGAAAAUUAAUUAUGAGAAAAUUAAAAAUUUAAACAUCUAAAUUUAGUUAAGAUAUUUAGCUGCAUAAACCUUAAUCAAUUUAAAUUAUCAUUGAAGAUAAAUUCAAAUUAACAGCUUUAGAUAAGUUUUUUUUAAUAUCGAUUUUUUUUUAGUACACGAUUCAAAAGAACAUAAGACGUAACGUAUUCUUUCAUCUCCUUAAUUUCAUAAAUUCAUUUUUUUUAAGUUUGUAAUUCAACGUCAUAACCCUACAAUGUCAGUGAAAAGAUACAGAAAAUUGAAAACUCUCAUACGUAACAUUAAAUGCCUAAACAUUAAUAUUAGUAAAAAUAACAACUUUAAUUGGCGACAUUUUAUAUAUAGAGACAAAAAGUUCUACCAUUUAUAUUAAGAUUUGUACCAUUACUUAACAAGACCUCGUGUAACGUAAUCCUUUUGAUUACCCAACCAAUGAUAACUUACGUAAAUUUAAUUAAAUUAUGUAUGCUAGACGUGAGUCAUUUUUGUUUUUGUAUCCUGACGACUUAGACUUUUUUCCACAGUCGUUGAUGAUGGGUUAAGACUUUUGCUGUGUCUUGGGUUUAAUAACCCAUGGGUUGAAAUCCAUGUAUUUGAUACGUAAAUCAGAGUUUAAAAAUUAGUUAUAGUUUUAUAAUAUUCGGUAGUUGAAGUUAACAUACAUAAGUUACGUUUUUUAAACCAGUCUCAAUCUAGGUUGACACCGAACAAUUAAUCGUUCCACACCAGUUUUAGUUUUCUCGGGCAUGUCUCUACAGAGUCUUAUCUCAUUAUCAUAUCAUACACCUCGGUUGUUGUGAUGGUUUCGAAUCGACACACUUUCACUCUCCCUGUUAUAUUCUGUUUUGAGUGGAGUGGGAUCUGUUUCACCUUAUAUAUAACGUUUAUUAGGGUGUACUAAUCGAGUACCAUGAAUCUUUUUAAUGUUUACUUUACUGGUAGUGAAAUUUUGUUGAAACCGGUUAUUACUAAUAGACGUGUCGUUGAUAAUCAAUGAAAAGCUACGUCUAAUACAGCACUCUACUUACUUGCCAGACAUUUAGUCACGCACAAUCUCUAACUUAAUCCUCUACUCUAUCUACGUUACGUACCUAAUUUAAGUGACUUGGAUCAUUUUAUAUCAAUCAUCUAUCACUCGUCGGGGUCAAUUAACGGGAUCCCUAGAGAGAGAGAUUAGACAACCGUGACGUAACCUUCGUCUGUGGAAACCACCAGGUUGAUCUCUCUGUCAUAUCGGACCCGACUGUAGAAGAGACGUCACCUACACCCCUCUCGACAUCUCUGAUCUCUCGCUGUUAAGUUAUUCUUAUUAUACGACCUAUGAUACAUGUCAAAAAAUAUGCUUAGACUUUCACAACAACUAUGCAAUCGUUACUUAACUCGUAAUAUGACUCUACUAGUUAUGAGCAGCACGUAUUUAUAUUUGUGAGCAGCAUGUAUUAACUGUCGCGUAUUCUUCGAAUGACUCAACCCCAGUGGAGAUUCAGGGAUCAUCGUCAGUAACUUUGAACAGGUCUAAAAACCGUGAUAAGCGCGGUAAUUCAGUAUUUCAAGACGUCGACUACUGUCACUCCUGGUAAUUAAGCUGAAGAUCCCUCUUUGAGAUUCGAGACCACUUGACGGAUGAAAUUGUCUGCCUGUUUUCGUUUCUUUGUUGCUUUCGUAAAAUUUACUCGUGCCGUGUGUCCUGUACGUAGUUCUGUAAGUCUAAAUGUAUGUGUUAUUGUGGUAAUCGUGUAAUUGUAAAAUACUUUAAUCCCACUUAACUUGUUAAUCGAGGGAUAUAAAAUCAGUUCAAACUAAACUGGAGCUUCUUUUCAAAUGACGGACGUGGACUACGUAAACAACCUGAUUAAUCAAGGGGAGCGGUUAAAAAUUAAAAAGGAAACCGACGAAUCUUUAACUUAACGAUCUAACUUGCGUACUAGGUACCACGUCCGUUGUCGAUGUUUAGAUUGUUAUUUCUAUACAUACUCUUUCGUGCUUCUAUGCUGACUGUUUGUUGAAUAGACACUCCCUUAAGGGGAAGGUUAAAAAGUCAGUCCACCAACUGAUAAAUUUUCUCGGUCGUCGUUAGUUGUUCACGUCUUCCUUUUUCUUAACGAAAUUACCAUAUGUUCACUUCAGAAUGAAGUACACCAUUCUCUUUGUUUAGUAACAGUAGUACUUUGUCUCUCAUAUUCCCGUAACGGAAGAGUCCUUACAAUCCAUAGUAGAAAACGAAAGAUGUCGAGUUUAUUGAUAGUUCUUUGUUGAGUAUAAUAUCUGGGUCGUUAUAUUUCUUUUGUUUUUGUUUUUUUCGGUUAAAUCUUGACUUUCUUUACUUUUACUAAGAGAUAUCAAUUUUGUAGAAGCAAAACCAUAGGUAAUUCAAAGCAUCUGAAGAAGUUGUCGAGGUUUUCAAACGUUUUACAGUAUAGAACAUUUUUGGUUCAAAGUUUCGUUGUCUUUGUCUAUGUUGAUGCUUCGUUAAAGAUCGGCACCGAGCUUUGUUUUAGGUCACUUCUCGACAUCGCCCUUGGAGAAACUUUGCCCUGAGGAGUGGCAGGUGAAGGUAUCGAAGACCGAGUGCAGCUUUCAUUCGUUUCGGCCGCUGGGUAUCGAGACAUAUAUUUAGUUUAGUAGCGUUGGUGACGAACGCUUAUGAAGUAGUUCGAGAGGUUUAGGAACCUUUUUGAAGACUCCGUACGCGCGUUGGAGCGUGGUAAGGAAGAAUAGAGCUUCGAGGGUUUAGGGUUAGGGGAACUAUUGAGGGCCGGAUAGGACGAAGGGAUAAGGAGGUUGGUCUUAUUGAGAUAGGGAAUCCAAGUAUUCGGACGGUGUACACUCACAUGUACCGCGUCCAUAUCGACAUAAGUAAUUUCUUUUUACUGGGCCGGACCAACUCUCCAGUAUGUAUCGGUUUGUUACCGCGCUACGCUAUACGGGUUGUAUUGGUCUUCUCAUUUCGUUUAUUAUGUUUUGAGGUAGUGUUUACUGUGUUAGUAGUGUUGGAGAGGUUGGAUGAUUUCAAAGUAACUUCCCUAGCUUGGUGAGCAGUGAAAGGCUUUUUAUUUAUACCUAACUAUAUAAGGUGUCUACUACGAGGAGGCCGUGAACGGGUGUGAAACGCUGGUGAUACCACAUUAAUACUGUGAGAAAUAGCUGGCUAUAUCGUUCGCGCGAUAUCAGCCCCCUCAAAGGUGGGCCUCGUAUCCCUUCGAAGGCGGAUACGAAUCACUAUCCCAACGUGUGUUUCUGUGCUGAAAAUAAAAGUGAUAGGUAAUUCGUAUGAUUAGGUAUCCUUUUACUCUAUCUGGUUAACGAGAAGAGUUACGUUCCCUUUAACUUUAACAUGGUGAAAAAGUCUGAACCCAGCAUUCUCAUGGGACGGUGUCGAAGGAGCGGCGUGCACUUGUACUUUAUGGUACCGAAAACCCCAUGGUAAAAGCAUACAAAUAUGGAAACGUGCCGUAGUAAGGUAGAGAACGUGUGCCUCGGACUAGAUUAAUAUGGUUGUUACCUGUUCUUUCUCUCAUAAAAGAGGUUCUCCAGUAGUCCCUCUUACCAUAGGUUCCUUUGAUUACGCGGAAAUAGGACCAGCCAUACUAUGAGCCUUAAUUCCAGAAAGAAAUCUAGGAACGGAAGUUACUUCCGACUUCCUAUCCUAAGGGUAAGGAGUGAGAGGUAAUGCCUGGACUUUAUUACCGUCCUUAUAUUUGUCUUACGUUUGUUUUUAUCCUUUGUCUUCUUGUCUUCAUACGUCGAUUUUUUUGUUUUAACGUAUACGUUGAUCUUCAUACUAUAGAAUUACCAUUAAUGGUCUUAGUCGUUAACUCGUAUUACUUUGAAAGUUGUUGAAAAAAAUAGUAGUUAGUUGUUUUUACGAGAGGUUUCGUGUAUUUUUUUCUUUUUAUCUUAAGAAUAUGGAUGUUCCAAUAGGGUGAAUAUAUUAUAACGUUUUGUGUCUUUGACGUUAAUUCAUGAGGUUUCUCCUGGUCUACACUUCUUUGGAAUAGACUUUUAGUGAUGUUGGUUUUGGGUAAAUAGUUUGUCACCCUUUUUCUUUACUUUUUCUCCGCCUGUGGACAAUUAUCCUGUAAAUGUGAUCUUCUUUUCUUUAGGUUUGCGGUUUCGUUUCAUCGAUUACUCUUGUUAACGGUCAUUUGUAAUUGCCAUAGAAGUACUAGUGUAGGUGAUAGUUCUUUGAGAAUGAAAAUUUAACUUGUAGUUUUUGCUCGUGUUUUCUACGAGAGUGUUCGUAUUCUAGUUUGUAGAAGUUAUGUAAGGCCCUACAGGGUCUUUUGUCUUGAGCUCGAAUCUUUGUUUUUUGAGUAGUUUAGUGGUGUAUUAACGAGUUUACGGCUGUGUAGAGAUUAAUAUCAACGUACCGGGUAAUUAUUGAAAUCUUUAAUCUUAUAAAAAAUUUUUUUGUGUGUGUUUUUCUUCAUCGUGCGGCUCGUAGCGGUUCCUUCGUUUUAUAUCUUUUGUUAAUUUUAAUGUUUUAAUACGUUUAUGUAUUGUUUGUCCCGUAGUGAUGUCCGUCUAUGCUUUCUGCUCCGUGGCUUUAGGUUAGAAACUAGGAACAAGGAGAAAAAAAACCUAAUUUUUAGAGAGAAAACGAACUGUAUUUCUCAACCCAUGAGCAGAUAAUUGACUUUUUGUCACUAAUUCAUUUCUUUUCCUCCGGUAAAUGUGUUUAGAGUGGUCUCUUACCCUUUUUCCCCCCUUGUUUAUGUUUUUACCCAUGGAAGCACAAAUGUAUAGAGGUUUAAACCUCGUCAUCUUACCCUUUUUUUUUUUUUUUUUUUUUGGCAUACUGGGAAAAGAGUCUCUAGGUUGUUACCAAUUCUCUCCCCUUUCUUAGUUUUUCUCUACUUUGUCAUCCGGAUCACGCCUCUACUUCAUAUCAGGUGUCUUCAUGGAGAGGAACCCGAGAAAACCCUUCUCCUCUCUCUCUCUCUCUCUCUCUCUCUCUCUCUCUCUCUCUCUCUCUCCAUUACCUCUUCUCUCUCUUUCUCUCUCUCUCUCUCUCUCCACCCCUCGUAUUUCGGCACAACUCCGCACCCGCUCUGGAUGAUAAUAUAUCCUCCACUAGCUAUGCCCCGAGUAAAUAAUUCCUGUCCAUGUUAAAGUGCCUCUGGGGAGCGAAUAUCCUAUCCGGGUAGUUGAAAGAGGAAAAUUAAAUUUAUUAAAAAUUAACUUCUAAAUCGGUCAUGUUAAAAUACCGUAGAAGUAUUGGAAGAAAGUUGAAGCGAGACAAAGUUUUUUAACUACGAAGCAUUGACAGUUUUUUAAGUGCUAGCUCAAAAGUCUUUUUAAAAAGUUAAAAGUAUUAUUAAUUCACAAAUUUAAAUUGAAAGAUGUCAAUCACAAAAAUUAAUAAAAAUUAUGUGGGUGAUAGUUAUUCUCUAAAUCCACAAUGUUCUGUAUAUAUAUCUAUUAAUUGAAUUUUUUCGCUCUAAUCUCGAUACUAAUUUUGUUCUCCUCCAUCAACGUCCACAUAAUUCUAGUAUUUGGAUCAACAAGUUGUUUGAUCAGUAGAACCAACCAAACGUUAAUUUCUGAAAUUGAUAAUUAAAGAGAGUUCCUGUGAGAAUGGCAAAACAACCAACUCUAAUUUACUGGGUAGGUUAAUAAAUGAACAGCUGAAUGUUUAAAACUUUUUUUUUUUUAAUUAAGGUUGUUUUAACCCUUUAAUUAGACUUCUUACUACCUCCUUAUAUCCCAAUUAAAGUAUAUCCAUGGAUGUUUAUAUCACUUACUAUUUAUAUAAAGAUAUUUCAAGUUGAAAAUAUAUAACAGGGAUGUUUUCAAGACUACAAAAAUUUAUAUAGGUACGACAAUCUUAGGCAAUCUUUUUAAAUUAAUUAGUAUUUAAUUUAUGAAUUAAAACUAAUUAAAAACUAUAAAAUGAGUAGAAUAUAAUAUAAUAAAACCGAAAACCUCCCUGUAUAAACACUACUGUUUUAAAUUUUUUAUUUGUCAAGAGAUUGCCAAAAGAUUGCCAUUGUUUGGUCUCACUGUAUAAACUUUUGUAGUCUUAAAAACAUCCUUGUUAUAUACUUUCAACUUAAAACAUCCCUAUAUAAAUAGUAAGUGACAUAAACUUCUUUGUACAUAUUUUAAUUAGGAUCUUAUAUUAUCAGGAAGAGUUAUUUCAUUAUAUAUUUUUCAUGAUAAUUUUUUAUUUCAAUUAACGUAUAUCGAUGGACGUUUAUAUAGCUUAUUGUUUAUAUAGACUAAGUGUAAAGGAUCAACUAAGUGUAAUGGUCGAUUCAAAUAAAGACUUACUUUAUUUGCUUCGCCCAUCGCACGAUGGAUAGAGAGAGUUUUUAUUUAUUUAUUUAUUUAUUUAUAUAGACAUAUUUCAAGUUGAAAAUUGAAAAUAGGGAUAUUUUUCAGGUCACUAUAAGUAUAAUAAGAAAACCAAACAAUGGUAAUCUCUUGACAAAUAAAAAAUUAUCGUCUAUUCACUUUACAGUUAAAACGGUAUUUUUUAUACAGAGAAGUUUUCGGAGUUGACAAUAUAAACACGUCUUUAUAAGAAGAUUUUUAAAAAGUUGCUAGUAAAAGAAGGAGUAAAAGAAAGAGAAUUUUGAAUUGAGUUAAGUGGUAACAACGUUGGAGAAAAGGGUGAGGAAAACAAGAUUUAGAAAAAGAAAACUUGUUUUAUUCUUUUUAGUAUCUUUUUUAACUUAUCUUUUUAUUGUGCGUAAACUGUACCCGCUUCGUUGUGCGCAGCACUUACUUAUCCCUGUUUCUUAAAUCUCCUCCUUCUUCUUCUUAUUCCCAAAAGUAACGAUCUUAAAAUUAACUCUCUUCUUUCAUGAUAUAUUCUCCCUAUUUUUAUAGUUAUAUAGAAUAACCGAUUGGUCUCGAUUCAUUAAAUGAAUACCCGUUAAUUUUAAAAUAUUGCUUAAGAUUGCCGUACCCAUAUAAAUUUUUAUAAUUCAGAAAACGUCUUUAUUAUAUCUUUAAACUUGAAACAUCCCUAUAUAAACAUUAAGCAGUAUAAAUGUUCUUCAACAUAUUUUAAUUGCGAUCUUUUAUAUAUCAAUAUAAUAAUAAAAAAAGUUGUUUAAAGAAAUUGCGUUAAUUUUUAAGGGUUAAUUGAGCUCUAAUAAAAUAAAAAAACCGAUUUACACUCGGGAACGUUUUCUUGUUUCUUGUAAAAUAGUAGGGUUUUUUAAGUUACGGUUGUUUGCGUACGUGAUAGCUAACAUAGAUUACGUCAACCGAUUUUUAGAUUAUUAAUCACAGGUUAUAAAAUUUAAGUUUCGAGUUAAUAAAAUGUAAAACAUUGUAUCAAGUAAAGAAUUUUUUGUGUUUACUUUGUUUAACUACGAUGGAAAGAAUUUUCUUUUUUUUUUUUUCGUGCGUGGAACUACUACUUCAACCAGAAGAUACAUCGUCAUCGUUUCCAUAGUGUAAUAGAUACAGAAUUAGAUAAUUAAAAAAAAUAAAAUUUAUUUUUAUAUUAUAAAAAAUUUUUUUAUAAUAUUAUCCUACCUACUUGAAGUAUUUAUAUUAAAUUAAGUAACCUUUGUACUUACUACAUUACGGUGCCGGAAUAAAAUCUAUAUAUAUAAAAAAAUGCCCCUCAUACUGUACCAUAUUAUUACAUUACAUUACAUUACAUUUUUCUUUUUUUUUUUUUUUUGGGUUAUCUUACGGUUUUCAUCUUCGAACACUUUUCACGUAUCGAAACAACGGUCUUCUCCGUUCUAUACAUCUAUAGUUUAGUUACAGCUGAUCAGUAAUACUUGCUCUAACCAUUUCUCUACUUCCAGUUUGUCUUUUAUUCUUUUACAGAGUCCAGAGUACUUCUUCUACU
rnacentral:lncRNA from 1 species